UACCAUGAAGCUAUCGCUAUUCAGUUUAUUCAAGACAAAUUGCCUUCAACAAACUAGCUUCAACAACUUCAACGGAUAAUGAUGAUCCAGCUUUUAUUGAGAUACCAAGAGCAUAAAGUGGAUCUGUCAAGUUGCUGUGACGCCAAGAUCAUAAAAGCUUUGUCCUCCAUCAACUCUAUUAUAAGUUUAGAACAGAGGAUUCAAGCAAGGAGUUACACCAUCAGCAUCUACCAUCUGAGGUGCAUAAGCAACCAAGACAACUUUUAAGAAGAAAUAAAGCUCGACACUUUGAAAGCAAAGAAGAUAAAGUGUUAAAGGAUUGUCAUUAUCAAAACAGACCAAGAUUCCGAAUGAAAAAGUACUUCAAGACUAGUUGUUGUUGAAAACCAUUGUGCACGUAAAUCAAGCAAAGGUAGAAGCAACCACAGUAACCACAAGAGAGAAAGGAAAAAUAAUAUGAGAAUAACGAAGAGGAACACAGAAAGCUAGCUGAAGAUACAUCUUAUACAGAGAAAAGAAUAACAGCAAGCACAAGAUCUUCUUCAAAUCCUAAAGCAAUCAAGUUAAAUUAAACAACCGGCUCAUUUAGUGUUCCAACAAACCCAAAGUUAUGAGGCUACAACUUUUUAUAACCAGAGGCAAUAAGCUUUCAACUUCAGAAAUAUGUUUACACUAAAGAAACAACUCGAGGAAAAUCAAAGUACUCCAAUAAAAUUCUCAUCUGAGGAGACAAUAAAGAUAAAAUCUUGAAAAAUUGAUAUUCAUGGGAAAGGACAGAGAAGGUGCAAAAACAGUCGAAGAGUUUACAAGUGAUCUUCGGAAAAAGAGUAUAAAUACAAGCUAAAAAGUCGCUCUAAGAUUUGAGAUGAUUGAAGUUUAUCUGCAUACAAGUUUGAAGAAUUGUUUUAAAAAAAUAAAUAAAUAAAUAAAGAGACAGAUCAGCAUUUAUUUAGCCAGAUGGUGACUCUUAAAACUACUACAAACAAGAAGAUCAAGCUCUCAGUCAAGGUCCUACUAGAAGGAAAUAAUCCAUUCAACACAGAAAAAGGGGCAAGGACACUAUACAGUCAAUAUUGCAGGUUGUCAAACGGCUUUCGGUAAUAUGCUCUUGUUCCGCAUAAUCAAUCUUCAUUCGGAGGAAGCAAAGACAUUGCAUCACCAAAUCAUUAUGCAACUCUGAAUUUAAAAUGCAAUGGGAAAAAAUCAAAGACCAACAUAUGCUAUAUAAAAAUAAUAUUCCAUCAAUAGUUUAUUCAAACAAGCUGAGUAUAAUUGAAGACUAGGCCAGAAUUCAAUUCUUACUGUGACUUGAAUAGCAGCAUAGGCAGUGGGUUCUUAUAAAAAAGACAAGAUAUCAACUACAAAGCUUCAUCAGCAAAAGUAACUUCCAUCUUUGACAAAUAACAGAACUUUGAUGAGCGAAUUUCAACCUGAAGCAAAUUGGCCACAGAGAAUUUUCAAAUUCAAAAAUAGUGUUAUGCAUAACAUGAAUUGGCAUCAUUUCAAAGCAAUUACAGACCAAAAUCCUUUCAAAUUUUAGCUUCAAUGGAAACAGGAGGAUAGGAAAAAAAAAAAAAAACAAUUAUCAGCAAUAAAACUGAGUAAAAACACAUCAAGUCGACAUGAGCAUAGCUGAAGAUACAGUGGAAGCAGAACUAUUUUGCCCUUUUAACAAACUAGCAUGAAAAUAAUCCAUCCAGGCUAAAAGUUGUUGAGUAUGAGAAGAAUAACGAGAGGAACAACAUCCAGGGAAUAUCAAUUCGGACAUACAUAUCUAAUGAGAGACUACCGCCUAAUGCUUUUCCCCUCAAUUCAGAAUUUUUACAAACGAUUUUUUCAGGCAUGGAACGGCAAAUACUAUUCAACAGUUAACACACUAUUGACAGGUUAUCACUUCUUACACAAGCAAGAAGGGGCCUUGCUAAAUAAUUUCAGCUUCCAGUAUGCAAGUUACAGCUUGGAAUUAAGUUCCAAUUAACCAUAUCCUCACUGGAAAUCAUGAUAUCAAACUCAUAGGAUUGAAAAUACAAACUAAGCAGUUUCAGAAAUGAGGAUAAUUUUUAGCACAAUAGUCAGUUCAUCCAAAAAAGCAACAUGACUACAAGUGUGGGCGAAUCAAGUUUGCAGGACAAGUGUUUAAGAAAACAAAGAGAAGAAAAAAGCUUCGUAUAAUGCUUUAAAGAAAAUUUGGAGAAUAACAUCAGCUGCUACAAAGUUUUGCAGAUGUCUCUAAAGUGUGAAUCCACUGCUAUGAAGUCACAGCUAGCAUGGGACAAAGAAUCAACACUUGCCAUUCUAUUUGUGCACAAAAAGAAAUCAGGUAAGUAAAUCUAUCAUAUGAAGAUUGUUAAUACAUUUAUUCCCAGACCAAAAUAUUUCAUUUUGCCAUACAUUUACGCAUCACAAAAGAAUUGCAGCUUAUCUUGAAAGAACAUAACUAUUCAGUCAUUCAAUGAAAAAUCUUCUGUGCCCGAUAUCCUAUACUAGGAGACACAUGAAAAAAAUGAUAUCAAUUUGAUUCAACAAUUGUAGUUUGAAUCAACUUAUAAAGCUCCAGCUCAACUCAAAUAAACAACAUUGAUCUAUGAUCAACUUGUGGCGUAGGCCCCGAAAUGCUAACAAUCUGGUUUCAAAUCAUAUUUUGAAUCAAAUUUCAUGGCUCCGAUCUCAAAUAAAAUUAAAGAUUGAUCUGCGACGAAAUCCUAAAAAUUGUGCCUAUUAUUAUUGGGCAAAAGGCUAUUAUAACCUGUUAUUGUUAGACAAAAAAUAUUUGCUUCCUGAAAUAGGAAAGAAAGCUCUAUACGAGCAAAUCAAAUGAAUUCGCUCUCUAAAAGUUUCAAAUAAAAAUGAUGAAUGAAAUAAAAGUUGGGAAAGCUUCUUGAGCUACUAAAAUUCAUCGAUCAAUGCUCAAAUUUUGGAACAAAGAUUGAUCAAUGAAUCAAAAUACAAAAUCAAAUUAGUUAUCCUCGUUAGAGGAUAGACUUUGAUAAUCUGAGUCUGCUUUAUAUUACAUUCUAAUGUUCUAUAUCUUAUCAGGCUCAGCUAAACUAUUGCAUCAAAGAUCCAAUAACGGUAGCAUGGUCGCUCAUCAUACCUUAGUCCAAAAGCCAGGAAAAAGAAUAACGGAGAACAAGGCAUUGUUCGUAUUCAAUAACAGCAGAGUAAGUUGCAAACAGCAACUUUGGUCUUGCAACUGUUGCAACCUGCAACGUAGCUGAAUCCUUCCUUUUAUAUUCGGAAACAAAAUGAAAAAAAUAAUGGGGGUAAUUGUAUGGGCCAAAAUAAACAUAGGUCAGGUUACAAAAGGCGGUGCUAUUGGCACCUCCCUUGAACUCAUUUAAGACCCCAUUUUCAUGUUUAUAUCUUCAAUCGGGGUUAAAAUUACAUAAAAGGACGAAAUAAAUUUAUUAAAAUCAAAUUUUAAUUUCUUUUUGUUAGUAAUUCUUCAAACCUAAUCAAAUACUUUAUCGGAAUUUUUUUUAUUUUACCUUUAAUUUCUUAUUAUAUUUUUUUUUUGUAAAUAAAAUAAUUGCCCACUUGGUGUAGAAAGUUUAGUAGAUUUGAUAAAUUUAUUGUUUUUGUUUAUUAUUGUUUUUAUAAAGAUUUGAUAAACUACUUGCACAUUUUCUCCUAAUUACUUCAAAAUCAUUUUGGAAUUGUAAAAAUAAAAAUAAAAAUGAAUCCACUAUAUAUUAAAUACUGAAAAUAAAGAGUUUACGAUGUGUGGGUGUGAAUUAUAUGAAAAAGAAAAUAUAUGGAUUUGGGUUUAAUUAAUUUUGUAUUUGUAGUUUUAUGUAAUUUCAUCUUAUAAAAAUGCUGUUAAUGUGAAAAAUGGGGUUGUAUAAGGAUCUUAAGGGGGUGCUAAUAGUAUUACUCGAAUAUAAAAAUGUAGAGAACAAGCCCAAAAUCCAAAUAAUUAACAUGUGAAAAAGUGACACGUGGUGUCAAACUAAGAUCAAAGCUCAAAAACUAUAUAAACGGGUUAAUAGGGGUGGGCAAAAAAACCGUAGUCUUAAAAAAACCGAACCGAACCGACGGUUUUUUCUAAUUCGGUACGGUUUUUUUUUUUUACAAAAAACCGAACGGUACAAUUUAUAAAAAAACCGAAAUGUCGGUUCGGUAUUCGGUUCAUUUAACUGAACCGAAAAAUCGAACCGAAAAACCGAAUUAUUUUUAAAUUUUAUUAAAUUAAAUAUGUGUUAAUUUUUAACUGAUUGUGUAAGAUAGCUAACAUAAACUUGCAUACACACAAUCAGAGUAUAUAUAUAUGUUAGUGUUACAAUUUCGUAAAUUUUUAUUUCCCAAAAUAAACCCUAAAAUCAAAUAUAAAAAAAUUUCGUAAAUUUCGUAAAUUUCAAUUUCUUGAAGAAUUUUUUAGGCUAAUGCAAUCUUAAAAACAACAGCAAGUAGCUGAGGAGUAAAUGAUAGUUGAUUGAUGUUGCUUACCAGUAAGUUUUCUUUAUUUUUUUUUAAACUAGCAUCUUAUUAUAUAGAUUUUUUAUUUAAUUAUUUAUUAAUAGUUAGUAAGAUAUUAUUGAUAAAAUGUGUUUUGAAUACUUUGUAUUUAUUGUUAAUAUUUGUAAUGAAAUUAGGAUGAACUUGUUGAAAAAAAUUAUUACAUUUAUGAAGCCCAAUGGGCUAAAAAUUUGAAAAUUCAAAAUAGGCCAAGAACCGAAAAAACCGAACCGAACCGAACCGAACCGAAAAGAACCGUUUGAAUUCGGUUCUUUUUUAGUUCGGUUCUUAUUCGGUUCUUUUUAUAAAAUAACCGAUUUAAAUCGGUUCUACUUAAUUUCGAACCGAACCGAACCGAACCGAACCGUGCCCACCCCUAAACGGGUACAUUCUUCUUAAAGAGGAGAGGCGAAGGCGAACUGAAGUAAACAAUGAGCUUCCAGCAGCUAAAGCCAGCAGAUCUUCGAGUAACAGUUACGCAAGUCUUCAGCAAGUCAACUCAACCAAGUUAUACUUAAGUAGCCAGCACAAUGAUUGUCCAUUACAAUAAAGGCCAAAGUUAUGUUGCAACAGUAGUACGGUACCACUGUUACUUUUAGUCAUUGAAUUUAUAAUUGUACAGUUGUAUUAACAAGAUUCAAUGGCUGAAAGCAACAGUGGUACCGUACCACUGUUGAAACAUAGCUGGACCCUACAAUAAAUAUAUUUUUUGUAAUUAAAUUAUAAUCAUAAUCUGUUUUUGCCAUUGUUUUAAAAAAUUUCAAGUUAUAUAGGCACAUGACUAAUCCAAUUUGAAGUAUCUCAGCCUGAAAUACGAUAAAAUCUCCAUAGGUUAAAAUCUUAUUUAAUAAUAAUUUUUUUUUAAAUCCCCACUUGAGUUGAGGUCAAUAAUGUUAAAUUAUAAUUCGAUUAAUUAUCAUUGUCUUUGUUAAUAAGCAUUUCUUGAACCGAAUACUAUUAAUUUAUCGAGAUUUUACUUUUAACAUAGAACAAAAGUCUUAUCCCUAUUAAUUUCUUCAAUACUUUAAACCACGAAAACUCUAUAAAACAUCAUGAAAUUACUUUAAGUCAUGAAAACUAUUUAUUUAUUAUUUUGUUAACUCUCACUUUUUUUUUUUUAUAAUCACAACCCAAUUUUUUCUCACCUACAUGCGUGGAAUUCAAACCUCAAAUAUCGUGUUUUCAACCUAAAAAAUUUUCCCAAAUCAACUAGUAAUUUACUAAAUUCAUUUUAUAAGGUAGGUUGUUGUAUCAACCUGUUUCUUUUUUUUUUUACCUUUUAAGAAAUUAAAAAAUUUUGAAAAAUCCAGGCCGCCCAAGUUGGUCCUGGGCUUCUCAUAUAGGCCGGAGCUCCAGCUGGGCCGAGUGGAUCCUGACCCAUUUACCUGUCCUGUGUCACUAAGGUUCAAUCACCUACACUGUUGUUUUUAUUGAAUGUUACAUUCAAAUGAUCGCUAACCGUUUGACAAAGACAAAUAGCAGCAAUUCGCAGGUGAGGUCUUCAUAAAUAAACCAAUCAUUGCUGAUUGCUGCCUGCUGGCAUCCUGCAACGAGCUCAUAGUUCACCAGGAGGAGGUAGAUGAAAAUUAUCCAUGGUUGAACAUGCCUUAAAUUUCAACAGUCAAUCCACCGAAAAACUUUACCAUUAAUUAAUUAACUGAUGAAAUAAACAAAAAAAUUAAGAGUUCGAAAAUUUUUUCUCCCUUGCGACUGGAAUUUGAUUCUUUUUCGUCAUUGUAAUUUUUCCUGUUUUGUUCCUGCAAUUUUUCUUUUGACCUGUUGUCCUUCUCCUCGCCUCUACAUGUUUUGCUUCUUAAAUCUGAUCUUCAAAGCUCAGAUGUUGCAUCUCUUACUCAACUUGGGCGGAUGGGAUAUGUGCUUCGUGUAUAUCACAUGCAUCAAACUCGUCCGAACGAUAUUUCUCAUAUUGACCGGUUCUAUUUCGCAGAAGCAAUAAUUAAGUGCACUACAUAUUCUAAAUUAAAUCCAUCAGGCAAAGAAAUUUAAUCAAAGACCAUUUUGGUCUUGGGCAUGUGAGCUACCACAAUCCUCCUUAAAUUGCUGCAUUUUUCUGUUCUCCACAAACACUCAUGCUAUUGGUUCGUUUCCUAAGAGUAUGGUCUAUAGCUCUAAUUUGCUAACCCACAAUUCGUAAAACGUCUUGUCCAUUUUUUCUUCCUAAUUUUCCAUAAUAAUUAACAUGAAAGCAUGCAUGGUAAAACUACAGUACUCAAGAGUCAAGAUAUCACAAAGGUAUAGUAUAGACAACUAAGCAUACCGUAUAAGCAAGCAGGACAAUUUUGUGCUGCAACAAUUAGUGCUUCAGCGAGAGAAGAACCUGGAUAAAUUUGAUAAAGAGGAUUUUUGAAGCAUAAAUGCAAUAGGGAAAAAAAUAAAAGGUUAAAUUAAUUUCCAUCUUCUGCAAUGAUGGUUCCAAGAUGACAUGAAUUAGAGAAGUUGGAUGUUCGAUCAGCUAUCCACCCUGUUAGAGCAGGCAAUACUUCUUGAAAGUGUGAAUUCAUGGUUGUAGAAUACUUAUGGUAAAUCAUUAGCUAGUGUCACCAACAGUUUCAUCUUUCAUCUACCUUAACAAAAUCUAAUGCUUAUAUAGAUAACGAGAUUAAAAUAUCUAACUAUAUAUUCAACUGAGAAGAUAGGAUUGAAAAAACAAAAAUGUGAUUGGGAAAGGAUAUUUAGGGAUCACAUUUAGCAAUUUCUGUCAUUUGUCAACUUCAACCACCAAGGAGGAACAAAUGGUUCCAAGACAUUCAAUGCUGCUCAGGAGGGCUUGGCACAUUAAAAAUGAACAGAGUAAAGGAACACCUUUUCAAUUCUAUACUUUCGGAGGUAGAGCGAUGGUGAUAUAACAUGAUAUAUCAAAAUCAGGUUAUAUAUAGUUUCUAUCACAUCAAUAAAUUAUACUUUCUAUCACAGUAGAUUAUACUUCCAUGUCACCAAAUUCAAAAGGCGGUCAAGCAAAUAAUAUGAGACCAAAGGAUAAAAAUGAUUCACAUACUGUUUUCCUAAUGUUUGUGCAAAUGUGCCGGGUUGGUUGAUAAGAAACUAGAGACUAUUGGAUGUAUAUUAGUUGAGAAGGGGCAACUUAAUUAAAACACACCUUCUGGUUCCUAUAUGGCUCUCCUCCCAUGUUAGAUGAUCGAGUUUUCACUUGUCAACAGUCAAUGCACCUUGCAAGCAAGCAGUAAGCACUAAAGCAGCACCCUAGAUCUUGAGACCAGCAUCUCAAGAAGCAAGCUUCCUGACACUAAUUAGGCCGUGACAGAAAAAUUGUUUUUGAAUAUGUUAUAAGAUAUUACACAAAUAGUAAAUGAGAAAAGCUCCAAAAUCUCAACUUUGGUAACCUGAUCAGCAAACAGUCAUUAUAUUAUAUAACAGCGUAAGCCUACAUAAUUCAACAAACCUUGCAAGCAACCAGUAAGCAGCACUCCAGAGAUUGACCACAGCAUCUCAAGAAGUCCUGACACUAUAUUUAUCUUCCAAGAGCGACAACUAACAACAAUCCAAAAAUGUCAGCAACAACUCCAAAUGCUGUCAGCAGUUUAGCAGCUAUGUUGGCUUGUCCUAUCAUAUAAGCAAGCAAGCAAAAAAUAAAUCCCACCAAACCAAAUAGCUUGGUGCCAAACAAGAGCGUUUUGUCAUUGUCCGAUAAAGAGUUGCCUCCGCUCUGAACGAUUUGUGGCGGAGCAAUGACUAAUGUUGCGCUGAUAGCGAGGAAUAUCUUGGCCAAAUCAGUGACAUUGAAAUUGAACCAUCCAGUGAAAUUGAAAGUGAACCAUCCAGCAAAAUUGAAAUUGAACCACCCUCUUGGCGGUGGGGGUGGGGGUGGUGCUGGUGCUGGUGUUGAUGUUGGUGAUGGUGAUGGAGGUUGAACUUGAGGUGUUGACGUUGGUGGUUGAUAUUGAGGUGCUGGUGUUGGUGGUUGAACUUGAGGUGUUGCUCUCAGUGUUGAUGAUGGAGGUGUUUGUGGUGGUGGUGGUGUUGGCGGUGGCUGUGUUUGUGGUGUUGUUUUUCGUGGUGGUGAAGUCAUCUGAACGGAACUAUUAACAGUAGUGUCAGGGCUCCCCCAACAAUCUUGGAUUGUCCACUCCUCACCACUGCCGUCUCCGCCCUGCGCCCAGAUGCUAAAAUCAGUUGAUCCAACAUUAUGACCGUAUUUACCCUGAUGUGUUGUUCUUGACUUCUUAUAUGCCUUCAGUUCAGUCCCUCCGUUACCAAUAUGCGCCUGCGCCCAACGUUUAGCGAAAAAUUUAACGAUUUCUAACUUUUGAGGCAAAUUGCUUAUUGAAUUCCCAGGCCUGCUUCUUGAAUAAUUAUUCCUUUCGACGGAACCCUUAAACAAAACGCGGGGUGCUAAUGAUGACAAAUAAUAUUUUACCCCCUUCUCUGCGAAAACACAUCCAGAUCCACCAUCAGUCCAGAUCAAACCUUUCUUUCUGAGACAGAAGCGCAAACUUGGUAGCGCUUCUUCACGCAGUAGACAUCCACCAUCAGUCCAGAUCAAACCUUUCUUUCUGAGACAGAAGCGCAAACUUGGUAGCGCUUCUUCACGCAGUAGACACGGCUCAACCCAUUGAUACCGCUUUUGUCUCCCUAGACCUGCGAAGUCUAUUAUUCUUCCUGAAAAGUGGAUGAGGAAGGCAUUCAAGAUCUGGAAAAUACAGAAAAGGGACACAAGAACUAGAGCUUCAUAUAGUAUAUUUGAAGAAGUUAUCUCUUUGAUUAUCAAAAGCGUGGGGAUCGGGAGGGGGACCCCCGUGGCCCGUGAGGUGGUUGCCAUUCACCGAUCGUAAAGAGCCAAGGCCUGUUGUGGACAGAUUAAUGAAUCUUACUCGGAGAAGAAGCUGAGGGAAAAAUAUUGAGAGAAAAUAUUUGUGAAAUUAAAAGUCAUAGAGACACUUGUUUUUUACUCUGUGUAAAAUGAUGAACAAGACAACAACAACGGAUGACGUAGGGCAUGACCGAUGCCCUUUGAAAUUUGAGCGCUGAUGUUUUGCCCCGGGUCAAACCCUGGGUCAAACUCCGAACUUGAGAAAACGACGCCGUUUUAAGGAUUAAUUUUUGCUAAGAUAGACAAGCUACUUUCUCUGAAUCGGAAAAUUGAAGAUAAGCCUUUCUGGAUUUAAUGUUAUUGGAGAUUCCAUCUUCUCUCAGAUUGGAAUUUUGGAGUUUAACGUUAAAAAGGUUCAGAUUUUUUUGUCUGUUUGGGUCAGCCCAGCGUUUUGAGGAAGAUGAAGGUUUAAAAGAAACGGAUUCUUGCUCUUGAGGCCUAGGAUUAGAGAGAAUAGAAAUGGACUUUAAAAAAUUUUUGAUAACUAACCUUGUUAGGCCCACUUUGUAUUCUCUUAGGUUGAUUGCAAUAAUAUGGGUUUUGGACUCAACACCCAACUCAAACCCAUGCCCUUUAUUUUUUUCAAUCACCUAUGAGCAUUUUAAAAUUUGAAAAUUCUGACAUAGAUCAGAACCAGUGGAUUUUCCAGCUUCAUCCACUUUAUCAGAGGAUAAUUGUACAAAAGGAGCUUCAUACUCAUCUCUAAUUUCACCCACACUAUAUGCACUCUGCUGUUUCUUGCUGCCACGUGUAGGAAUCGACCUUUUCUUGCCUUCUUCAACCUUGCAAUCACUAGAGGACAGAUAUGAAUUGUUUUUUCUUUUUCUGAUUACUCUUAGCUUGACUUUCCACUUGGACCCAUUUUCUUCAACAUAAAAAAAUGCUGGAAUAAAACCAUGCUCACCCUUCUUAACUUUGAUCCUUAGCCUCUCUAAGAUAAGCAAGUCUUUUUGUUUCUCUAUCAACCAUAACCAGCCCUCCACAUUGCUGACCAAUUUUCUCAAACACUUCAUGUUUCCAUAAAUGAAAAGGAAGUCCUUCAAUGCCCAACCAUCCUCCCCAGAAUAACAAUCUAUCUUCUCUUGGAUUAAUAGACGUGCUCCAUUUUUCCAGCUUUAUUCUGAUGUGCCCCUCCAGCGUUAGCCUACCAAUUCUCCCCAAGUCUUCUGCUUCCUUCACAGACUGACAAAAGAAGAUGGCUUUAUCAGACUGAUAAGGUUUAAGAACAAUCUUUAAAUUCACCAUCAUGCUCAAACUCUUUUGGAUCUUCCACCACGGGUCCCAACCCUGCUCCCUAAAGCACACGACAGCAUGACUCCAUAGUCCAUACUCCAUGUACAAGCUGUUCUGAAUAUUUGUUGCCUUCACCAAAAGCAAAAGCCUUCCUUUCUUCUGGUUUGAUAAGCCUAUUUGACCAUGCUUCUGGAUUAUCUCUUCUAUGCCCUGCACUUUUGUUAACAGAUCUGCCAGAAUCACCCCCACUCAGCUUAUCUACUGCCUCUGCCAAAAUCUUCCAGCCUUCUACUUUUCUUCCUUGAGGAACUAAAAUGGACCUUACAAACCCAGACUCAUUAUGAGAAAUCCGUAGGAAACUUCCAAAGGAAUUGCUAAAUUUCUCGACCCAAACUUGAUAGAAGCUCCCUCUGAACAUUCUGAAAAACUUGUUAACAUGGCUAUCAUAAUGAGCCUCAUAUAAACACCUACUCAGCCACAAUGCACAGCCAAUCUCAAACUUCAGCACAAACUUCCUUUGUCUAUUGCACUCCGUAAUCUUCAGGACAUCUAAAUUUGGAUUAUCUAAGGUUUCCAGCAAGAAGUAUUUAUGAUCAAUCCUGACCUCUAAAGAGAAAUGAGACCAGGAUGACAGACAUUUGAAAGACUCUCUCACAUUCUCUCUCAUGACUUGGCACAUUUCUAACACAAAAUAUCAUCUGAACUACUGAGCGUCGAAGUUAUUUGUGCUCGGAAUUCAUAGCAAAUAAACUAAGAGAUUGAGGUGGUGGAAAGAGAGAGAUGUAAGUGUACAGUGAAUACUUGUUAACAGGAAUAUAGAAAUAUUAUAUGUUCUUUCUGCAACUCGGCUACAGUUUGAUUGCUUGCCAGGUCUUAUCACAAGGCUGCAAGGCUGUGCUCAGUGGGUUAUAAAAGUGAGGCAUUCAACAUCAGCCCAUCCACGCACGAAAACAAUGUUGCUCAUCAGAAUUCUGUCUCAAAGGUGCACCUGGCAAUCCCUUUUCUAAAAUUAAUUACAGAAUGUAAAAUUAACAACCCUCCCAGGCUCCCACAGCCCUUAAAAAAAAAAAAAAGAAUGGAUAAAGAAGAAGAAAAUAUGUGAGGUGAAAUAUACUCGUAACAUGAAAACUGCAGAAAUUUGCAUUUCUAGAUCAAGAAAUAUUUUUUCCCCCCAAGUUAAUAGCAACAGGAAGAGAAUCUAACCUGAUUGUUGGAUAAAUUCUGAACAGCAACCACUCAAAUCUGACGAGGGGCGAGACAACCCCAGAAAGUGGCAAGGCAAUGCAUAUGUUGUGGAGUGUACUGCAGCAUGCAGUACCACACAUUACAGUCUUCUUAUGGCAUAAACAGGCAUAGUUUGGAAAAGCCUCCAUCCCAUAGAAACAAUAGUGGCAUCUCUAGUCUUGAGAAUGUCAUGCCAUCUGUGUCACUUUAACCUAAACUGGAAGAAGCAAUGAAAUUGAAACAUCUUAUGACCUAGAGAUAUUGUUAAACUAGAUAAUAACGUUAACUAUCAAAAUUACAAUGAAACAGUGAAUCUGGUUAUUCUACCCAAGUUAAACCAACAUAUUUAGCUGUGAACUUGUAAGCCAUCAUUUUUAAUAUGAUAAAAGGAUAAAAUCUUAUUAACAAGAGAAGAACCAUGAAAAGUUCUGUAGUGCAGCAGCAGUCCACUCAUUACAUCAUACUGAAAUCGAAAGCAAAACUAUAAGACCAUAAAAAUGAAACUAUAACAACUUCAAAUCUCUAAGAAUGAAGAACAAAGAUAUAUACUGAAAUUGUUUAGUGAAAGAAACCCAAAAAGAUGCCAAAAAAAAACUUUGUCCCAUCAUCUGGAUAUGGUUUCAGGCAUCAAGGAAACUAAACUAAACAACAGAAAAAAGCAUUAUUUAAUAAUUCAAGAGGCAGUUUUCUUUUCCAAGAUGACUGAGUCUGAUGUUUGACUUCAGCAGUUAGUAAUUACCAAUACCUAAAUAUAUUUAAUCCAAAAAAAUCCAUAUAGUUUUGAGUGGUAACUUAGAAAAGACAAAAUGAAAUGACAACCCAAGUGAAGGGAAAGUGGGGGAAAAAGAAAAAAAAAUUCACCACUGCACAUCAAAAUGUUAUUUGAGUAUUCUUACCUGUAUGUAUCCAAAUUUUCCUCACCAAGACUAAUUCCUCCAGCCAAAACAUAAUGGCAGGGGUAAAAAUGUUCGACCAUCUCAAAAGGAAGAUCAUGUAUCCCCAAUCUUAGAUACAUCCCCAUUCAAAAGCUCUCAUAUCUCUAAUUGAGUGACCUCAUCAAAAUCAUUGAGCUCACCUAUAUUCAUUUUUUUGCCAGCCCUCUGUAAUGCAGACUCAGCAUCAGGCAUAGAUGUCAGGAGAUUAGUCAGAGGAAAUCUUGACUUGUUGAGAGGAAAUACCAAAUGAUGGUGCUCGAGCAAACAGAGAGUUGUAGCUACAUCAAAUACUGAAUCUGAGUAUGAAGCUUUAGCUCAGGGAGCUUCUGAGUUGAAAUGCUCAACCAAUGUGCCAUGAAAGCAAACCAUAUUGUAAUUGAUGUGCAAUUUAUAAAUUCAGUGAGAAAGUAGCAAAUAAAGAGACUGAUGUUGGGUUUUUUCCAAGCCAAAAGAAAUGGGUCUGUUGUUGAUACUUCCAUUAAACCAUUGAGAGGAGGGAGGUCCAACCAUCUUGAAAGCAGGCUCAAUGUUGGCAACAGACAAUAUUGCUUGAUGUGAAAUUUUAGACAAAAGACAGAAUACAACAUGAACGAAGCUGGUAACACCCUAUAUUUGCAGACCGAUACAGAAGUUCAGUUAUGCCGAUGAUAUAAUCAGCUUAUUGUAGUAGAUUAAUCAAACUGCACAGGGUUCUCAAAACAUUGUUGCAAUAUGAUUUAUCUUUUAGUUAGAAUAGAUUAGAUGAUGCUUCUUGUACAUAUAGGAAAUUGUACUGAUGAUAUGUAUGUAAUUUAGGUAUACAAGUAUUAAGCGAUAGUUAGAGCAUUACACCAAUUGUCUCUGGAUAAGUAGCAGAGCAUGGCCGUGCUUGUUUGCUCUUUGAGCAUUUUUGAACAAAACAAAUGACACAACUGUAAUUUUUAUUCAUGACACAAUCAUAACCUCACAUAAAAGUUUAAGGUAAAACAGAAAUGGGAUUAUGGAAGCAUGCAAAUAGCACAAGUAACGGAAAGACAUCCACUCAAACAGAUCGCUUAAAUGAAAAAGGUAUGGCGGAAAUAGGCAACACACAAAGAGCACCAAUAAGCCAUAGCAUGAGCUUUUCCGGAAAUAGCGUCCCCGAGAUGGACAAGAAUCCACAAACGGUGGCAGCACAUCCCAUUGCAGUCAUCAGUCGAGAAGCUCUGCGGCUACGCUGCACAAUACAAGCACCAAAGCACAAAAGAAAUCCAACAAAACCUAAAAGCUUGGCCGCAAACAAGAGAGUUCUGGCAUCUUCCGAUAAAGACGUGCCAGUGUUAUACCGAAUUAGUGGCGCGGCUACACAGACUUCAGCACCGAGAAAGAGGCAUAUCUUGGCCAAACUAGGGAAACAGAGCUGUCCUUCAGGCCGAGAGGAUGCCACCCCAUACGGUGGUGAUCUAUUUGGCGGUGGCUGUUUGUCCCCGUCUCCAUCUUCAGAUGAUGCAUUGCUGUGAGACGGUGGGGCCAGCCGGACUGAAUUAGGAGAAAUAACAGAGUAGUCAUGGCUCAGAUCAUCGACUUGGAGUAUAUGCUUCUCACCACCAUUGUCUCCCCAGUGCGGCUGACUUCUAAAAGCAGUUGUUCCAAACAUGUUAUAUGGCUUCAGAUCAGGCCAACCAUUAACAUGUACCAAGAGUUUAUCCACUUGAGGCAGCGUAUCAGGCCACUUUCUUGAAUUCUUGCGUUCGACGGCCAGAAGUUUACCCAACUCUAACUCCAGACGUUCAGUACAGAGAUUUACCCGAGGUUCAGUUGGAAGGUUCAUUUCAGAUAAAGACGGCCUCUUCCAAUCGUACCAAACUCGUGAAACAUGGGUUUGUCCUAAUGACAAAGAAGGUAUUUCCACUUGCAGAAACAACAACUCCAAGCGCGGAUCAGCUGGGUCUUGGAAUUGGAACUCGGGAAUGGGAUUAAUAUAUGCCAUUCUGAUUUUUUCAUCUUGAGCAUGACAGGAAUCAGAGACCGUCUCCCUGUCCAUAGUCGACAACACAGGCAAAUUUUCAAAUGAAGAUUCCUUACAAUUAGCUUUGUGUGAAGACCCGUUUCUUGAAUUCUUCAAAUUGACGAGAUCCGUAUGCAAUUUCUCUGCCCUAGUUCGACUAUCAAUCAACUUCGACCAUGACAGAAAUCCUAUACGAACAACUUUGCGUUUGAGGUCGGAAAUAGAUCCCUUCCUGAUUUCAUCUUUUUCGGUACAAUUGGGAUUUCCAUCAUCUUCAGCGUAAUCGGUCGUCGCUCCGAUUAUUCUUGUCGUCGCCAGCGAAGAAUAACGAAAAAGCCAAGAUCCUACUUCCUCUCUCGAGAUAUCUUCAAGCGCCGUUGCCAAUUGAUCGGAAAGAGCCAUUUCAAACUCCGAAAGAGCCAUAUGGUGUGUUUGGCAAAAUCUUUCAGGGCACACGAAGAGGAUGAAGGAAAAGCUGUUUGAAAGAAAAUAUUUGUCUAAUUCAACCGUGAUUGUGAUUUUAUUAUUUUUGAAUUUUUUAUUCUUAUGCCAAGGGAGAAUUUAUAGAGAUUUUAUUAUUUAUUUAAAGGAUUAUAUUAAUAUUUAUAAAAUUUUAAAAAAUAUUUUAAUUAAAAUUUUUUAAAUAAAAAUUAAUUCUCUCAUUAAAUUUGAAAAGUUAUUUUUUUUUAAUUUAUAUUUUAUUAUUUUUUAUUAAAAAAAAAGAAAAGUAUUUUAAUUAUUAUUAAUUUUUUUUAAAAAUAAUUAUUUAAUUAAAAUAAUAUUAAUUUAUUUUUAUUUAAAAAAUAUCAUAUUUUUUUAUUAUUUUAUUUAUCACAUAAAUAAAUAAAUAAAUAUUUAAAUAAUAAAAUUUAUGAGGGCUUUUGAAAAUGGUCUAAGGUAACCAAAACAACAAUGAAUGACGUAGGACGUGACGCAUGCUCCUUUCAAAAGUUAUAGCAAAGGUUAUUUUUACAUACCUCCCCUGAGGUUUUAAGUAAUAACAAUUUAAUAAAAAAUAUGACAAUAUUUUUAUAUUUCUCCCCGCCAUUAGUAUUUCCGUCGGUUGACCGUUUGUGGACCGAAAAAAUGACAAAAAUACCUUUUCAAGUUUCAAGGCUGAAAAAGUAAUUCCAAUUAGAAAAGGGAAAAAAAAAAAGAGUUGUUCAUGUUGGUCAUGUGAAGGGAAGAGAUUCCCAUUCUCUUCUAAAUCUCUCGCUCAUUGUCUAUUGCACAUGAGAAUGGGAGUGCAGAAGCCAUGGAGUAAACGUGUCAGCUGUACCUUGCCUCUUGGACUUUUUUGUUUGGGGAAAAUACGAAUUACUGUUUGAAAGUGUAUUACUUUUACUUUUCAUCGAUUCUUGUGGGAAAUAUAUUUCUUCCUUUUUUGUCCGGUGAUUCCAGUGAAAUAAAAUUAAAUUAAUUAAUAUAAAAAUUAAUUUUUCUACAAAUUCGACAUACAUCGAAACCCAUAAUCUUUUACAACAAACAUCCACAACAUGGCAUCACCAAUUUUUCCAAUCUUUCGGGCAUGACUACAAGUGAAUUUCAAGUACAAACACCCACACCCUAUUUUCUUUGACUUUUGCCCAGCCCUUUACUGGGAAAUCACUUAUUCCAAACUAGGGGUGGGCAAUUUAUCCGAUCCGACCCGAUCUUAUCCAAAAAAUCGGGUUAGGAUCGGAUCGGAUAGGGAUAAUAUCCAAUUAGUUGAGUUAUUGCCAACCCGAUCAGGUUGGCCAAAAAAAAAAAAAAAGCACGCAUGACACUCACUGAUAAGUGCAUAUUUUUCCUAUAUUUUACUAACUAAUUUCUCCAUCUUUUUCUUGUUUUGGUAUUAAAUAUUCUAGUUAUUUCAGUUAAUUUUUAAUUUAGUUAUUUUGUUAAAAUUAUAUUUUAUUGUGUUAAUUUUUAUCUUAGUUUUUUUAUUUUGUUAUUUUAGGUGUAUUUUGGAAAUAAAGUGGAAUUAAAUCAGAAUAUUCAAGUGAGAAGAGCUUAAAGAAGAAAUUAAUUAGAAAUUGAAGGAAAGUAAUGAAGUUAAAAUGGAAGAAAAUCAAAGCAGCCAAGGCCUAAUUGAAGUUCACGUGAAGAUGAUAAGAAUUAGCAUUGGAAAGAACUUAAUUAAUAAGGCAAUUGACGUGAAGAAUAAAGGGGAGAAGAAAAGGUCAAUUGGCUUUCUAUUUUGAGUUAUUAACGUGAAGAGCACUUUGACAAUUUAAAUGACAUUCUUGUCAUGGGCUUUGGCCAAAUCGUUAUUGAAUUAUUAAUUGAACAAGUCACGUGCAUGCAUGAAAGUGGUGGUUGGCUUUGGAUUUGAUUCUUUCCAUGCAACGAUUUAAAAGCCACAAUUGAAGCAUUAUAAAAGGACCAAGCGGAAGCAACACAAGGGGAAUUUUCGGCAGCCAAGAGGAAAAAUUUGCAGCCGCAAAGAAGAAGAAAAAAAAAAUCAGCAGCAAAAAGAAAUUGAAGAAAAGACAACCACUUGAAUUAAUUUUCAUGAUUGAUUUUAUCAAUUCUCUUAUUUUCAAUUUAAUUAUGCUAGGUUAAAUUUUCUAUUUGGUUGAGAGUAAAUUCAAAACCCCAAAUAUGUCAUAUGAUUAAUUUUUAAUUUAUAUCAUUCAAUUUAUUUAAUUGAGAUUGUUUAUGUUCUUCUAUAAUUAAUGUUCAUGGUUUAUUCUUAUUUUAUUUAAGUGACCAAUUAGAUAGGAUUUGAAUAAAUUCUAUUGCUAGAUUAAAUUCUUGAUCUGUAAUUGUCUUGAUAUUUUAAUCAUUAGUAGCAGGUUGAAAUAAGUGAUUUCAAUUGGAUAACAUAACCUAGGUUAAAUAAUCUGAUCUUGUAUGUUUAUUGCCUAGAUCAACCUAAUAUUUUUCUAUGCUUAAUGCUUCCAUUAUCUUAAAUUUAAAGAGUUUGUUUUAAAUUUGUUUUAAAUUAUUUAAUGGUUAGAGAUUAGGUGAAGAGCUUAUUUUGCCUAAUGACACAUUAAGGAAAGAUUGAGACUAACAAAGUUUAUUGUUGUCUACGCUUGAUAGUUUCAAUAUAAAUUGAUGAUAGAAUUGAUAUAUUAUGUGCAUGUUUGGUGGUGGCGAAUGAUCCCUUAACCAAAGUUUUCAUUAUUAUUAUUUCUUUUUCCUUUAAUUCGAUUUUUUAUUAAAUUAUUGUUUUCAUAGUUUUAAUUUCUUUAUUUCUUGCUAUUUAGUUAAAAAAUUCAAAAACCCCCUUUUUUCUAUUUUUAGUUGGCAUUUUUUUUAAUUAGAUUAAUUUAUAUUAUUAUUACUACUAUUAUUUUAUUUUAAGUCCUGCUUUAGAGUUGAUAAUAAAUACAAUUAGCAUAGUCUCUGUGGGAUCGAUCCUUACUCACUCUGUACUAAUUAUUUAUACUAGUAGUAAGGUUUUAAAUUUGGUGCACCCUAACGACACUACCACUCACACACCACACAACAUACGUGUAUACACACACUACACACUACACCACUUUCAGCCCACUUAAACUCAAACCUACAACAAUGAGCAACCUGCAACCAAGACUCUCGUCUCUCUCAACUCUCAACUCAACUUCACUAGUUUAGUUCUCAUCUCACUCUCAUCUCUCUCUCAAGUCUCAACUCUCAAGAUUCAAGAAGAUAAGAAACAGAAUAGUGACACGGACACGGUUGGACUCAUGCACAUGCAUUGGAGAAGAAACUCAAGAAAAUAGCUGUGAUGCCACCAGACGCAGCAAACCCAUUCUACUCGCAGUCACCACCACCGAUGCCAACCGGAUAUGCUGCUACCGCCUACAGAUCUACUGCUCCAUGCCUCCAUAUCGCCAAGUUCCUCCAAGCUUCAUUUGAACCCGGCAACCGGCAAUUUGAACCCGAAUUUUCCUUUUAAAAUUUGAAGCUUCCAAUUCCAUGGUAUAUAUAUAGUUGAUUAGUUGUAAUGUGUUUUACUGUAUGGGUAAUAUAUUAUAUAUUAUAUGUUAAAUUGGUAAUUACUUAAUUAGUUUAAUAAAAUGUAAUAUGUAUUGCUAAAUUGGUAAUUUCCCAAUCCAAACCUUAUGUUAUCCAAACCGAACUCAACUCGAGAUUUGACCUGAUUCGAUCCGAUCAUAAUUUAGUUCGGAUCGGGUUAAGGGUUCGGGUUAAAUUCGGAUGAAAUUUUCAGCAACUCGAUUGACCCGAAAUCUGAUUGGGUUGACCCGAAUCCAAUCCGAACUCGAAAAUGCCCAACCUUAUUCCAAACCUAAACCAAAUGGAUUUGGUUGGGUAAAUAAUGAAAACGGGUUGGAUUUGGGUUUUAUGUGAGAAACUAUUUCGUUAUGGUUUGGGUAUGGCAAAAUUCAAAGUCACGUGUUAGUUGAAAAUAAAAUAAACAAAAUAAAUGAAAAUAAACUAAUUCCAGCUUCUAUGCCACUUUUGCUUUAAUUCUCCUUUAGCUAGUUUUCAAAAGCAUUAACUCUUUGAAACUUAGGCUUGUCAUGAAGGAAAAUAUACAUCUUAUAUGCCAGUUCUGCUUCUGAAAAUUCUUGAUUGAUAAAGCUAUUUCAUACUCUGAGCCUUUUAAUUGCCCAAAAAAAAGAGGAAAAAAUUAGUUUAUCUAACUAUUUGAUUUGAAUUUGAUAUUGUUUGUGUUUGAAUUAUAUGAAAAAAUUUUAUGAAACCAUGAUUUCAGGUAACUGUUUGUCAUAACAAGGACAAAAAAUUAUAUUUUUGUUUAUCGCUAGUCUUUUUUUAUUAAUUUAUUUUUAUUUAAUCUAGAGUUUGGAUUAAGUGUAACAACGAAGAUGAUAACUUGAAUUGAUGUUAUUCUUACGAUUUUGGUAUGAAUCUUUUUGUCUUCCAAAUUUACUCAUCUUUAUAACUAUUCAAUAUUAUAAUUUUUUUUUAUUUAUUUGUUAGGGAAGGAGCAAGUUGAUGUGGAAGCUCUUGAUCUAGGUACUACGGAUGGGAAUGAUUAUGAUGGAUUGCUUUGAUAAUUGACUUGGGUUGUCUUAUCUUGUUUUGAUUUGUAUAGACAUUACUAGAGUUUGUAUUGUAAUUGGGUUAAUACUACUAGUUUUUUGUUUUCUUUCUUUCAAUUUACCUGUUGAUGUCAUGUUUGUGGAAGUUUAUUAUUAGAGUUUAUGUUCUCAUUUAUUGAGAAAUAAUGAUUUUCGUGAUUAAACUUUAUUUUAAUUUUUUAGUAUUCUUUUAUUUAAGGAUGAAGUUAUCGUAAAAUUUAUUAUUUUUAAUUUUUUUAUCCACUAUAUUUUUUCAUAUUUUAAUAUUAAUUUAAUAAUUAAUAAAAAUUAAUAAUUAUUACAAUUUUAAUAUAAUUAAAUUUAUCAAAAUAAAAUAUAUUUUGAUAAUAAAAUUCGAACCAAACUCAAAUGAGUUGGUUUAGGUUGGGUUAAAAAUAUUUGGGUUGGUUUCGGUUGGGUCUAAACUUUUAUGACCUGAUUUGAGUUGACUUAAAACCAAAUCCAAACCUACCCAUGCCCACCCUUAGGAAUAACUAUUUUCAUCAUUAUCUAAUCAUAAAUAGGGGUGGCCAUUGGUUUGGUUCGUUUUGGUUUCAAGAUAAACUUUUGAUUUCGGUUCGGUUCAGUUUGGGUCCUAAAUUCAAAAAAUUUGUUCAAAUUUUAAGUAAAAUAAAAACCGAACUGGAAUUGACAGUUUGGUUCGGCAUCGAUUUUUCGGUUCAGUUUCAGUUUUCGGCAACGGUUCACUUAACGGUUUGAAUUAACAAAUCGAUUUUUCGGUUCACCUUAAUUUGCACACAAGGCCUACUAUAAUCAAUAUAUAAUAUAUAAAAAUAAAAUAAUUUACAUAUUUGUAUUUGCAAAAUAAUAAUAAUAAUAAUAAUAAUAAUAAUAAUAAUAAUAAUAAUAAUAAUUAUUAUUAUUAUUGCAAGAUUUUUGGACUAAAAUGAAGAAUUUUCAUAAUCAUCAUCAUUGUUUUUAAUAUCAAAACUUUUGGUCCAAAAUCAUAAAUAAAAUAAAAUAAGUUUCCGCACUAUAAUAUAUUUUAUUGAAACAUAGGGAUCAAAAUGAUAUCUUGUCCUGUUGACUUUCGGUCAAGGACUCUUUUGAAAAGUUUGCACAAAAUAUUAGGCCAUAACAGAAUUUUUAUAUGCAAACAUUCCCUAAACAUUGGGCCAUACUGUAAUUUUAUAAAGGAUAGGGAUCCAAAUAAUAUUAUCAAUUCAAAUUUUGUGAUAUUUGAUUCGAAAACCGAACCAAACUGAAUGGUUCAAUUUGAUAUUUCUAUAUUUGAUUUUUUAGCUUUAAAAAAACCGAACCGAAACCCAAAAAAAGAACCAAAUUAGAUUUUUUUGGGUUUCGGUUCGAUUUUUCCUACCCGUAAUCAUAAGUAUAAGUAUUAUUAAUUCAUCUCAAUUCAUGAAUGUAAGCCACAUUAAGUACAUGUAUAUGGCACAUGUUUUUAGAUUAAUGCACGUAUUAAUUUAAUUAUAAUCCUUAGAACAUAUUCAUGAACCAUAUUAAAAAUACGCAUGUAGCAUUUAAGAAUAUGCAUGUAACAUUCUCCCACCUAGCUCACAUAACUAAGAAUAUGCAUGCAACAUUCUCCCAAUUGGCUCACGUAAAUUUAUCCUUAUGAGAUAAAUUAAACCUUAUUAUUAUGGCCAUAAAAAAAAAGUAACCACUCAAACUACAUGAUAACGGUACUUUAUUUACUUUAUUCUAACAAACAUUUCCUUCCUUGUAUCACAAAUACAUGAUUUUUCUUAAAACUUCAUAUAAGUCAUUCAAGCCCCAAACAAAAAAAUUCUCAAUAAAUAUAACAAAUUUUAUGUACACAAACUUAAUAUUAUUAAAAAGUCGCGUAUACAUAAUUAGAAAUGAAUGUAGCAAACAAACAUUAAUUAAUUUAAGAAGCCCUAUAUGUUCAACAUGACUAUUAUACAAUGUGGCUGGCAAUCCUUUAGAAUAAAUAUAUUCAGUAUUUAUAUACUCAAUAGUUAUUCAUGCUUCUUAUAUGAUCUUUGACAACUAAGAACUUUAUAUCAAUAUAUUUGUUAUGACUCCCCUUUUUAUUAUUCUUUGAAAAGAAUACUACAGCAGAAUUAUCACAAUAGAUUUCCAUUAAACUUUUUAUAAAAUCAACAAUUUUUAGGUUUGUGAUAAAAUUUCUCAACCAUAAUGCUUGUGUUGUAGCUUCAUAGCAUCUAAUAAAUUCUACUUUCAUGGUAGAUGAAGCAAUUAUAGUUUGCUUACCACUCUUCCAAGAUAUAGCCCCUCUAGUAGGAGCGAAAAUAUAUCCUGAAGUGGACUUUCUAGUAUCCGCACAUCUAGCAAAAUCUGAAUCUGAAUAUCUAAUUACCUCAAGAUUAUUAGAAUGCUUAUAUGUGAGUUUAUAGUCUUUAGUUCCUUGUCGAUACUGCAUCACCUUUUUAGUAGCUUGAUAACUCUAUGAAAUGAGAGUUAUCAUGGCACUUUUAGACUUAAAUCAAUAAUGCUUAGAGAGUAAAUGAUAGGUUUCUAUUGCAUUUUUGUUACAUUUUUCAUAAAUAUUCAUUUUAAGUUAGUCUUAAUAAGUUUUCUUUAAUUUUAAGUAACUGUGUGCAUAAUUGUAGGUUUCCAGAAGUUUAUAAUUUAUGGAAGGAAUGCUGAUGCAAUAGACUUGCAAAAGAUGGAAAAGAACUUGGCUACAAAAGAAUUGAAACAAAUCUGGAACAGUGCAGUUGCUGUAGCCGUUGCUAUAGCAAUAUUGCUGUAGCCGUUGCUGUAGCAAUAUUGUUGUAGCCAUUGCUGUAGCAAUCCUGGAACACGACAGAGAAAAUUCUGCGCGGGAUACCUGCAGAAUUGCGAUCUGCAGUUUCCUAAUCUGACUAAUGCGCAGCCUAGGCUUCUGUUUACCCUAAUUUUCAACUAUAAAAGGAGCACACAUCAUAAGGAAUAAGGAGAGCCGUCACCCAAGGGGAAAAACAUAAAGAAACAAAAGAAAAACAAGAUUAAAGAGAGAGAUUGAAAGCUACACAAGAGGAAAAAUUACAGAUAGGGGUGGGCGCGGUUCGGUUCGGUUCGGUUCGGUUUUUUACUAAAUUUUUCAUAAUCGUUCGAUUACGAUUAUUUUAAAAUCAUAAUCGCGAUUAAUCAAAUUACUGAAAAAAUCAAAUACUCGAUUAAUUGAAAUAAUUCGAUUCGAUUCGGUUCGAUUAUUUUGAUUAUAGGCCUAUUGGGCCUAUUUUGGGAUUUUUUAAAUUUAAAACCUUCAAUUAAUAAAUCUACCACAAAUAUAAAAAAUUAACAAACAAAAAAUUAAAAUAUGUCACAAACACAUGCAAUAACAUAGACAUAAAUAUCUAAGCAGCCAAAUGACAGUCGUGAAUGACUCACGAGUUCAGAAGAUAUUUAUAUUUUUAUACUAUAUCACGAGGUAAGUGGCCACCUAGAAAAGCCGAGAACAAAUUAUAAAUAUUGAAUAUCUAAUAAAAAGAUUAUAAUUAUUGAAUAACCACGCACAUUUUACAAAAUUAAAGAGACUUUAAGUGGCAUGUAUUGAGAGCAUAACAACUAGAAUGGUUGGUAAACACCAACUUUUACCUAGCAGCUAACUCUUUGCUUCUACCUAACUCUGGAAGUACAUUAGUAAAUCACUUUCAUUUCAUAUUUGUUCAUUUUGUUUAACAUAGAGGCCAGAGAGGAAUGAGUCAAUUUAACUUAGCAUUUUACCACGCCUCAUGAGACUUAAUCAAUUUAUCCAGGAGAAGAGGAGAAGGUUAUUAUGAUUAUCCAAAUCAAAGAGUAAUUAAAGCUUGGUUGUAAAGGCAGCUUCUCUGAGAGAGUUUUAACCUUAUUCGAGCUUUAUUGGGAAAAGGUUUUCAAACAUGCAUUAAGAUAACGAGAAUUAAUAUAAUCACAUGCACUUGUUACACAUGGCACACAUGCCUGAUUUUAAUAGCUUGAAACCGAAGGGUUAACGUGCGUAUCAAAUUAAAUCAAGCAACAAGCACUUUUGAUGGCCAGCUUUGAUCAAAUCGAUACGAAUAAACAAAUUUGAUAGGAAUGGUGAUUAUGACUUGUGAUGCCGUUAAGAUACAAGAAAAAUAGUUUUUAUAUGUGUUACUCACUUACUCUUGCAAUGGUAGCCAGGAAGUGUUAUGUAAUUAUAAUUACUUAAUUUAAUUUACGUUGUAUUUUAAUCAAUUAGUUAUGUCCUUCCUCGAAUUUAAUUUACAGAAUAAAUUAAGUACGCGCAAAAUUUAAAGACAAUCACAAAAAAUUCAUACACAGAACUUGCCUUCAAGCAACGUGCACCAUGUUGAUAUCUGUUUUUUUCUUUUUCUUUUCCCUUUCUUUUCUUUUAACCCAAUUUUUACUUCAAUCUUCGUUUUUCUUCUUCCCCCAAAAUUAAACAGCGAUUACAUUCCUCAACAGCUAUAGAGAAUAAAAGCCACGACACUUUCAGGAUACCGAAACAUACCCACAUUUACUAAACAAAGGAGAUUUAAUUUAAAAAAAAUUGCAGAGUGGAUUAAGCACUGACCAAGUGAAAAGCUGACCAAUCGAAGUAAGAGCAACAUAAUGAACUCCACCAAGAGCAAUACAACGAACAGGAUCGUCCAAAUAAGGAUUCAAAGUAGGCACAAACGCAGCAUCCUCAUGCCCAAAUCCAAGCCGCCCGCCAUCUCCUUUGCCCCAAAUCCACAACUUCCCGUUCACCACCAACCCAGAAUGAAACAACCCACAUGAUGAAGAAUUUGAAAAGCGCUCUUACCCGGAUUGCUGCGACUCGGUUGGUGGCUGGAGUCACUCUGAGCGCUUAGCUUAUACGUCAGCGAGUUUCCUAACCUUUUGUGAGUCGCUGCUGAGAAAGGAACUCGCCGAGCUGGAGAUGAUAAAAUCGAGGGAGGCACUGAGGUGCGAGGCGGAGAAAAGGAGAAUGGAAUCAGAGGCUGAGAUGACUCGGAUGAUGAUGCAGACUCAAUUGCAGAUCGCGUCGUUUGUUGAGGGGAUGAAUGCAGGCUUUUAGGUUUUAGCUUUCAAAACAAUCGGUUUAUUUGAGAUUUCGGUUCGGUUUUGCAGUUUUUUUUUUUUUAAACCGAAAACCGAACCGAUUGAUUUUACUAUUUUUUUAUAUUACUAUUUCGAUUUUUUGAAGGUAAAAAAACCUUACAAAAAUCGAACCGAACCGUCGGUUCGGUUCUGUUUUUAAUUAAUCAGCUUUUUUUGCCCACCCCUAAUUGCAGAGAUCAAUUGGGAGCUCAAUCCUUCUUAUCCUUCUCUUGUUUUCAUGUUUUUUUAUUUAUUUAUGGAGAUGUGUUUCAUGGCCGAAACCUUGUUCUUUAUUUUUCUUUUGCAAAUCAUGAACUAAAUUUAUUUGUGAUUGAGUGAUAAACAAUAUUGAUGGUUUAUUGACUGAAUAUAUGUGUUGCUGCAUGUUUGCUGUAGCAUUUUGUUUUGAUAGUAUUUAUUUUAUUCGUUAUUUCGGUUGAUCACCCAUUUAAUUAUACUAGCUAAUGAAGAGCCGCAAAAGGGUCUAUUUUAGUGGAACAUAUUAAAACAAUACUUGAUUUUAAAUUGAGUUUCCCAUGUUGAGUUUUACUUGAAUCCCAAAAGGGCCAUGCUUGAUUUAAGAUUAGUGAUGAACUAGACAUAAGGAUUCACCUUGUACGGUAAAUAGAACCUAAGCGUGUAAUGCUAUAUCUUAUGUUGGCAUAGCAACUGAUCACUGUUAGGUUGCAUAUAAUUAUAAGAUAUUGAACAUGUGACGGCUGAGGAUACAUAAGGAUUCUGCCCAGUGCUGUAGCAAAUGCUGUAGCAACCGAGCCAAACAUUAGAAAAAUAGUCAAGACCAUUAAGAGAGUUUAUUCACUCAACUACUCUAUAUUCUCAUUGUUUUUAUCCUUGAGUUUGACGUGAUAAUCUACUUUGUUACAUUUUAUUUAUUCUGUUUUUAUUUUAAUUAGUAAAUUAGUUUCAUCAAUUGUUUAUCUUAAUUUAGACACAAAAUCUGCACUGUUAUGAUUGCUGUAGCAAGUCUAUUAACAUCAAUCCCUGUGGAGACGAUCUUGAAUACUCAUCACUUUAUUACUUGUUGUGUACACUUGCACAUUGACACCAAUAGCAUUAGUAUUUAUACACCAACAUAGCUCCUUGUUGAUAUUGCAUCACCUUUGUAGUAGCUUUUCAGUGUUCCAAUCCGAGAUUGCUUUGAUAUUUAUAGAGCAUGCUUACUACCUAGGCAAGAUCAGGCUUAGUACACACUUAUGCAUACAUUCGGCUAUCUAAGACAGAAGCAUAAUGAGUAUUCUUCAUUUGUUCUUUUUCAAAUUACUUUUGGACAUUAUUUCUGAUUGAAUUUGUCCUCUUUAAAAAUAGGCGCAACAGUAAGAGCACAGUCUUUCAUUUUAAUUUUUUCCAAAACUUUUUUAAUAUAUGCCUUUUGAGACAAUCUUAAUCUCCUUUUAAUCCUAAUUCUGUGAAUUUCUAUACCUAGAAUAUAUGAGGCUUCGCUUAUAUCGUUCCUGUCAAAGUUUUGGUUAAGAAAAUAUAUAGUAUCAUACAACAAACCCAAGUCGUUUCAAGCAAGCAAAAUAUCAUCUAUAUAUAAGACUAAAAAGAUAAAUUUGUUCCUACUAACCUUAAGGUAACUAAAUUGAUCAACAAUAUUUUCUAUGAAACCAUACAAAGUAACAACAUUGUGAAACUUUAAGACCAUUGGCAAAAAGCUUAUUUUAGUCUAUAUAUUUAUUUAAUUUGCAAGCUAAAUGAUUGUCUUUGUUAGCACAAAAACCUUCAGGCUGCUUCAUGUAUACUUCUUCUUCAAGAUUCCCAUUUAAGAAAGCGAUUUUCACAUCUAUUUGAUGUAGCUCUAAAUUAAAAUAAGCUACCAAAGCCAUGAUAAUUCUAAAGAAUUCUUUUUUGAAACUGGAGAAAAUGUUCCUUGAUAAUUUAUGCAUUCUUUUUGAGUGAAUUCCUUAACCACGGGUUUAGCUUUAUUUCGUUCUAUAUUAUCAAAAGCAUUCUUUUUGAUUUUGUAAAUCCAUUUACAACCUACAAUUAAAUUGCCAAAAGAUAAUUGAACAUAUCCCAGACUUAAUUUUUAGCCAUAGAUUCUAUUUUUUCCAUCAUUGCACCAUGUCAUAGUUUAGAAUUCUCUCCAUUUAUGGCUUGUAAAUGGAAGUUGGAUCUUAAUUGAGUUCAUACUUAAACUCAGACUCUUGAAAGAAUACUUUAUAAUCACUAAAAAUUAUAGAUUUCUUAUUCUUAAAGACUUUCUUAAUCCUAUUAUUUCACUUUUAUUUUGUGAAUUUUGAGUGAUAGAAUCUCCUUUGAACAAUCUGCCACUGGGUGUAUGUAAUGCUUAACCAUGUGUCCAUUAACUUUAAAUUCUUGACCUGUUUGUUCAUCUAAAAGAUCAACAGCCCCAUGAGGAUAAAAUUUCAACAACUUAAAAUGUCCAAACCAUCGUGAUUUUAGCUUUCCCGGAAAUAAUCUUAGUCUUGUAUUAUGGAGCAGCACUAAUUGACCAGGGCUGAAUUACCUGUUUUGAAUAUACUUGUCGUGCCAGUGUUUUGUCCUCUCUUUAUAGAUUCUUGCAUUUUCAUAUGAGAAUAGCCGUAAUUCAUCAAGCUCACAAAGUUGAAGAUUCCUUUGCUCUGCUGCAGCAUGAAUAUCCCAAUUUAAUUGCUUCAGUGCCCAGUGUGCUUUAUACUCUAGCUCUAGUAGCAAGUGACAAGCCUUCCUAUAAACAAUUUGGUAAGGAGACAUGCCAAGUGGAGUUUUGUAUGUUAUUCUGGAGGCCCAUAGGGAGUCAUGUAACUGCAAAUACCAAUCCUUCAUUGUUGAGUUCACCACUUUUUCUAAGAUCUUUUUAAUUUCUCUGUUGGACACUUCAACCUGACCAUUGGAUUGUGGGUGAUAUGUUGUUGCUACCUUGUGUCUGACUCCAUAGUUUACUAUAGCUGCAGCAAAGACUUUGUUGCAAAAAUGAGUACCCUCAUCACUAAUAAUUACUCUAGGAGUGCCAAACCUGGAAAAAAUAUUUUUUUGAAGAAAAGCCACUACUGUUUUAACAUCAUUGGUAGGUAAUACUUCAGCUUCUACCCACUUGAAGACAUAAUCCACAACAACAAUGAUAUAUAUGUUCCCAAAGAAUGGUGGAAAAUGUCACAUGAAAUCUAUUCCCCAUACAUAAAAAACUUCCACUUUCAGAAUGUUGGUCAAUGGCAUUUCAUGUCUUUUAGUGAUGUUCCCUGUCCUUUAACACUUGUCACAAUAUUUAACAAAUUUAUAAGCAUCUUUAAAAGUAGAAGGCCAGUAAUAACCUGAUUGUAGAACUUUAGCAGCUAUUCUGUGACCACCAAAAUGUCCUCCAUAUGCUGCAACAUGGCAUGACUCCAUUAUGUGGGGAAUUUCUCCUUCUGAAGCACAUCUUCGUAUUACUUGAUCUGAGCAUAACUUAUAUAACUGUGGGUCAUCCCACUGAUAACUUCUAACAUCAUGAAGAAAUUUAUUUUUCUCUUGAAAUUUUAGCUCAGGUGGUAGCAACCCACUUACUAAGUAGUUAGCAAAAUCUGCAUACCAUGGAGAUCCUGACUGCUGCAGCAUCUGUGCUUGCUGUACUACCAAUCGCUGUUCAUCAGGAAAAGUUUCAGUGAUGUCCCUCCUUGCAAUGUACUUGUGUCUGCUUCCAGCCGUGACAUGUGGUCUACUACUUGAUUCUCAGUCCCCUUUCUAUCUUUAAUUUCCUGAUCAAAUUCUUGAAGCAAUAAGAUCCAUCUGAUUAAUCUUGGUUUGACAUCCUUAUUUGAAAUUAAGUAUUUGAUGGCUGCAUGGCCUGUGUAUACAGUCACUUUAAUACCUACCAAGUAAGUUCUGAAUUUAUCAAAAGCAAAUACUAAUGCUAGCAACUCUUUAUCUGUAGUGGUGUAAUUGAUUUGAGUUUGAGUAAGAGUUUUGCUUGCAUAGUAUAUGGAGUGAAAAACCUUAUCAUUUCUUUGCCCUAAUACUACUCCCACAUAAUGGUCACUAGCAUCACACAUCAGUUCAAAUGGUAGAGUCCAGUCUGGAGAUAUAACCAUUGGUGCAGUGAUCAGAGCUUUUUUUAAUUCUCCAAAUGCUUGCAGACAAUCUUUGUUAAAGUGAAAAGACUUGUCAUGUUCCAACAAUGAGCAUAAUGGUUUAGCUACCUUGAAAAAAUCCUUAAUGAAUCUUCUGUAAAAUCCAACAUGACCCAGAAAACUCUUAAUACCCUUUAUUGAAGUGGGAGAUGGCAGUUUAUCUAUUACCUCUAUCUUGGCUUUGUCUACCUCAAUGUCAUUCUUGGACACCUUAUGACCCAACACUAUUCCUUUUUGCACCAUGAAAUGAGACUUUUCCCAAUUGAGUACUAAGUUAGUUAUCUCACAUCUUUUAAGAACUUCUUCCAAGUUGUGUAAACAAUCAUUGUAUGUCUCUCCAAAAAAUGAGAAGUCAUCCAUGAAAACUUCUAAAGUCUGCUAUACCAUAUCAGAAAAAAUAGACAUCAUGCAUCUCUGAAAAGUUGCUAGAGUAUUGCACAAACCAAAGGGCAUUCUUCUGAAGGCAAAUGUUCCAUAAGGAUAGGUAAAUAUAAUAUUCUCCUGAUCUUCUGGAGCUAUAACAUUCUGGUUGUAGCCUGAAUACCCAUCUAGGAAGCAAUAGUAUUGUUUUCCAGUAAGUCUGUCCAAUAUUUGAUCUAUGAAUGAGAGUGAGAAGUGAUCUUUCCUUGUGGCUUUGUUGAGAUUCCUAUAAUCCAUACAUACUCUCCAUCCAGUCACUGUUCUUGUAGGAAUAAGUUCAUCCCUCUCAUUAGCUAUCAUUGUUAUCCCUCCAUUCUUUGGAACACAUUGAACUAGGCUCACUCACAAACUGUCUGAUAUUGGAUAGGGUUCAAUAUUCUCUGAUGCUCCACCAAAUUGUUGUAGCAAUCUUCUAACAGGAUUUUAUGCAUGCAUAUUGAUGGGCUUAUCCCCUUGAUGUCUGCCAUGGUCCAUCCAAUUGCUCUUCUAUAUCUUCCAAGCAAAUCUACUAGACUCUGUUCUUGACCUGCAUUUAAGGUAGAGGAAAUGAUUACAGAGAGUGUGUUGUUUUGACCAAGAUAAACAUAUUUCAAGUGUGAAGGUAACAAUUUUAAUUCAAGACUUGGAGGUGAUUCAAUAGAUGGUAAAAUUAUUUUUACUUCCCUGUCUGAAAGAUUCAGAUGCUCAAUAAACCUGUUACGCCUAUCAGAUUGCUUUUCUUCUAUCCAAUCUAUCUGGUUUGCUGCAACAUCUUCCUCUUCUAAAUCUUCAAAGGUGGUGACUCUGUUGAUCUCAUUACAGCAGCAUCUGUCCACUAUGUCUGCUACAACAAAAUCCACAACACUUAGAAAAUUACAAUAUUCUACUUCAUCAGGGUUCUUCCAUAGCCUAUAGUACAUUAAAUGUGACUUGCUGUUCAUUCACUCUCAUGGUGAGCUCUCCUUUUUGUACAUUUAUCAGAGUCUUUCCAGUUGCUAGGAAAGGUCUUCCAAGUAUAAUGAGUACCUCUUUAUCAGCUUCAAAGUCUAGUACAAUGAAGUCUACUGGAAAGAUGAAUUUGUCCACCUUCACCAGUACAUCCUCAAUUUUUCCUUCAGGAUAUGCAUGAGAUAUGUCAGCUAAUUGCAGAGUAACUGUUGCUGGUCUGCAUUCCCCUACUCCCAGCUGUUUAAAUACAGACAAUGGUAUCAGAUUAAUACUGGCUCCUAAGUCACAAAGUACUCUGCCAGUGUACCUAAUUCCUAUAGAGCAGGGUAUUGUAAAACUUCUUGGAUCCUUCACUUUUGUAGGAAUCUUACUUUGGAGCAUAUGACUGCUCUCCUGUGUUAAAGCAACAAUUUUAAAUUCUCCCAGCCUUCUCUUUCGUGCCAAGAUGUCUUUUAAAAAUUUCACAUAAUUAGGCAUUUGUUCCAAAGCUUCCACAAAACGUAUGUUGAUGUGUAAUUGCUUCAGCACUUCUAGGAAUUUGCUGAACUGCUUGUCUUGUUUUUGCUUCUAGAAUCUCCGUGGGAAAGGUGGUGGAUGUCUAAACUGCUGGGUAGCUUCUGGAGGUACCAAACUUUGCUUGUUUGGUUUGGUGUAGGUCCUGGCUACUGGUGUUGCAACUUUUUUUUCAGCCAGUUCUGGUUGAGUUCCCUCUGAAGUUGCUGUAGCUUGGCCCCUGUAACCAGUGUCUUGAUGGUUGGGUUGUUGUAACAUGCUUCCAUCUUGAGGUGGUUUUUGUGAGGAAUUAAAUUUCAUCCCCUUUUUAAUCACAUCAACUGGGACAUCAAUAUUCUUUCCAGAUCUCAAAUUAAUUACUUUGUAGUGUUCUUUGCCCUCUCUCCCAGGGUCUUCUGUGUUGCUAGGUAAGCUUCAUUGAGUCCUGCUACUCAUUGCUGUGGCAAGUUGUCCUAUUUGGUUUUCCAGGUUCCUCAAGGAUACAGCUUGACUCUGUACAAUUGCUUUAUUCUUUGCAAUGUAUUCCUUAAUCAGUGCUUCCAGUGAAGUGAUUGGAUCCCGACUGAUAUGUUUUUGCCCUUGACUCUGUUGAUGAAAACCAGGUGGUUGAGUGUUCCUAUUUUGUCCAUUUAAUGCUGAAACAUUUCGAUUCUGACUGCUCCAUGAAAAAUUUAGGUGUUGUUUCCAGCCAGGGUUGUAAGUAUUUGAAUAUAGGUUGUUCUGAAGCUGUCAAUUGAAAUUACCCACAUAGUUUACUGAAGCUGGAUUUCCAGGACAAUUAUCAAAGUCAUGUUCUUCACUAUAGUAUACACAAGAAAGUUCAGCAACUUGCUUCACUACUGCUGGAGCAGAUGUCAUGGCCUUUACCAUGUUAGUCAAUGAGGUUACUUGUGCUGAUAAGGCUGUAAUUGCAUCUAUGUUAUGUACCCUUGCUGUUCCUUUUGCUACUAGUUGCCUGGCUGAUGGCCACUGAUAAUUAUUAUUGGCAAUUCUCUCCAGAAUUUUAUAAGCUUCAGUGUACGAUUUGAAUAACAUGGCUCCAUUUGCUGAAGCAUCCACCAUUAAUCUUGUACUAGGAUUCAACCCAUUGUAGAAAGUUUCCAAGUGAAUGCAACAAGGAAUGCCAUGAUGAGGACACCUUCUGAGCAGUUAUUUGAAUAUUUCCCAAGCCUCAUACAAACUCUCAUCUUCAAGUUGAUAGAAAAAAGUAAUCUCAUUCUGCAAUUUUGUAUUUUUUGUCGGUGGGAAAUAUUUCAUUAGGAAUUUAUCAGCCAACUCAUUCCAUGUAGUGAUAGAAUCAGAUGGUAAAAAAUUUAACCAUGCUCUUGCUCAAUCUCUUAAGGAAUAAGGAAAAAGCCUCAGUCUUAAGGCAUCUUAUGUUGCUCCAGCAAUCUUGAAAGUAUCACUCACUUCCAAGAACAACUUAAGAUGGAGAUGAGGAUCUUCAUUUGGCAAUCCAUUGAAUUGACCAAUUGUUUGCAACAUUUGAAACAUCACUGGCUUCAACUCAAAGUUUACAGCUUCUACUUCAGGUCUGAUUAUCCCAAGGUGUACAACUUGAGGAGUUAACACAACAUAAUCUCUAAUAGCUCUAUCUCUGUCAUCAACCAUGUAAAUAAUAUUGUUAUUGCCUGGCUGUCUCUCGUUAGGAUGUUUAUUAUGCUCUUCUUGAAUGUUGACUGGUUGUAAGGGCCCGUGAGGGUCUAAAUUUCCCAUAUCCUGCAAAUUAUUCAUGCCUGAAACAAUUUUUGAAUUCCUUUGUUCUCUUCGCAGUCUCCUAACAGUCCUUUCAAUCUCAUAAUCGAAUUGGAAUACCACAUAUCCGUCUUUGCGCAUGCAAGUACUAAUCUGCCAAUAAAUAAAAUGAAUCAAAUCAAAUUGGCACUAUCAAGAUUUACUUCACACUUUAAAAAUAGACAAUCAAUCCCCGGCAAUGGCGUCAAAAACUUGUUGGUUAAUUUUAUAAUCAAAUGCUACUAAUGCCAAUGUGCAAGUAUACACAACAAGUAAUAAAGUAAUAAAUAUUCAAGAUCGUCUCCACAUGUAUUGAUGUUACUUGAAAUGUUAUAGUAAUCACAAUAGUGCAAACUACUUAAGUCCGAAGUUAACAAACAUAAAGUGGUUUCUAUCGUAAUUGAUGAUUGUAAGAGAAUAAAGUAAAACAAUACCGUGAUGAAAUAAACUAAAUUAAAUGUGUCUAAGAUUUAAUUGAGACUAUGGUAGUUGAAUGAUCAAACUCUCCUUAUGGGCUGACUGUUUUUCAUCAAGUUAACACCAGUUGUUACGGUAAGUGCUGCAGCACUGGGUAGAAUUAGUCUGCAUCCUUAGCUGUCGCAUAUUGGAACUCUCAUACCCUUAAAUCUAUUAAUAAUGACUAGUUGUUAAUCUAAUUAUGAUAUGACAUUAUGACACUUUAGUCUCUCCACCCUACAAGGUGAGCACCUAUGUCUAGUGUGUCACAAAUCUUAACUUUAAAUAUAGCCCUUAUGGGAUUCAAGAUAACUUAAUCCAGGAAACUUAAAUUAAGAUCAAGUAAUACUCUAAUAAUAUCUACUAAGACAUGCCAUUUUGCGGCUCUAUCUUAACUUGAACUAUUAAAUGGGUGGUCAAUCGAAAUAACAAUUAUAUUAAUAAUAACUACUAGAGUAAAAUACUACAGGAACGACAUAACAACACAUAAGAACAGUCAAGAACCCAUUGAAUUGUUUGUCACUCAACUACAAGCAAAUCUAGUUCAUAUUCUGAAUGAGAAAAACAAACAUAAAUAUAUUGUUCACGGGAUACAUCAGAACAAUCAAAUAAAGAAGAGAAGUAUAAGUUGAGAACGGUAAAAAGCAAAUCCAAAUAACUCUGCACGAUUCCUCAAUGCUGCCGAAACCGCAUUCUUCAAUUCUGAUCUUCUUCUCCUUUCUUCUCUAAUGAUUUCACGAUAAUUCACUUGCCGCCUUUCUUUGUGGUGCGCGCCCCCCUUUUAUACUGCAAACUAGGGUAAAUAAAAGUCUGUGGGCAUGCAUGAGUUAAAUUAGGAAACAUGCAUAUCGCGAUUCUGCAGCUAGCCCGCGCUUAAGUUUUUUCCCUCAUUGCUCCCAGAUUGCUACAACACCAGUUGCUCUAACAACAGUUACAACACUGCACUGUUCCUGAUUGUGCUUUACUUCUUUUGCGGCCAUCUUCUUUCCUCCUCUUACUAGUUUAAUGUCUCAGCAUCCCUUCAUGAAUUAAGAACUUCUGAAAACCUACAAUUAUGCACAUGUUUUGAGCAAAAAAUUAAUUUGAUUCAAGCAAAACUUAUUAAGACUUAACUAAAAUGAAUGUUUAUGCAAAAUAUAACCAAAAUGUAAUAAAAACACCUUAUUUGUUUUCUAAGUGAUCUUGAUUUAAGUCUAGAAUUGAUGUAAUAACUCUCAUUUCAUAGAGUUAUCAGCUACCAAAGCCAUAAUAAUUCUAAAGAAUUCUUUUUUGAAACUGGAGAAAAUGUUCCUUGAUAAUUUAUGCCUUCUUUUUGAGUGAAUUCCUUAACCACGGGUCUAGCUUUAUAUCGUUCUAUAUUACCAGAAGCAUUCCUUUUGAUUUUUUAAAUCCAUUUACAACCUACAAUUGAAUGGCCAAAAGAUAAUUGAACAAAUCCCAGACUUUAUUUUGAGCCAUGGAUUCUAUUUUUUCCAUCAUUGAACCAUGUCAUAGUUUAGAAUUCUCUCCAUUUAUGGCUUGUAAAUCGAAGUUGGAUCUUGAUUGAGUUCAUACUUAAACUCAGACUCUUGAAAAGAAUACUUUAUAAUCACUAAAAAUUAUAGAUUUCUUACUUUCUUAAUCCUAUUAUUUCACUUUUAUUUUGUGAAUUUUGAGUGAUAGAAUCUUCAUGAAGUGGUUGAAAUUCAAUUGGUUGUUUCUUAAUUAUUUCCAUAGGAAAUACACCAACAUAUUCUUUAAUUUCUUGAAAUUCAAUAAUACUCAGAAAUUUAUUUCCACUAAGUUCAAGAUCUUCAAGAAAUUUUGUAUAUUUAGCUUCAACAAUCUUUAUAGUGUGUGAAGGACAAUGAAACCUAUAGCCCUUAAAGUUUGCUGGAUAGCCUGAAAAAUAACCACUAACUGUACCUGAGUCCAAUUUCUUUAAUUGAAGAUUAUAAAUCCUUACCUCAACAGGACAACCCCAAAUGUAUACAUGUCUGAAAAUAGGUUUCCAUCUGUUCUAAAUUUCAAAAAGUGUUGUAGGAACAGCCUUGGAUGGAACUUUGUUUAAAAUAUACACAACGGUUUUUAAAGCUUCACUCCAGAAUUUCAAGGGAAGACCUAAAUCGCUAAUCAUACUUCUUAUCAUGUCUAUAAGUGUUCUAUAUUUCCUUUUAGUAACAUCAUUCUGCUAUGGUGUGCUAGGUAUUAUAUAUAUUAUGCAAUAAUGCCUUAUCUUUCGAGAAAUUUUACAAAUGGACUAGGCAUUUUUUUUUGUAUAUCUCCAUAAUAUUCUCCACCCUUAUAAGAUCUUACAAUUUUAAUUUUUCUUUCUUUUUGUCUCUCUACUUCUACUUUAUAAAUCUUAAAAGCAUCAAAUGCUCUUUCUUUAUGAUUUAGAAAAUAGUGAUACAUGUAUCUUGAAUGGUCAUUUAUAAAUGAGAUAAAAUAUCUCUGAUCAUUUAGACAAAGAGUGGAAAAGGUUGCACAACUAUCAGUAUAUAUAAUCUCAAGAAUUUCUAUGCUCCUCUUAGUACCUUCAAUAGUCUUGUUAUUUUAUUUUCUCUUAAUGCAAUUUAUACAAGAAUUAAAAUCAAUAAAAUCAAGACUAUGUAAAACUCCAUCAUUUGCUAUUCUUUUAAUUAUCUCUAUAGAGAUAUGUCAUAAUCUCACAUGCCAAAGUUUGAAGGCAUUCUCAUUAGUAAUACAACAGUUAAUGCCAAUAUUUGCAUCAUGCAAAGUAAAAAGAUUAAAAUCAAAUGUGGGAUCUAAAUUUAACUUAUAUAAACCAUUAAGUCAAACACAACCGCAAAUAAAAUUAUUAUUAUUAUUAUAUAUAUUAAUUACAACCAGUUAGUUCAAAACAAAUUUAAAUCCUAAUGAAACAAGAUGAAUAACAAAAAUUAAAUUUCUAGAAAAUGUGGGUACAUAAAAUAUGUUUUCAAGGUCUAAAUAAAAACCAAAUUUUAAAACCAAUUUAAAAGUUCUCACAACCUCAACACUUGAUUGCAUUCUGAUUCCCUUGCUCAUUUGCUCUCGGAAUCAACCCAUAAUGUAUUAUUAGGGACAUCAAUAAAACGAGAUUCAUGACAUACAUAAGAGAUAGAUUUACCUUUCUUUUCUAGCCAUUUUAUAUUUUUGGCAAUUCUUGUUUAUGUGUCCUUUUUUCUUACAAAAGAAGUACUGAUCAUUCUUAUUAAAUUUCUUUAUUGGCACUUGCUUCUCCUUAUCCUUGGGAACACUUUUACUCUUUUGGUUAUUUCUUUUCACAUGAGUAGUUAAAUGGGCACUUUUUAACUUCUCAUGCUUCAAUUUCUCUUCUUCUUGAACACACAUGGUCAAAAGUUUAUUAAGAGACCAUUUUUCUUUAUGUGUGUUAUAUGAUAUUUUGAAUGGAACAUAUUUGUUAGGAAGAGAAUUAAGAAUGAAAUAAACCAAAAAUGACUCAAACAUCUUUAUCCCAAGUGACUUAAGUUGAACAACAAUAUCAUUCAUUUCCAUUAUAUGCUGACCUUUAGUAUUAUCAAGCUUCAUGCUUGAAAGUUCUUGCAUUAGAGUGCUUGCUAAUGCCUUAUCAGGACUUACAAAUUGUUCCUCAACAAUUUUUAUAAAAUCCUUAACUUUAGCGCAUUGUGGGAUGAAAUCUCUAAUGCUUUUGUUGACAUGAGAUUGCAUGACUAUCAAACUUAAGCAAUUAGAUCGCUCCCACUUUUCAUAUGCAUCUUUCUCACUUUGCGUACUUGAUUCCAUGGGAAUAGGCGGUUAAUCCUCACAAAGCGGCAAGUCAAUAUCCAUGUACCCUGAAGAGAACUCUCUCUUUCCAGAUAGAAAAGUUAUCGCCAUACAACAUUGGAACACGAGUAGAAUCACUGAAAUAAUUAGGAACCACUGUAUUGGAGAACAAAAAAAAUACAUUAAUGCUAUGAAAAUUUUAAUCUCAAUACGGAAUUUACCAAUGUAAAAAUUUAGUUGUAAAUUCAAACCUUCCUAUGGGCAGAGGUUACAUAAUGUAUUGAAUUUACAUUAAUCUUUAAUAACAAGAAUAGCAAAUUAAAUUCUAAUUUUGAUGCUCAAAUUAUCAUCUUAUUCCAAUUAUAUCUGUAUAAUAAUUUUUUCCCUUUGGGGCCAAAUAAUUAUAAAUUAAUUGCAACAUGUUCAACGCCUUUCAUGUCUAAAAUAACAUAUGAACAUGUGCUAUACAAAUAUCAUUAUAUAUUUCGAAUGUUGUGGCUUCUUUGAAAAAUGUGAUGAUGUUUCAAUAAAGGCAUUAGUAGAACAUGAUAUAAAAAUUCAAUAAAUUUAUGUAGAUUGUAUAAUUAUUCUUUCGUAGAUCUAUCAUAUUUUAAGUAGAAGGCUAAAUAACACAAAAUGUAUUGCAAUCAUGAUUACGAUGAUUUCCACAAUAAUAUAUAUUCAUUAUUAACACUUAGUCAUAUAUUAGUGAAUUCAAGCAUUAAAAUCUUCAUCAUGUGACAUGGUUUAAUACAUGUAUUCAUCGUAGCAUAUAAAGUCACAACCAUAUAAGAUCAAAACCAUAAACCGAAUGCAAACAAUAUUAUAUAACUAAACAACAAGAUCUAAAGGGAGGCUUUGAUACUAGGUGUAGUCUUAAUAAUAAUAUAUAUAGAAUAUAUUAUUGAUAUAAAUUUAAAUAAUUUACAUACUUUCACCUCCAGUCAUUAUUGUUCAAGUUAAUUUUGAAGAAUACUUAGAAUCUUCUGGUCUAUUCAUCUAGUCUUUAUUUGGUGGGUAAUUCACAAGCAAAGUUGUUAUUGGCUAGGUUAGGAACUCUUAUUAUAUAUAAUGGACUUCAUUCACUUUCCUCCAUUAAGAAAGUGAGUAAUUAUCCUUAUCUUAAUUUUAGAAAUAUAGAAUAAUUAUUCUCAUCAUUAUUUAACGAUAAAUAUGAUUAGUUUUAGUUUAUCUUAAAGUUAUGAAUGUGAGCCACAUUAGGGUGCUUGCAUGUAACACAUAUUUUGAGAUUAAUGCAAGUAUUAAUUUAAUUAUAAUGCUUGUAAUAUAUUCACGAACAAUAUUCAGAAUAUGCAUCUAACACAAGGGACAAGAUUUGAAGUCAACUUGGCUAACGGCUUCUUGUGAGCAAGUUAAGGUUGAUUUUUCAUCAAGCUUGACCACAGGGAGUACGGGGGGUGGUUCAGGACAUGCAUUACUUUAUUAGGAAGACUCUAAAGAUUAAUUAAUUAUUUAUUCUUAGUGUCGGUUUUUUUUUUUUGGGGUUUAAUCAUCUGGAAGAAUAUUAAAUUGUAGAAACAUUAUAGAAAGUUUAUUGGAUUGUUAAUUUUACUCUUAUUUAUUUUUUUCAAAGUGGUAUCUUGCAUAGUUUUCUUCUUUUUCCUUAACUCACAUUAAUUAACUAGAAAAUAGAACCGCGCUUCACGUGGUUCUUUAAAAAAAAAAUUAGUAUUAUCAUUUUUUCUUACUUUACACUUGAUGAAACUAAUAAAAAAUAUGAAUAGAUUUUUUUUGUAAGAUGAGGCAGCCUUAUAAAAAACAAAAGAACUAUUACCCAGCAAUACAAAUAAAGAAGCAACGCAAGAUAAAGAAUAAAAUGAGAGAAUAUAUUAUAAAGUGAUUUUAUUCAUUCCAAUUGUGUGUGUACAAAACAAAAAGAUGAGCUCUCAUUUUAUAGUUACAUAAUCACUCUAUGAAAUUAAUGAAAAUUAUAUUAUAAUUCCUUGUGAGAUAGUGGGAGUUAUAGGGAAGCUAAAGGUUGCUAAUGAGAGUAGGGGUGGGCAAAAUAUCCGAUCCGACCCGACCCGAUCCGAUCCGAUCCGAUCCAAAAAAUAUCGGGUUCGGAUCGGAUCGGAUUGUUGAUAUAACCCGAUCGGAUGUAUUCUUGCUAACUCGAUCGGAUCAUGAUCGGAUCGGAUGAAACCCGAUCCGAUCCGAAAAACCGAUCGGGUUGCCAAAGAAAAAAAAGAAAUUAAAGGUAAAAAAAGGAAACCUAAACUAAAGAGCACAUGCACGUGAAGAACACCCAACACUCUUUAAUAGCUAAAGACAAAAUCACAUUUUAGCCAAGCCAAUAACAUUCUUCAGUUGCAUCAAAACGGAAAAAAAAAAGAAAAAAAACAGAGAACACUCUUCCUCCCUUCCUCAACUUCUCAAUCUCAUCUCAAGAACACUAUUCACGAUUUCAUGCACACAACCACGCACACAUAUGGGAAAAGCAAGGGGCAGCCGGAUCGAUUUUUCCCGCAGUCACCGCCGACGCUAACUGCUCCGCAAGGACCGCAAAUGGAUCUGCUGCUACCGGAUCUGCUGCUACCGGAUCUGCUGCUCCACGCCGCCAGUCCUCCACCAUCACCUGAUCUGAUCCAAGAUCCAUUCAACCCGGUAAUUGCAAGGCUGCAACCCGAGUUUCCUUUUCCUCUUUUGAAGCUCUGUUGGUAUAAUAGUACUAUACCAGAUUGUUCGCCAUUUAGCAGUAAUAUAUCAUAUAUUAUUAUAUUACAUGUGAAAUUGUUAAUUUGUAAUUAUGUAUUGUUAAAUGUUAAUAAAAAAAAUAAGAAAAUUGUAAAUCCGAACCCAAUCCGAACCGAAUUUAACCCGAUUUAUUGACCCGAUCUGAUCCGAUCCGAAUAUAUAUCGGAUCGGAUCGGAUCGGGUUAUAAGUUCGGGUUGUGUUCGGAUGAAUUUGUGUUCAACCCGAUCAAUCCGAAAUCCGAUCGGGUUGAUCCGAAUCCGACCCGAACCCGUAUUUGCCCACCCCUAAAUGAGAGAUAGUGGGGAGACUAAGAGAUACAUAUUAUGAACAUCUACAUUUAUUUUAAUAAAUUCAUAACACUCCCCCUUGGAUGUUCAUUACAAAGAAUAUGCCUCAUUAAAAUCUUUACAUAAUUGUUAUUGUGUAAUAACAAUCAAAUUAAUUAUGAGAAGAUAAAAAGCCAAAUCUAAAAGAAAAUUUCUCUAUUUAUUAGAUAAUAUAGAAUAAACAAAGAUGAGAAAUGGUGAUGCCACAUCACCUCCUCAAGUUCCAGCUUUAUAUAUAUAUAUAGAUAUAUAGAUUUGUUUCCAUGAGUACCCUAAUUAUAAGCCACAUGCACGUUACAACAACUUAUGUUAAAAAAAAAUAUCAAGUUUUUGGGUGAAAACUUCAUGCAUAAUAUUAUUUUUAUUAUUUUUUUUUAUCAAAAUUACAAUUUAAAAAUUAUAUUCCAAAACAUUAUAACACAAUUUUGUUUUUCGCUUUACUAUCAAUCAGUGCCUAACCCCUCGAAACCAAAUUCAAUUUAAGUAUUACACCAAAAAAGAGGAAGAUUGCUAUUUAAAGUCGGAGAAAUUCUAGAAUACCUCUGAUGUUUUACAACCAAUUGAUGCAUGCAUAACAUGUGUGGUUGAAUUUAAUAUAACCACCACUUACAUUAUGAUUUUUCAAAGCCGAAAAGGAAGAUGGCUAGCUAAAGUUGAGGUCAAACUUUUUACACAAUAACAGAGUUCAUAAGCACCAUUCAUCAAAGUCGUCAAAGUCAAGGGAGCUAUGUAAUAAUCUCUAAUUUAAGUAAUUUUUUUCACUUUUAAUUUUAUUAAAAAUCUAUUUAAAAUUUAAUAAAAGCCCAAACCGCCUAAAAUGCCCUACAAUUUGCCAAAUUUGCCGAAUUUGCCAACCCUAAAUCUAAUUCAACCACUGUUGACUUUCCGCAUGGGGCAUGCAUCCAUUGAAGACUUUUGAGAAAGAAUACGUGAGAGGAAGGAAUAGCAUCACUUCAGAUUGGAUCCUGAGAAGAAAAAGAAGACGAUGAAGAUGGCGUCCAAAACCUAUGAAAAUAACCAAGAAUCACAUAUUCAAUAUUCACUCAUUAAUUUUUCAUUUUGUAUUCAACAUAUUAGUUUAUUCCAAAUCACGUGAGCAGUCAUUGUGAAGGUCCCUUUUAUUAAUUUGAAUUGAAUUAGGAGAAAAAUAUAUCUUCUACCAUAUUCCAGUAUGUUUCUUAGAAAGAAUGUAAUCAAAUUCCUUUGAUUGUUUCUUACUGGAAAAAUCUUCUUUUUAUAUUCUAUUAAUAGUGCUAAUAGAUAAUUAAUUUUUAAUUAUACCGAAAGAAAAUAGAUAUCAAAUUUUUAAAAAUAAAAUUCUAAAUAAAUGAACAAAUAGAGUUUUUUUUUUUUUCAAUUCAAAACGUCCCGUGAUCGUCAAUCAAUUUGGUGCUUGAAUAUAUUAACUAGGGGUAAGGGCAAUAACUUAUUUCCAAUACUCAGUAGCUUGAUUGAACCAAGUCUCCAUAAUUUUAGAAUCUCUUUGUUUAAUGACUCGAUUCCUGUGGUCGAAAUAGGAGAGUUUUUUUUUUUUUUGUCUCAUAUAGCUUAGCAGUCAAUUCUUUUGGUAUCUGGGGUUUUUGAAUUUAGUAUAUCAAAUUGAAUGAGAUUUCUCGUAGCUUAGCAAAACGUUUGGCUGCAUUCCUUUUCUUCUUCCCUAUUAAUUUUAUAUUUUUAUCGAAAGCAUUUUUUUUUUAGAAAAGAUAGAGGGGCAUGUAAAGCAUAAAAUUACUAUUUUAACUCCUCUACUUAAGAUUUGAAUUCAAAUAACCAAUUGAUUAAAAUUGUUUUGACAUCAAUCUUUUUUGUCUUAGUUGAUUUGGCUUUGCUGCACCCUAAAUCGAUGCAAAAGCUUAUUCGUCAAUUCCUUUUGCUCAAUUGUAAUUAUAGAGAUAAAUUUUUUUAGUGAAUUUAAGAAAAAGAAAUUAAAAAGAAAAGAGUUUUGAAAGAGUGCACAAUGACUCACUGAUUGAGCGCUCUAGCACGGAAGAUGAACGGGACUAAGCGAUCUGCCGAAGCUGUGGGAUAUAAAGAUGCUAAAUCACUAAACAAAUACUAGCUAACGGACCGAACCCACCACCAGUAACUAAAGAUUGCUCGGGGGUGGAUCCAGUCGGUGGGGCCUAGGGACAAGUUACUUAAACGGAACAUGUGCCUUGUCCUAAUUCAUGCAUGUUCGGAUCUUUCUAUACUGCUUUACUAGAUUCCAACAAAGGGCCAAAAAAAAAGGUGUCACUCCAAUUUUUUUUCUUCCUUCGUAAAGCUCUCUCUCUUCUAGAGAGGCUUGAAUGGAAGUGUUGAGGGGUCGUAAGGACUCAGGUGGUCACUCCCUAUGAGUGGGAUAUAACCCUAAAAAGUCAGCUAUUGGGGUUGGUGAGCUGGAUGAGAAAGCUGUGAGAGCAAAGUUAGUGUAGGGCGUUAAGGCACGAAUUUAAGUUAGUGAGCCUAAAUACCUUAUUCUCUAUCCAAGCAUUAACUACCAUGGAUACUGAAGAGCUAAUUCGCAAAUGUAAAGCAAUAACUAUCAGAGAGGAAGAUAAAGGCAGAAUAACGUUGGAAGUGAAUCUAAAAAACAAGAAAGAACAAAUGAUGGCAGGAUGCUUAGUGGGCAAAGUACUUUUCACGAAGGGAGUAAACAAAGAAGGGCUUAAGGCUGUGUUACAGCAAGUGUGGAGGACUUUCAAAGAAGUCAAGAUCGAAAGCGUGGGGAAUAAUAUUUUCAUGUUCAAAUAUGUUGAAGAAGCAGACAAAAAAAGAGUGCUAAAAGGGGAACCGUGGCACUUCGAUACGGUUUUGAUUGUUCUCGCUGAGCCAAGGGGGAUUGGGGAAGUCGCAAAACAAUCUUUUACCCAUACAUCUUUUUGGGUACAGAUUCGUAAUGUCCUACUAGCUUGUAUGGAUAAAGAAUUUCUCCAAGACUUGGGCAGGAAGAUUGGGUCAGUAGAGGAGGUCCAAAUAGAUGAUAAUGGAGAUUGCAUUGGGGAAUUUGCCAGAAUAAGAGUCUCAAUUAAUAUAACACAGUCGCUAGAGAAGAUUUUAUUCCUAAAACAGGAAGGUGAAACUGAUAUCCUAAUGCCGGUGGUCUAUGAACGCUUGCCGAAUUUUUGUUAUUGUUGCGGAGUUAUUGGACAUCAAUACAAGGAGUGUGGCAAGUAUUAAGGCCAACAAAGAGAAGAUCUACUGUAUGGGAGUUGGAUGAAGGCGAUUACAGUAGGGGGUUUCACAAAAAGGAAUUGAAACAAGGAUAAGUGGAACUAUGGGGCUGGUAAAUCGGAAGAAAAAUCGACAAGCUCAGAAAACCAAAGCUCCUAGCAACAGCAAAGGCAAAACCAAGAUAACCCGAUAGGGCAAACGGGUCGGAACCCAUUGAGAAAGAAACGAGGCAAACCAAGGAGCAUGCCAAGAUGGAUGAGAUGGAAGGAGUAGUUGAGCAACAAUUAAUGCGAGGAGUGAUAGAAUCAGAGACAAAAAAGCAAAUUGACGGCAACAAGCAAGAUGGGAAAACUGGCAAUGUAACAGUCCCUAGGAAAAUAGGAAUACAAGCGGGAAAUGGAAUUACAAAAGAGAGGGAAAAUAUGCAGAUAAGCCACGAAGGAAUAGAGGAAUCUGAAAUAAACGAUAGGCCGGAAGUCUCUCAACUACGGUCCAACAAGAGGAAAUAGAAGAAAUUAGCUAGAGAUCUGAGUGAAGGGGGAGAAAAAAUUGAGUUAGGAGCUCGAAAAAGUCCAAGGGGGAAAACAUUCGGGCAAAGCCCAAGGAAAAAAACAAAGCUCUCUGGCCCCAAUAAAUUCAAGCUUAAAAAUCUGGUGCAAGUCUCUCCAACAGCAAGACUCAAGCUGAGCUGGGAACCGUUGGUGCUGGAAGAAGUGGUAGUCAUGGAUUCAAACAAUGCAGAGAUAUCGGCGGAGGCUGGUGGUUGUUGGUUGAUUUAUAUAAUCAAUUAUUACCAAUGCCAAAGUGCAAGUAUACACAACAAGUAAUAAAGUAAUGAGUAUUCAAGAUCGUCCCCACAGGGAUUGAUGUUACUCAAGAUGCUAAAGCAAUCACAAUAAUGCAACCAACUAAAGAUCAAAACAAACACUUGUCAAAUUGUUCUUCCGUAACCAAUAAUUAUGAGGGAUAGAAAUAAACUAAUACUUCUACGAAAUAAAAUAAAUUAAUUGUGUUUAAGAUUCAAUUUAAAAUGUAGUAGUUGAAUGAUCAAACUCUCCUAAUGGGGUGACUGUUGAUUACCGAAUUAGCACCAGUUGUUGUGGUAAGUGCUGCAGCACUGGGUAGAACAAAUAUGCUUCCGCAGCUAUCGCAUGUUGGAAAUCUCAUACUUUUAAAUCUACUAACAAUGACUAGUUACUCAUAAAUUUAAUGGAUGGCUUUACGACCUUUAAUCUCUCUACCCUACAAGGUGAACACCUAUAUCUAGGAUUUCACGAAUCUUAAUUCAAGUACUGCCCUUAUGGGAUUUAGGAUGACCUAAUCCAGGAAACUCAACUUAAGAACAAGUAAUACUCCAAUAAUGUCCGCUAAGAUAUGCCCUUUUGCUGCUCUAUCUUAACUGAAAUCAUUAAAUGGGUGGUCAACCAAAAUAACAAUUAUGAUCAUAAAAACUAUUAGAAUAUAAUGCUACAACAUUAGCACAAUAACAUAUAAGAAUAGUCAAGAACCCAUUGGAUUAUUUGUCACUCAACUACACUUAAAUUUAGUUCAUAUUAUGAAUGAGAAAAGUAAACAUAAGUAUACUGAUCAUAGAAUACAUCCAAUCAAUCAAAUGAAGAAAGAUAAUGUGAAUUGAGCACGAUGAAAGUCUGAGGAUCCUUCUCGGUUCUUCAAUGAUGUCGAACAACACUCCUCAAUCUUCUUCUUCUCGCCUUUUUAAUUGUUUUUUGAUGAUAAUAAUUCUCCGCCGCUUGCUAUGUGGUGCAUGCUUCCUUUUUAUAUUGCAAAUUAGGUUAAAAACCGAAACCUAUGAGCGUGCAUGUGUUUAACUUAGGAAACAUGCAGAUCAUGAUUUGAUUGCUGACCGCGCCUAUAUUUUCUCCCGCGUUACUCCUAGAUUGCUAUAGCACGGGUUGCUCUAACAUCCGCAACAGCACUUGUAUUACUUCCGAUUGUGCUUUCUUUCUUUUGUGACCAUCUUCUUUCCUCCCCUUUCCAUCUACUAUCUCUGCAUCCUUUCAUGAAUUUAAAACCUACAAUUUAAAACCUGUUUUUAGCACAAAUUACUAUGGUUCAAGCAAAACUUGUUAAAACUCAACUAAAAUGAAUAUUUAUGCAAAAGGUCACCAAAAUGUAAUAAAAACACAUGAUUUGCUCUCCAAAUAACCUUUAUUCAAGUCUAGAACAGAUGUAAUAACUCUCAUUUCCUAGAGUUAUCACACGCCCAAACUUAAACUAUUGCUUGUCCUCAAGUAAUGAAAAAUACUAAUAUUUCCCGCAAACAAACAUGCACACAACUUCAGCUCUUUUAUCAAACUUGCAAAGAUUCUUCCACCUUCAGAUCAUAUUCCCAAUCAUACAAAAAUGCCCAUAGUAAAUCAGUUCUAGACUUAAGCUUCUUUCUGUCCAUAGUGUGUGUGUGCUGCCUUUGUGAUUGAAUUUCUGAUAUGCUGUAACAUUACCAAAGGAUUGCCGAAAUUUCUGCAAUCAUAUACUUUAUUCUUACAAGGGGUAGCAUAAAUUCUACAUAUUCAAACUGUAGUAGCUUUAACAUUGAUAACCUGGGGGAUAGUCAACCGCCUCACUGUAACAUUUAUUUUUCAUGUGAAUGUCGAUCACUUGUAAUGAUGACACCCAAUUACUCAAACCAUGCCCAAAUCAGAGUUGCUGCAGCAAUAUCUGUGGUAUAAUCUUAUCUCAAGAUAUCUUUGACUCAAGGCUGAACAUGGGGCUUAUGAACAGACCUGGCUACUCAAUGCCUUAGACAUAGGACAUAUAUAUAUAAUUUUUAUUUUAUUUUUUUUAACAUAUGUGCUACAACACUGCUUAUAACUCUUGCUGCCUUUUUACACAUUUCUGCAUAUGUGGUGCAUACUCAGAUCUGGUUACUCAGCAACUUAAGUUAUUGGAGCAGAGUUUUAUUUCAUAACUAUCCCAGUCAAUCAACAUGCUUCUCCCUUCAAAACUUAAGACUUUUGUUUCUAUUCUUUUUGGUUUUGCUCUAGCAGUUUCAUACAACUCAAUCACGGGCUAAGUGUUGGGACAAAAUUUCACUUCUAUCUAUAACUAUCUCUACUUGACAUUCUCAUAAAUACUGAAUAACACUCAAUUUAUCUUCAUUAGGUUUUCAAAUCCAUACACAAAUAACAGAUAAUAGAGCUUCACACAACACAAACAUAAACACAUGCAUUCAGAAACAAUCCCCCCCAAACUUGAGAGGUGUUGUGUCCUCACAAGCAAACAAAAAUAAAAACACACAAAUGGGCAAACAAAUCUUUUUUUUUUAAGAAACAAAAAGGCAAUUAGUGAGAUAAAAGUACUCCCCUGUGGUGGGGACUGCAGCCCAUGAUGUGAUGCUCUCAUCGCUUCUUGGAGGCACUGCGCAGCUUAUCCUUUGGUGAAGCCUUUGGGGAGGUGGCUGGCAAUGUCUUUGUCAUUUUCGCUGCAGGGCUGGUGAGAGGAGUUGUGGCUGGGGUUGCUGUAGCAGGACCCGCCGAUGUACUGUCUUUUCGUUUGCUAGGUUGCCUUGGACUGGUGCGGAUAGGCUUGCUGGGAGGUUGUUGUAGAGGUUGUGGGGUCAAUGCAUCAGCUGCCUAGCCCUCGGCUGUGAUGACAACAAUGACCUCAAGUAGUUGCUUGGCUUGUUCAGAUGUAGGCAUGGCUCUGGUUGCUGCAGCAGCCAGUUCAGCAUCGAUUUGCUCCAUGUCAUCGUCAGAGGCUGGAGGUGUUGCCAUUUUUUUUUUCUUUACCUUUGGCCUUUCCUUUGCUGACAAGGACUGGAAUAUGUGGCUCCAUGGCAAGGUCUUCCUCCUCCUCUUCUUGAAUAAUGUGCCGCUUCCUAGGUUUGGACUAGGAUGGGAUGGGUGGUUCCUCACGUUCUUGCUCUGAAUUCUCUUCUGCCUCUGAGGGUGAGCUAUCGGUCUCAGAUUUGUCACCUUCAUCCUCAGGUGGGUCAGAUGGUUCAGCAUCUUCUGAGUCAACCUCUACUAGUGGUUCAAUUGUAGCUGGCUCUGCUGGUUCAUCUGAAGCUGUGGCCUCUUCACUGGUCUCUGCUGGAGCGCCUGUGGUGCUAGUGUCAAAAUUGUAUUGCUGGAGCAGGGAAGCAGGGAAGUUCCGAUGAUUGCAUUUCAUGUAUUCAGCAAAUUGGUGUAGUUGUCCAUCCAGGUGCUGUAGAUAGCUCUAAAACCUACCAUUUUCCCUCUGCUGAGCUUCUACACACUGAUGAAUACUAGUGUUGAGUGCCUGGAUGGCUUGUUCUAAGCCGAGAGUUCGUCGUGCUCCUGUUAUAGCAACUUGUUCCAGCACUCUCGCCAGCAACUCUUUCAAUUGUUCGUGCCGUAAAGGCACCAUCAUUUUUGACAUGCUCAUCGUUGGCUUCAAGCUGAACACCUGAAACUACACAAAUACUGGUGACAAGUGAAGGAAAUAACAAAGCAGCAGUUCGAUGAGUUUUGGUUGCACACUCUCGGAUUUCUUUUUCAAUGAUUCUACCCACAUCUAUGGGCAGCCCUCUAACAAGGACAUAUAUCAAAACCAAUCUUUCUUGCGAAACCGUUGUAGUGUGAGUGGUGGGAAUAAGCCUAGAUUUCAAAAAUUUCACCCACACCUUAGCAAUAGGUUUCAAAUAUAUUCUGUUAACCACACGUCCUUCCUCGUUAACCCAUGAUGCCCCUUCGAUGGUAAGAGUUGUAAAAAUGGUAUUCCACUUUUUCGGGUUUAACUUAUCACGCAAUUUAGCAUACUCACAAGUAAUCUCAGCAGGUAAGUUAUAAAAAGCAUUGAUAACACGGGAGUCCAAUGGAACAAGAGUAUUUCUUACCCAAAUGUUAUGCUGAUCAGGGCUUACCAAAUUGGCAUAAAAUUCUUUUACCACCGGCAAUACAAGAUUGCAAGGAUGUUUACAAAACUCUAGCCAUCCUCUCUUUGCUGCAACAUUGUGGAUUGUUUUCACAAUUCCAGUAAGUUGGUCUGGAAAUUGAAACCCUUUUUCUUCCAGAAUCCGACGCGGCUCUAUGAAUUCUUCAUAUUUUUCCUCAGCGUGGUAACUCUGGAAUCGUGAUGGAUCUUUGAGGCGAUUGGCUGUUUUCUUGUAUCUCGGCAUUGCUGCAGCAAGAACAGAUUAAUGCUACUAGUUCUGAGAAUAAAAAGAGAAGAAAGAUGGUUAAGAAUUAUAAGAGUUGGACUUGCGAAAGAGAUGGGGAAUAGUGGCGUGGACACUAAGCACAGUGACUCCUAUUUAUAGUGGACUGUGAUGUGAGGAUAACUACGGUAACUUAGAGAUAAUUGAGGGAAUAAAAUAUUUGAAUUAAAUGUGCAUAUCCCAAAAUUAUCGGUCAUUGAAAUUAAAGCUGUGAUUUCGGAGAUUUGUUUCCGUAAUUUCUAUCCAUAUCCGAGCGUCCAUCUGUCAUGAUUUCAUCUCCAACGGAAAGUGAAGGCUCUAGCUUUUAAUUUACUGUAACGGAAAAAAUUAUUGAUGCAGCCCCCCCUUUGCUCAUUCCAAUGCCGUGCACAGAAUCCAUACCCAAGCUUCUGACACGUGGUUGUUGUCCCUUGAGUUCUGUCACCAGAGAUUUGCACUUGUCAAUAUGAAAUGCAAUUGCCACCUUUAUUUCAAAUUAAAAUUAAGUUUAAAAUUAUGAAAAUAACUAGAUUAAAUGACAUUGAAAAUAAUGAAUGCAAUAAUGUAAAAUGAUUAAAAUAACAAAACACGAUUAGCGAAAAUAGUAAAGAGGAAUGGUUGUUCAUAGUGGCUAGUUCCUCAAUGGGCUGUCUCCCAUGAAGCGCUUGAUUUAAGGUCCUUCAGCCUGACCUUCUGUCUUUGCUCAAUAGCUGGGUUCUUGAAGGAGUAACACCUCCUUUGAACCUUCUGCUGCUGGAUGUAUGUAAUGUUUAACCCUGUGCCCAUUAACCUUGAACUGGUGGCCUGUUUGUUCAUCCAAAAGAUCAACAGCUCCAUGAGGGUAAGAUUUUAACAGCUUAAACAAGCCAGACCAUCGUGACUUGAGCUUUCCCGGAAACAAUCUUAAUCUUGUAUUGCGGAGCAACACUAAUUGACCAGGGGUGAACUGCCUGUGUUGAAUAUGCUUGUCAUGCCAGUGUUUUGUUCUUUCUUUAUAAAUUCUGGCAUUUUCAUAUGAAAAUAACCUUAAUUCGUCAAGCUCACACAGUUGAAGCUUCAUUUGUUCUGCUGCAGCAUGCAUGUCCCAAUUUAGUUUCUUCAGUGCCCAGUGUGCUUUAUGCUCUAGCUCUAGAGGCAAAUGACAAGCCUUGCCAUAAACAAUUCGGUAAGGAGACAUGCCGAGUGGGGUUUUGUAUGCUGUUCUGUAGGCCCAUAAAAAAUCAUGCAAAUGUAAAGACCAAUCAUUCCUUAUUGGGUUCACCACUUUUUCUAAGAUCUUCUUAAUUUCUCUGUUGGACACUUCAGCCUGACCAUUUGAUUGUGGGUGAUAUGUUGUUGCUACCUUGUGUCUGACUCCAUAUUUCAUCAUUGCAGCAACAUAGAUUUUAUUGUAAAAAUGUGCACCUUCAUCACUAAUAAUUGCUCUAGGAGUGCCAAACCUGGAGAAAACAUUUUUUUGAAGAAAAGUUACCACGGUUUUAGCAUCAUUGGUAGGUAAUGCUGUAGCUUCCACCCACUUGGAGACAUAAUCUACAGCAACCAGGAUAUAUAAGUUCCCAAAGGAUGGGGGAAAAGGUCCCAUGAAAUCUAUUCCCCAAACAUCAAAGACUUCUACUUCCAGUAUGUUGGUCAAUGACAUCUCAUGUCUGCUAGUUAUGUUCCCUGUUCGUUGACAUCUGUCACACCAUUUAACAAAGUCACAUGCAUCUUUAAAAAUAGUGGGCCAAAAAUAUCCUGAUUGCAUGAUUUUGGCAGCUGUUCUAUGACCCCGAAAAUGUUCUCCAUAUGUUGCAGCAUGACAUGAUUCCAGUAUAUGAGGUAUUUCUUCUGCUGCAACACACCUUCUAAUUACUUGAUCUGAGCAUAGCUUAUAUAGAUGAGGGUCAUCCCACUGGUAGCUUUUAAUAUCAUGAAGGGAUUUCUUUUUCUCUUGAAAUUUCAGCUCAGGGGGUAGCAACCCACUGACUAGAUAAUUAGCAAAGUCUGCAUACCAAGGAGAUUCUGACUGCUGCAGCAUCUGUGCUGGCUGUACUACUAUCAGCUGUUCAUCAGGAAAAGUUUCAGUGAUGCUCUUCCUUGUCAAUGUACUAGUGUCUGCUUCCAACCGUGACAAAUGAUCUGCCACUUGAUUCUCAGUCCCCUUUCUAUCUUCAAUUUCCAUAUCAAAUUCUUGAAGCAAUAAGAUCCAUCUGAUUAGUCUUGGUUUGACAUCCUUCUUCGAAAUUAAAUAUUUGAUGGCUGCAUGGUCUGUGUAAACAAUUACUUUAGUACCUCUUGUUGAGUGUUAGAAAAUGCAUAUUUAUAAAGGAGAAAACCGUCAUUUUACAUUUCAAGUCUUACUAACAACCCUUACUUUUAUGUAUUUAAUUUUCUUGUGAUUUAAUUACAUGUGUUUUAUUUUAAUUAAGUAUUUUAUGUAUUUUAGGGGCAUUAUAGUCAUUUCACAAUAAAGGAGAGAUCAGACGGCAAAGCGGACAUCACUUUUGAACUCAGGACGGUCGAAAACCUUAGGAGGAGCAUAAAAGGAAAAAUGACACUAUUCAUAUGUACGGUACUAUUCACGUGUACGGUACUAACUACGUUACUGUUCACAAUACUGUUCACAUAGACGGAUCGAUGACGUGGCAUUGACCGAUGAUGUGGCAUUGACUGAUGAGGUGUCACGAUCCUGUUGGGCUAAAAUUCUUAUGUACUGUUGAUGGUGACGUGGCAGCAUAUCAGUGGAUGAAAAAUCUCGCGUACGGUACAUGCAUUACACAGGAUUAUUUUCAACCAAACCGCGUUACUGUUCAUCCGAGUCAAACCGCGUUACUGUUCAUCCGAGUCAAACCGCGUUACUGUUCAUCCGAGUCAAACCGUGUUACUGUUCAUCCGCGUGGUCAAACCGUGGACUGUUGACUGAUGACGUGGCGCAAUCCUGAGCGUCCAAACUGUUUUUAAUCCGAUGGCCAUGAUUUACUCCAUGUAUCUAUAAAAAGGGGGCCUCCCCCCCCAAUUUGAUAGCUCUGAAUCCAUUUUUGGGAUCCAUUUUCUGUAAUUCCUUCUCCAUCUUGUAUUUUCUUUGUAUUUUAAUAAAUUUCCAUUUUGCCGCUAGUUCAAUUAUGAAUAGCUAAUUUCCUUUCAAGCUUGGGUUGAAGGUGAAGUCUCAACAUGUGUCAUGGGCUUUAUUUGGUAAAUUUAUUUUCUUUUCCCCUCUAGUUUUUGUGGAUGAUUUGACUUAUCGUCGACAAAUAAUACUGAUCUUGUCUAGAUACCGCCUUGGUUACACCGGCUCUCUAGUAUAAGGUUAUUAUUAUUUGGCACGAUAAGCCCUUAGCACCAUAUUGAUUAGAGCGUGGUUCAUGAGGUGUGGAUUCCCCCUCAUGAUUUAAUUGGCAUUAAUAAGGAAUAUUUAGCCCAUGAUGCAUGUUGAUACGGAUCCAGAUACCCAAGUACGUCAUUUCAAUAGAAUUCUCUUCAAUUUAUUCUCGCUAUUUCAAUUCCAAUUUUAGAAUUUAUUCUCGCCAUUUUAAUUUAAGUUUUAGCAUAUUCCAAAUCAUUUCCACCACAAAUCCAAUCACCCAUUUACAGAAUUAAUUCUACACACAAUUAAAAUCCACCUCCUCGUGGGAUCGACACUCGUCACCAUUGAUCUACACUACAAUAGAUUCGUGCGUUUGCGAGUUCAUUAAAAUUUGCACAACAAGUUUUUGGCGCCGUUGCCGGGGAGGUAAGUAAUUUUAAUUCAUAGAAUUAAUUUUUGUGAAUAAUUUCUUUUAUUUGUUUCCUUGUAUUUUUUAUUAAAAAAAAAAAAAGUGAAUCCGCAUUUAGAGGUUAGUAUUUCUUUUCUUUUUCUCUUCUUUAAAAUUUUGUAAUUUUUAAUUUAUUUUUCUUUGUAAUUUUUGUUUAUCUUAUUAAUUUAAUUUUUAGUUAAUUUAUUUCACGUAUUUAUUUUUGUGUAUUUUAUAGUAAGGUUGUAAUAGCGCAAUAAGGUUAGUAUUGUAAUUUCUCCCUCUUAUUUAUUUUUAUUUGUUUUGUUCCCAUAUUUAUUUUUAUUUUUAUUUUAUUUUGCAUGCAUGGUCGUCGGUCAUUAUUACCUAAUCUUGAACCUAUAGACCUUGAAUUAAAAAAAAACACUUCGCACACACAAACACGUUAAAAAUAAAAUGGAUUUGCAACCACAGGAGAGGCCAUUUAAGGACUAUUUUAGUCCCUUAGCUAAUUUGAGCACAUCAUGUAUUAGAUACCCAAAUGUAGCUGCUAGGAGCUUUGAACUAAAACCUAGUGUGCUAAAUUGUCUCCCCACAUUCUAUGGCUUAGAAAAUGAGGACCCAUAUAAUCAUCUGAAUGAUUUUCAUACCAUUUGUCAAACUUUUAAAUAUGAAAAUUUUUCAGACGAUGAUGUUAAACUCAGAUUAUUCCCAUUUUCUUUAAAGGAUAGAGCUCGUUCAUGGUUAAAUACUUUGCCUGCUAAUAGCAUUGCAUCAUGGGAACAAAUGGUUACAAAAUUUCUAAAUAAAUAUUUCCCAGUGCAUAAAACCAAUUCUAUUCGCAGGGAAAUUUCAGAGUUUACACAAAGAGAGGACGAGCAGUUUUUCGAAACAUGGGAGCGAUUUAAUGGGCUACUCUUGAAGUGUCCACAUCAUGGGUACGAGAAAUGGCACCAAUGCCAAUACUUUUUGGAGGGAUUACUACCAAAUGUGCAAGAAUGGCUAAUGGCAACAAGUGGAGGAGAGCUAAUGUCAAAAAGUGCAUCAGAGAUUUGGGAAUUCUUCCAGCGACAAGCGGAUAAUUCCCAACAACGGAGUCGAUCACUCAGGAAUACUAGAAGAAUUAAGGGAGUAAAUGAGGUUCAAAUUGACGAGUCAACUUUGGGAAUCAAAGAAGUCAAGGAGAUGGUUGAAGGUCUUGCUCGACAAAUAGCAUCGUUAUCGACUGCUAAAUCAACAGAACCACAUGACCAUGACUCAUACUCCGAUCAAGCCAAUGCCAUAGGUGUAAUGAGAAAGCCAUCUAAUUACAACCCAUACUCCAACACAUAUAACCCUGGAUGGAGAGACCACCCCAAUUUUUCAUGGUCUCAAGGAUUCCAACAGAAUGGACCAGCAGCUCCAGCUCCACAAAUUCCUCAAGUUCCUCAAGCCUCUCAGCCCCCAUUUAGACCAUUCAAUCAGAACCAAAACUACUCUCAACCCAGACCAUGGGAGGAUUCAUUCCAGAAUCUCAAGAAUCUUACUCACUCCACGAUUGAGCAACAGAAUCGCACCAUUGAUGGACUACGAAAUGAGUUGAGAGCGGGCUUCAACUCACAAGCCCAAUCAGUUUCAAGCCUCGAGAAGAUGGUGGGACAACUUGCUUCUUCAGUUCAGACCUUGGCAAUUACUGUUGAGAAAGGUAAAUUUCCAAGUCAACCAGUGCCUAAUCCUAAAGGAGUACAUGAAGCAAGUACCAGUUCACCACAACAGCAUGGAGAGGUCAAAGCAGUCAUGACUUUGCGAAAAGGAAAGGAAGUCGACAACAAAGUGGAGAUGCUGGUGACAAAAGAAAAUCAAAUUGUACCUGUGAGUGUUGAGGACUCACCACCGGAGGAGAGAGAAGAAACCAACCCACGAGAAUAUGUUCCGAAAGCUCCAUUUCCUCAAAGAUUAGCUAAAGGAAAAAAGGGAAAAUCCACAGGUGAGAUUCUCGAAAUCUUCAAACAGGUAAGUGUCAAUAUCCCUUUGCUUGAUGCUAUAAAACAAAUUCCAUCUUAUGCCAAGUUUCUUAAAGACCUAUGUACUAAAAAGAGAAAUAUGCAUGUUCAAAAGAAGGCCUUUUUAACAGAAAACGUUAGUUCUAUACUCCAACAUAAAAUUCCUCUAAAAUGCAAAGACCCAGGCUCCCCCACUAUCUCAUGUAGUAUAGGGAACCACACAAUUGAGAAUGCUUUGUUGGAUUUAGGAGCUAGUGUAAGUCUUUUGCCUUACUCUGUAUUCGUGAAACUUGGAAUGGGAGAAUUACACCCAACUCCAGUGGUGUUACAACUUACAGAUCGGUCCACGAAAAUACCUCGUGGUAUUGUGGAGGACGUGCUUAUCCAGGUAGACAAGUUUUAUUUUCCUGUUGAUUUCAUUGUAAUUGACACUCAACCAAUACAAGACUCAAGGAAGCACAUCCCCAUUAUUCUAGGCCGACCUUUCUUGGCAACUGCAGAUGCUCAUAUUCAAUGUAGGACCGGAAAUAUGCAAUUGUCCUUCGGCAACAUGACUAUGGAGCUAAAUAUUUUCAACAUUGCCAAACAACCUCACAGUGCAGAUGAUGGAAUUGUUGAUGUGGAUUUAAUAGAAACAAUAUUUGAUAAUACUUUUCUUUCAAACCUUAGUGAUGAUCCUUUACAAACAUGUUUAACUCACUUUGGUUUGGAUUUUGAUAUUAACAGAUCGGUUGAUGAGGUCAACGCUCUACUUGACUCAGCACCAUCCAUGGACACUAAUAAAUGGAAGUCAAGAGUUGAACAACUAGCAUCAUCAGAGAAGAAACUCAUUCCAUCAUCAAAAUCACCACCGAAACUCGAGCUCAAACCAUUACCCAACACAUUGGAAUAUGCAUUUUUGGGGGAAGAAAGUACUCUACCGGUAAUCAUCUCAUCAUCCCUUAAUGACGAACAAAAAGGUAAGUUGUUGGAUGUUUUGAAAGAGCACAAAGGGGCAUUAGGAUGGACCAUAGCAGACAUAAAAGGUAUAAACCCUGCAGAUUGCAUGCAUUACAUUCACCUUGAUGAAAAUGCUAAAUCUACUAGGGAAAUGCAACGUCGGUUAAAUCCUAAUAUGAAAGAAGUUGUUAGAACAGAAGUCCUUAAGCUAUUAGACGCAGGUAUCAUUUACCUAAUUUCUGAUAGUUCAUGGGUCAGUCCUGUACAAGUUGUCCCCAAAAAGUCAGGAGUCACAGUAGUUACCAAUGCUGAUAAUGAAUUGAUACCAACUAGAGUAACUACAGGAUGGCGUGUAUGCAUUGAUUAUAGAAAGUUGAAUUCUGUCACACGUAAAGACCAUUUUCCUUUACCAUUUAUUGAUAAAAUGCUUGAUAGAUUAGUAAGCCAUGAAUUUUAUUGCUUUCUAGAUGGCUACUCAGGAUAUAAUCAGAUUCCCAUAGCACCAAAAGAUCAAGAGAAUACCACUUUCACUUGCCCUUUUGGCACAUUUGCAUAUAGGAGAAUGCCAUUUGGAUUAUGUAAUGCACCUGCUACAUUUCAACGAUGCAUGUUAAGCAUUUUUUCAUGGUUGAACGAUUCCUUGAAGUCUUUAUGGAUGACUUUUCUAUCUUUGGUGAUUCGUUUGAUCAAUGUUUACAUCAUCUAACGCUAGUUCUGCAGAGAUGUACCGAGAAGAACUUAGUCUUGAAUUGGGAGAAGUGCCAUUUUAUGGUAAAACAAGGUAUUGUUCUCGGUCACAUCAUUUCAAGCAAAGGUAUUGAGGUUGACAAAGCCAAGGUGGAUCUCAUUUCUAAUCUUCCUCCACCCAAAACAGUCAGAGAAGUAAGAUCUUUCCUUGUGCAUGCUGGUUUCUAUAGACGUUUCAUUAAAGAUUUUAGCAAAGUUUCUAGACCCUUAUGCAAUCUACUUGCUAAGGAUGUACCUUUUAUCUUUAAUGAUUCAUGUCUUGUGGCAUUUGAAAAAUUAAAGCAGUUGUUGACAUCAUCACCCAUCAUUCAGGCCCCAAACUGGAGCUUACCAUUUGAGCUCAUGUGUGAUGCAUCUGAUUAUGCAGUAGGAGCAGUAUUAGGACAAAGAGUUGAUCGAAUUCCCCAUGUUAUUUACUAUGCUAGUAUGACAUUGAAUGAUGCACAGUUGAACUAUUCAACUACUGAAAAAGAAAUGCUAGCAGUAGUGUUUGCAUUAGAAAAAUUUCGAUCUUAUCUCAUUGGUUGUAAAAUAAUUGUAUUCACAGAUCAUGCUGCUCUUAAAUAUCUUAUCACAAAGAAAGAUGCAAAAGUUAGACUAAUUCGUUGGGUGUUACUUUUGCAGGAAUUUGACUUGGAAUUUAAAGAUAAGAAAGGCACAGAAAAUGUUGUGGCGGACCAUCUCCCUCGUCUCCAUUUUGACACAAUUACAGAGCUAUUACCAUUAAAUGAGUCAUUUCCAGAUGAAUAAUUGAUGAGUGUAGAAGUAUUACCUUGGUAUGCUGAUAUAGUUAAUUAUCUUGUUACAGGUAAAUUUCCAGAGCAUUGGACCAAGCAAGACAAGGCUAAAUUCUUUGCAGAAAUAAAGAAUUUCUUUUGGGAUAACCCGUAUUUGUUCAAGUAUUGUGCAGACCAAAUUGUUAGACGAUGUGUCCCAGAAAGUGAAAUUCAGAAUAUCCUUUCAUUCUGCCAUGAACAAGCUUGUGGAGGCCAUUUCAGUGCUAAGAAAACAGCGACUAAAGUUUUACAAUGUGGUUUCUAUUGGCCAACUAUAUUUCGAGAUGCUUACACUUUCUGUUCUUCAUGUGAUAGGUGUCAACGAAUGGGGAGCAUUACGCGAAGGAACAUGAUGCCACUAAAUCCAAUUUUAGUGGUUGAGAUUUUUGACGUAUGGGGUAUCGACUUCAUGGGACCCUUUCCCCCAUCUUUUGGUCAUCAAUACAUAUUGGUUGCUGUUGACUACGUAUCAAAAUGGGUAGAAGCAAUUCCAUGUAGAACUAAUGAUCACAAGGUGGUGAUAGGAUUUUUGAAAAGCAACAUUGUUUCACGCUUUGGAUUCCCUCGAGCGAUAAUCAGUGAUGGUGGUGCCCACUUUUGUAACAAAGCAUUCAAGGCUCUUUUGACAAAGUAUUCAAUCACACACAAAGUGCCGACCCCGUAUCAUCCGCAAACCAGUGGCCAAGUUGAGAUCUCCAAUCGAGAAAUAAAGCAUAUAUUAGAAAAGACGGUGAGGCCAGACAGAAAAGAUUGGUCAUUAAGACUUGAUGAUGCAUUAUGGGCAUAUAGAACGGCUUUCAAGACCCCGAUUGGGAUGUCACCCUACAGGCUAGUGUAUGGAAAAGCUUGCCACCUACCUGUGGAACUCGAGCAUCGUGCAUAUUGGGCCAUCAAGAAAUUCAACUUUGACAUGCAGCAAGCCAGCUCAGAAAGAAGAUUACAACUGGCAGAACUUGAAGAAAUUCGCAAUGAUGCAUACGAAAAUGCCAAAAUUUACAAGCAACGAAUGAAAGUCUUUCAUGACAAGCACAUUAUGAGAAAAUCUUUCACUCCAGGUCAGAAAGUGCUUUUAUUCAAUUCUCGCUUGCACCUAUUCCCAGGUAAGUUACGCUCUCGAUGGUCUGGUCCCUUUAUUGUUCAUACUGUUUUUCCACAUGGGGCAAUUGAAAUUAAGGACCCAAAGAACGGUGUCACGUUUCAAGUUAAUGGUCAAAGAUUAAAGCCAUAUCUAGAAUACCAACCACAUGGCGAAGACACCGAAAUAAAUUUGAGUGACCCACCAAAUUUGAAUUGAUUUUUUUUCUUUUCGUUGAUUUGAUUUUUCUUUAUUUCUUUUUAUUAUUAUUCUUUUGCUAAUUGAAAUUGUUUUUGCAUAAGUGUGUUUAUUUUACCAUUAAGUUUUCUCUUAUCAUUUUUAAUCAUGAGUCUCAUACUUAGACCGUUCCUCCUGAACAUUCUUAAACCACUUUAACGUGUCAAAACUCAUCUCAAAAGGCAGAUUCAAUUUUGUAAAACACAACGCAUUUGGGCUCUACAACCACCAGAGUUAGUAGCCUAUGUUGAGGGUUUAGAACGCCAACUCAGAGACAUUGAGAGAAGUGUUUACGACAUCCAGUUGGAGCUUGAGGUAAAUUCAAUUAGAGGACGAUUUUAAUUUUCUUUGUGUGUUUUGAUUUGUUUUUCUGUUUGUGUGCUUUAGUUUGUUACCCUGGUGAAGUGGCGGAUAACGGUACUCCGUGACAAUCAAGUCGGUUACUUCAGUUUCCCAUAAUAACUGACAUUCUGAGGCGAAAGUAUGGACAGAAACGAGAUUCUAGCGAAGCUUCACAAGCGAUUUCCUUCACUUCCUCAGAAUGCCCUCCUCACGAUCUAUAAAGCUCGGUCUGAACGCAUGCGAUUGCUCAUGAGGAAUAACAUACCUGCAGACAUCCGUUGGUUAAUCGAGGCUAAAGUACGAUUGGCAGGUGAGUUACCUCCUAAAUUUAUUGCAUACAUGCCUGGUUGUGGUAAAGGAAAUUACGCAAGAAAACGACGAGCUCGAAGAAUUUCUGUUGCUUGUCAUAAGUGUGCCAGAAUGAGUUGCGAUAAAAACCCAUGUUCUUUAGGAAUGGUGUCUGAUAACAGGGAAGAUAAGAUUCAAUUCAUUAGGGAUGGCUUGAAUAAGGAGUCAUUGGAUGAUAUCCUUUUGUCUCUUGAAACGCAUCCCAAUGGAUAUGUGCAAGGAGCGAUUCUCCAGUUGUGGCCAUUAUUCCAGAAAGAGCAUGCACGAUAUAGUCUCGGGAAUCUGACUAUAAACGACCCUGUUUGCCAGUUUAUAAGAAAACUGGAUAGGAAGCCUAUCCUCGACCCAUAGAGGGCGUUCAAGUCGUUUCUGGACGUAAAACCAGAGGAAGAUGUGAGCCACAGUCGCAACUACGUGUAAAUAUCCUUUUACUUUACUGUUAUUUUAUUUCAUUUCACUGUUGUUUUAUUGUUUGCAUUAUUGUCUUUAAUAAUUUUAUUACUGUUUGCUUUGUUCUUUUUACUGUUUCCUUUUUUACUCGCGAGCCACGUGCUUUACGCGUUAUUUGACACUGACAUGUUACCUCAUUCACAGCUGUGAUCCACUGUCACCAAGAUUCUUAAAUGUGAUUUAUCUUUUGUCCAGCACUCACAAAUUAUUUUUUAGAAGUAUCACAAUGGCAGCUACUCCCAAUAGACAAUUCAAGAACAUUUGUGUGCUUUCUGGAUUUACCUAUGGCAAACAUAAAGAGUUCGUGGAGGCAGCCAUAGAUCUUGGUCGAAGCAUAGCAGCGAGAAAAUUACACUUGGUGUAUGGAGGAGGUAACCGAGGGUUAUCAAAAAUGGUCUCAGAAGCAGCUUUUAUCAGAGGAAGUCAAGUGUUAGGCAUCAUCCCAAGAGUCCUAAAACCAUUGGGCAGUUCGUCUGACUCAUCAACUGGAGAAGAGUUAGUCGUCUCAGGUAUGCAAGAAAGAAUAACUGAAAUGCUUAAUCAUGCUGAUGCUUUUAUUUUCCUUCCAGGAGAUCUUGCAACACUAGAGGCACUUAUGACACUAGCAUCUUGGGCCCAUCUACACAUUCACCAGAAACCCAUCGGUUUGUUAAAUGUCAAUAACUUUUAUGAUGACUUUAUCGCAUUUCUUAACCAUGCAAUAAAAAACUAUUUCAUUCCUUCUAAUGUGAAAAAACUCUUUAUUUGUGCUCACACUGCUAAUGAGCUACUUGAUAUGUUACAAGCUUAUAAACCGGAGCCAGACCCCUGGACCUUUGUGUUGGAGCGACCAAAUAAUGAUGGUAACAGUAGCCGCAGUAAGAAGUACAAAUUAGAUUUAACUCUCCGCCUGUAAAUAUUUUCUUCUGUGUUGCACCACUCAGGUGAUGUCUUCUACACUCUACUUCUUUCAUUUCAAACAUUGAGGACAAUGUUUCGUUCUGGUUGGGGGAGGGAAUAAUCGACAAUUGUGGAAUUUUGGUUAAGUUUUUACUAAUUUUUUGUUGUAGAAACUAACUGUUGCUAACUUUUUGUGUUGAAGAUGGCUGAAUAUGGAGUGUAGUGACUCUAGAAACGCAUCUUCAUCGUUUAAAAAAAAAUUUUUUUAAAAAAAAUUCAGACAUUUUCUUUUUCUUUAUUAUGUGUUUAUGUUUAUUUUUCUUCUUUUUAAUUUCUCCUCUAUAAAUAUACAUUUUCCAACUUUUGAGUCGAAGAUGGCUGAAUAUGGAGUGUAGUUCCUCUAGAAACGCAUCUUCUUAAAAAAAAAAAAAAAUCAUUUUCGUUUUCUAUCAUUUUACGUGUAACUUUUCUAAUUAGUUUUUAUGCAUCAUUUUCACAUUUCUGCAUGCAUAUUUUCCUUUCAUGUUUAGAAGAGGUUGGGGGGUAGAAUGUUGUUUAAAAAAAAAAAAAAUUAUGUUAUUUGUUUUAACAUUGGAUGACAUGAUUAAUUUCAAAUUUUAGUAUUUGUAUUAUCUUUGGUCUUAAGUGAUGUUACGCUAUGUUUGCUACUUUACAUGUUGAUGUCGGAGACAAAUAUGAGUUGCUUGAAGGAAUGAACAUGUCAUAAAAUAAGUGCCAAGUGAGUUGUUGAGCCUAUCAUUUUCUUGGAGAGUAACCCUUUUGCCCAUUCUCUAUACAGCUUAGCAGUUUAUUAUUUUACACACGAUCUCUAAAUUGCUUUUGAGUUAACCCUUAAAAAAAAUUGUAAAAUAAAAAAAAAAAAAAGUGUGUUGCUACAUUUGGAGGCCCAUCUAACUAGUAGAUAUGGAAGAUUAUUUAGAGCCCUAAAAGACGAUGGAAAGGCCAUCUUUGAUCCGUUUGAGCCUUUCUAGCCAUCCCUUUUAUCAAAUAUCCAUAGUUAACCCUUUUGAGCCUUUAAAAAAAAAAAAAAAAAAAACAUUUUUCUUUGUCAACUUAUCAUCUUGACCCACUCCGAUUUGGAGUAUUACCCAAUGUCUUAUAAGUUCCAUCACCUAUUUAUGUUUGAGAAAAUGUAAAUAAUUAUGUUGUUCAGUAAAGUUAUGCCAAAAAAAACAAAAAAAACAAAAAAAACAAAAAACAAAAGUUGUUGUUUCAAAAGAAAAAAAAAAUAAAAAUAAUAGGUGAAAUUCACCUUGCAACUUCCAAAAAAAAAAAAAAAAUUCUUUGCAUUUUUCUCAAACAUACACUUUGUUUUCCUUAUUUUCGUUCUUUGUUAGCCAUGUCCCUAGCCUACGUUACGUCCUAAUAAAAGUCCUUCUUGAUUUUAGGGAACUAUAGUUUGAAGUAGAAGCUAGUUAUAUGGGCUAAAAAGAUGUAGUGGUGCAUAUAAAAAAAAUAAAUAAAGUGGGUUGACUAACAUUUUUUUUUAAUUGACUUGAGAUCGUAUUAUUUCUAAGCUGAGGGCAUAUUUAUUUCAUUUUGGUGAGAGCAUGUGAUAUCAUUUCUUUAUUAUUUUCUCUCAAUUACCAUUCAUUGGAGUGACUAUUUUUAUUGGGUUUAAUUUCUUUGUGAGAGCGUCACUACUUCCAGUGAGAUUUUGGGGUGUGACAUGUCAUUCUUGAAAGUAGCUAUAACAAAGUCUACUGGGCCGAUUCAUGUGGAUGGUUGAUGUGGGUGUGAUAUUGCUUUAGACUGGAGAUAAUGCUUAUACUUUUAUUUGAUUGCUAUCAUUAAUCUGAUUGAAUAAACACGAGUGUUUCUAAAAAUAUAUAUAUAUUUUGAAUUUGAAUUUUGUUUUCGCUUUAUUUGCUAGGGACUAGCAAUAAGCUGGUUGGGGGGUGUGUUGAGUGUUAGAAAAUGCAUAUUUAUAAAGGAGAAAACCGUCAUUUUACAUUUCAAGUCUUACUAACAACCCUUACUUUUAUGUAUUUAACCUUCUUGUGAUUUAAUUACAUGUGUUUUAUUUUAAUUAAGUAUUUUAUGUAUUUUAGGGGCAUUAUAGUCAUUUCACAAUAAAGGAGAGAUCAGACGGCAAAACGGACAUCACUUUUGAACUCAGGACAGUCGAAAACCUUAGGAGGAGCAUAAAAGGAAAAACGAUACUAUUCAUAUGUACGGUACUAUUCACGUGUACGGUACUAACUACGUUACUGUUCACAAUACUGUUCACAUAGACGGAUCGAUGACGUGGCAUUGACCGAUGAUGUGGCAUUGACUGAUGAGGUGUCACGAUCCUGUUGGGCUAAAAUUCUUAUGUACUGUUGAUGGUGACGUGGCAGCAUAUCAGUGGAUGAAAAAUCUCGCGUACGGUACAUGCAUUACACAGGAUUAUUUUCAACCAAACCGCGUUACUGUUCAUCCGAGUCAAACCGCGUUACUGUUCAUCCAAGUCAAACCGUGUUACUGUUCAUCCGCGUGGUCAAACCGUGGACUGUUGACUGAUGACGUGGCGCAAUCCUGAGCAUCCAAAUUGUUUUUAAUCCGAUGGCCAUGAUUUACUCCAUGUAUCUAUAAAAAGGGGGCCUCCCCCCCCAAUUUGAUAGCUCUGAAUCCAUUUUUGGGAUCCAUUUUCUGUAAUUCCUUCUCCAUCUUGUAUUUUCUUUGUAUUUUAAUAAAUUCCCAUUUUGCCCCUAGUUCAAUUAUGAGUAGCUAAUUUCCUUUCAAGCUUGGGUUGAAGGUGAAGUCUCAACAUGUGUCAUGGGCUUUAUUUGGUAAAUUUAUUUUCUUUUCCCCUCUAGUUUUUGUGGAUGAUUUGACUUAUCGUCGACAAAUAAUACUGAUCUUGUCUAGAUACCGCCUUGGUUACACCGGCUCUCUAGUAUAAGGUUAUUAUUAUUUGGCACGAUAAGCCCUUAGCACCAUAUUGAUUAGAGCGUGGUUCAUGAGGUGUGGAUUCCCCCCUCAUGAUUUAAUUGGCAUUAAUAAAGAAUAUUUAGCCCAUGAUGCAUGUUGAUACGGAUCCAGAUACCCAAGUACGUCAUUUCAAUAGAAUUCUCUUCAAUUUAUUCUCGCUAUUUCAAUUCCAAUUUUAGAAUUUAUUCUCGCCAUUUUAAUUUAAGUUUUAGCAUAUUCCAAAUCAUUUCCACCACAAAUCCAAUCACCCAUUUACAGAAUUAAUUCUACACACAAUUAAAAUCCACCUCCUCGUGGGAUCGACACUCGUCACCAUUGAUCUACACUACAAUAGAUUCGUGCGCUUGCGAGUUCAUUAAAAUUUGCACAACACCUCCCAGGUAAGCUCUGAAUUUGUCAAAAACAAAAACUACUGCCAACAACUCUUUUUCUGUAGUGGUGUAAUUGAUCUGUGUUGGAGUGAAAGUUUUGCUUGCAUAGUAUAUGGAAUGAAAAACCUUAUUCUUCCUUUGCCCUAAUACAGCUCCCACAGAAUGAUCACUAGCAUCACACAUCAAUUCAAAUGGUAAAUUCCAAUCUAGAGAUAUAACUACUGGAGCAGUAAUGAGGGCUUUCUUUAAUUCUUCGAAUGCUUGAAGGCAUUCUUUGUCAAAAUAAAAUGGUUUGUCAUGCUCCAGCAAUGAACACAGAGGCUUGGAUACUUCGGAAAAAUACUUAAUGAAUCUUCUGUAGAAACCAGCAUGACCUAGAAAACUCCUAAUCCCCUUUACUGAAGCUGGGGGUGGCAGUUUAUCGAUUACCUCUAUCUUGGCCUUGUCUACCUCAAUACCAUUCUUGGAUAUCUUGUGACCCAAUACUAUUCCUUUUUGCACCAUGAAAUGGCACUUCUCCCAAUUAAGUACUAAGUUGGUCAUUUCACAUCUUUUAAGAAUUUCUUCCAAGUUAUGUAAACAAUUACUGUAUGUUUCUCUAAAAACUAAGAAAUCAUCCAUGAAAACUUCCAAAGUCUGCUCCACCAUAUAAGAGAAUAUAGACAUCAUGCAUCUCUGAAAAGUUGCUGGAGCAUUGCAUAACCCAAAAGGCAUUCUUCUGAAGGCAAAUGUUCCAUAAGGACAUGUAUAUGUAGUCUUCUCUUGAUCCUCUGGUGCUAUAGCAAUCUAGUUGUAGCCUGAAUACCCAUAUAAGAAACAAUAGUAUUGUUUUCCAGCAAGCCUGUCCAGUAUCUGAUCGAUGAAUGGAAGUGGGAAAUGGUCUUUUCUUGUGGCUUUGUUGAGUUUUCUGUAAUCCAUACACACUCUCCAUCCAGUCAUUGUCCUUGUAGGAAUAAGUUCAUUUUUCUCAUUGGCCAUUACUAUUAUCCUUCAUUUCUUUGGAACACACUGAACUGGGCUUACCCAUGAACUGUCUGAUAUUGGGUAUAUGAUUCCAGCAUCUAACCAUUUGAUGAUUUCCUUCUUCACUACUUCUUUCAUAAUAGGAUUCAGCCUUCUCUGGUGCUCCACCGAGUUGCUGGAACAGUCUUCUAAAAGGAUCUUAUGCAUACAUAUUGAUGGGCCGAUACCCUUUAUAUCUGCCAUGGUCCAUCCAAUUGUUCUUCUGUAUUUUCCCAGCAAAUCCACUAUGCUUUGUUCUUGACCUGCAUCCAAAGUAGAUGAAAUGAUUAUAGAGAGUGUGUUGUUUUGACCAAGAUAAGCAUACUUUAAAUGUGAAGGUAACAGUUUUAAUUCAAGAUUAGGGGUGAUUCAAUAGAUGGUAAUGUUGGUUUUACUUCCCUGUCUGAAAGAUUCAGGUGUUCAAUGACUCUGGUGUGCCUAUUAGAUUGUUGUUUGUCCAUCCAAUCUGUUUGAAUUGCUGCAACAUCUUCCUCUUCAACCUCCUCAAAGGUGGUGACUUUGUUAAGUACAUUACUGCAACAUUUGUCCAUUCUGUCUGCUACAACAAGGUCCACUACACUUAGGAAAUUGCAAUCUUCUAUUUCAUCAGGGUUUCGCAUAGCCUCUAGUACAUUAAAUGUGACUUGCUGAUCAUUCACUCUCAUGGUCAAUUCUCCUUUCUGCACAUCUAUCAGAGUUUUUCCAGUUGCUAGGAAAGGUCUGCCAAGUAUAAUGGGUACCUCUUUGUCAGCUUCAAAGUCCAGCACAAUGAAAUCCACUGGAAAAAUGAAUUUGUCAACCUUCACCAGUACAUCCUCUAUCUUUCCUUCAGAAUAUGCAUGAGAUUUGUCAGCCAAUUGCAGAGUGACAGUUGUUGGUCUGCACUCCCCCACUCCAAGCUGCUUAAACACAGAUAAUGGCAUCAAGUUAAUACUAGCUCCCAGAUCACAAAGUGCUCUACCAGCAUACCUAUUCCCUAUAGAGCAGGGUAUUGUAAAAUUCCCUGGAUCUUUUAAUUUUGUGGGAAUUUUACUCUGAAGCAUAUGGCUGCUUUCCUAUGUUAGAGCAACAGUUUCAAAUUCUCCCAGCCUUCUCUUUCGUGCCAAUAUAUCUUUUAGAAAUUUCACAUAAUUUGGCAUUUGCUCCAAGGCUUCCACAAAAGGUAUGUUUAUGUGCAAUUGCUUCAGCACUUCCAGAAAUUUGCUGAACUGCUUGUCUUGUUUUUGCUUCUGGAACCUUUGAGGGAAAGGUGGUGGAUGUCUAAACUGCUGGUUAGAUUCAGGAGUUACCCACCUCUGUUUGUCUAAGUUGGUGCAGGUUGGUGUUGUAACUUCUUUUUCAGCAAGAUCUGGUUGAAUUUCUUUUCCAGUUGCUGUAGCUGAUUCCCUGGCAUCAGAGUCUUGAUGUGGAGUCUGCUGUAACAAGCUUCCAUUUUGAGUUGGUUUUUGGGCUGAAUUGCAUUCCAUCCCAUUUUUGGUUACCUCAACUGAGGUAUCAACAUGCUUUCCAGAUCUCAGACUAAUCACUUUGCAGUGCUCUUUGCUCUCUCUCCUAGGAUCUUCUGUGUUGCUAGGUAAGCAUCCUUGAGUUUUGCUGCUCAUUGCUGUAGCUAAUUGUCCCAUUUGAUUUUCAAGGUUCCUCAAGGACACAGCUUGACUCUGCACAAUUGCUUCAUUCUUUGCAAUAUACUCCUUGAUUAAUACUUCCAAUGAAGUGAUUGGAUCCUGACUGAUAUGCUUUUGCCCUUGACUCUGUUGAUGAAAACCAGGUGGUUGUGGCUGUGUGUUUCUGCUUAGUCCAUUCAAUGCUGGAGCAUUUCGAUUCUGAUUGCUCCAUGAGAAAUUUGGGUGUUGUUUCCAGUCUGGGUUGUAAGUCUUUGAAUAUGGGUUGUUAUGAGGUUGUCGAUUGAAGUUACCCACAUAAUUUACCGAGGCUGGAUUUCCAGGACAAUUAUCAAAAUCAUGAUCUUCACCACAGUAGACACAAGAAAGUUCAGUCACUUGCUUUACUGUUGCUGGAGCAGCUGCCAUGGCUUUUACCAUGUUAGUCAAUGAAGUUACUUGAGCUGAUAGGGCUGUAAUUGCAUCAAUGUUGUGUACCCCUGCUGAUCCUUCGGCUACUGGUUGCCUAGCUGAAGGCCAUUGAUAAUUAUUAUUGGCAAUUCUCUCCAGAAUUUCAUAAGCUUCAGUGUAGGAUUUGGAUAACAGAGCCCCAUUUGCUGAAGCAUCCACCAUUAACCUUGUGCUCGAGUUUAACCCAUUGUAGAAUGUUUCCAAUUGAAUGCAACAGGGAAUACCAUGAUGAGAACACCUUCUGAGCAAUUCCUUGAACCUUUCCCAAGCUUCGUACAGACUCUCAUCUUCAAUUUGAUGGAAUGAGGUAAUUUCAUUCCGUAAUUUCGCAUUCUUUAUUGGUGAGAAAUAUUUCAUUAGGAAUUUAUCAACCAAUUCAUUCCAUGUAGUGAUGCAGUCAGAUGGUAAUAAAUUUAACCAUGCUCUUGCUCGAUCCCUUAAGGAAUAAGGAAAGAGCCUCAGCCUUAAGGCAUCUUGCGUUGCUCCAGCAAUCUUGAAGGCAUCACUUACUUCCAAGAACAAUUUAAGAUGGAGAUGAGGAUCUUCAUUUGGCAAUCCAUUGAAUUGCCCAACUGUUUGCAACAUCUGAAACAUCACUGGUUUUAACUCAAAGUUAGCAGCAUCUACUUCAGGUCUGAUGAUACCAGGAUAGACAACUUGAGGAGUUAGCACGGUAUAAUCUCGUAUAGAUCUGUCUCUGUCAUCAGCCAUGUAAAUAAUAUUGUUGUUGCCUGGCUGUCUCCUGUUAGCAUGUUCAUUCUGCUCUUCUUGAAUGUUGGCUGGUUGCAAAGGCCUGUUAGGGUUCAAAUUUCCCUCAACUUGCAAAUUAUUCAUGUCUGAAAUAGUCUUUGAAUUUCUUUGUUCUCUUCGCAAUCUCCUAAUAGUCCAUUCAAUCUCAGGAUCGAAUUGGAAUAUCACAGAUCCGUCCUUGCGCAUGCACGUACUGAUCUGACAAUCAAUAAAAUGAAUCAAGGUUAGUUCUAGUGCUAUCACGAUUUACUUCACACUUUAAAAAUAAACAAUCAAUCCCCGGCAACGGCGCCAAAAACUUGUUAGUUGAUUUAUAUAAUCAAUUAUUACCAAUGCCAAAGUACAAGUAUACACAACAAGUAAUAAAGUAAUGAGUAUUCAAGAUCGUCUCCACAGGGAUUGAUGUUACUCAAGGUACUAAAGCAAUCACAAUAAUGCAACCAACUAAAGAUCGAAACAAACACUUGUCAAAUUGUUCUUCCAUAACCAAUAAUUAUGAGGGAUAGAAAUAAACUAAUACUUCUACGAAAUAAACUAAAUUAAUUGUGUUUAAGAUUCAAUUUAAAACGUAGUAGUUGAAUGAUCAAACUCUCCUAAUGGGGUGACUGUUGAUUACCGAAUUAGCACCAGUUGUUGUGGUAAGUGCUGCAGCCCUGGGUAGAACAAAUCUGCUUUCGCAGCUAUCGCAUGUUGGAAAUCUCAUACUUUUAAAUCUACUAACAAUAACCAGUUACUCAUAAAUUUAAUGGAUGGCUUUACGACCUUUAAUCUCUCUACCCUACAAGGUGAACACCUAUAUCUAGGAUUUCACGAAUCUUAAUUCAAGUACUGCCCUUAUGGGAUUUAGGAUGACCUAAUCCAGGAAACUCAACUUAAGAACAAGUAAUACUCCAAUAAUGUCCGCUAAGAUAUGCCCUUUUGCUGUUUUAUCUUAACUGAAAUCAUUAAAUGGGUAGUCAACCAAAAUAACAAUUAUGAUCAUAAAAACUAUUAGAAUAUAAUGCUACAACAUUAGCACAAUAACAUAUAAGAACAGUUAAGAACCCAUUGGAUUAUUUGUCACUCAACUACACUUAAAUUUAGUUCAUAUUUUGAAUGAGAAAAGUAAACAUAAGUAUACUGAUCAUAGAAUACAUCCAAUCAAUCAAAGGAAGAAAGAUAAUAUGAAUUGAGCACGAUGAGAGUCUGAGGAUCCUUCUCGGUUCUUCAACAAUGUCGAACAGCACUCCUUAAUCUUUUUUUUCUCGCCUCUUUAAUUAUUUUUGGAUGAUAAUACUUCUCCGCCGCUUGCUAUGUGGUGCAUGCCUCCUUUUUAUAUUGCAACCUAUGAGCGUGCAUGUGUUUGACUUAGGAAACAUGCAGAUCGUGAUUUGAUUGCUGACCGCGCCUAUAUUUUCUCUCAUGUUACUCCCAGAUUGCUAUAGCACUGGUUGCUCUAACAUCCGUAACAGCACUUGUAUUACUUCCGAUUGUGCUUUCUUUCUUUUGUGACCAUCUUCUUUCCUCCCUUUUCCAUCUACUGUCUCUGCAUCCUUUCAUGAAUUUAAAACCUACAAUUUAAAACCUGUUUUUAGCACAAAUUACUAUGAUUCAAGCAAAACUUGUUAAAACUCAACUAAAAUGAAUGUUUAUGCAAAAGGUCACCUAAAAUGAAUGUUUAUGCAAAAGGUCACCAAAAUGUAAUCAAAACACAUGAUUUGCUCUCCAAAUGACCUUUAUUCAAGUUUAGAACAGAUUUAAUAACUCUCAUUUCCUAGAGUUAUCAGUGGUCAGCCCCGCCGGAAGCUAUGAAUAUCCUCAGCUGGAAUGUUCGGUGUUUGGGGAAUCCCCGAGCAUUUCAAGCCUUAAAAAAAAUCCUCCAUUUGUAUGGUGCUCAGCUGGUGUUUUUGUGUGAAACAAAAGUAUCAACCAUGCAAAUGAAUGUGAUUGCAAUAAGCUAAACUUUGAGAAUUGCUUCGCGGUGAACUGUAACGGAAGAGUAUGAGGCUUAACAAUGCUCUGGAAGUCAGGUACGGGGUGCAAAUCAAUUCUUUCAGCCAGCACCACAUUGAUGCCGAAACUCAAAUGCCAAAUGGGAAGCGAAUGCGAAUUACAAGGGUGUACGGUCAUCCAGAAACAUGACAGAAAAAAAACACUUGGAUGCUUCUAAGACGGCUGGCAGGUUUAUCUUCUAGCCCUUGGUUGUGUUGUGGAGAUUUUAAUGAAAUUUUGCAUCCGGAUGAGAAGAGUGGUGGCAAUGAUAGGAAUGUGAAUUUAAUCAAUGACUUUAGAGAAGUCUUGAGAGAUUGUGGCUUAAAGGAUGUAGGGUAUCUGGGGUACGCUUUUACUUGGAAUAAUGGGAGAUAUGGGCAGGGCUUUGUGGAAGAAAGGUUGGAUAGGUUUGUUUGCAAUAAAGCUUGGAGUGAUAGUUUUGUGGACUGUGAAGCAAGCAACCUUGACACUUGGACUUCAGAUCAUUGUCCCGUGCUAAUGGUUGUUCAAGAGAAAUGUGGGGGCAUGAAUCAUAGUGGAAGACAUUCAUCGCGAAUCCAUUACGAGGAUAUGUGGAGCCCGUAUGACGUGUGCAAAGAGAUAAUCAGGGAGGAAUGGAGCUUGUAUAACAAUUGGAACAGUGAAAAUCCAGUGCAAUCCUUUCGAAAAGCAACAAAAGAUUCGAUGGCUAGGCUGAUGGGUUGGAGCAAAAUGGAGUUUAGAAAGCGGGACAAAAAAUUAGAGAAGUUAAAGAAGCAGCUGCAGGGGUUAAAACAAAGAAUGGUGAAAUAUGAAAAUGGUGAGGAAAUAUGGAAUGUGGAGAAGUAAAUCCAAAACAUCCUCAUAGAUGAAGAAAUCUACUGGAAACAACGUUCAAGAGCAGAUUGGCUCAAGGAAUGGGACAAAAAUACAAAAUUCUUUCACUGUAAGGCUUCGUCUAGAAGGAAAAAAAAAACAGAAUUUGAGGGAUUGAAGAUAAUUUCGGGAGAUGGAUUGAGAAGCCAAAAGAAGUGGAGCAUGAAUUCUGCAGCUAUUUCACCAACCUCUUUACAACAACCCAGCCGAGUCAAGAACAAAUUGCAGCAGCCUUGAAAGGAAUAACUCCGAGAGUUUCUGACAGCAUGAAUGAGAUUUUGGAAGAACAUUUUACAGCUGAGGAAGUCAUGAAAGCUUUGAGUCAAUUGUGUCCAACGAAGGCUCCGGGGCCGGAUGGUUUGCCAGCAGUGUUUUACCAAAAGCAUUCGCAUACGGUUAAAGAGGGAGUUCUCACCACUUGUCUGCAUAUUCUCAAUUCACAAGGUACCAUAGCCUCUCUAAAUCAUACUUACAUUGCUUUGAUACCAAAAGUCGGGAAACCUAGAAAAAUAACAGACUUUAGGCCUAUUAGUUUGUGCAAUGUUAUCUAUAGAAUUGUGGCCAAGUCAAUAGCCAAUAGAUUUAAGCAAAUAUUGCACAAAAUCAUCUCUCCGUCGCAAAGUGCCUUAAUCCCCAACAGGCUGAUAACUGACAACAUCAUAACGGCUAUGAAUGUUUGCACAAGAUAAGACAUUGUAAAGGAAAGCGAAAUGGUUUAAUUGCUUUAAAGCUUGAUGUCAGUAAAGCCUACGACAGAUUGGAAUGGAAUUUCCUUGAGCAAACUUUGAAACACCUAGGCUUCUCACAUCAAUGGACUAGCCUGAUCAUGAGGUGCAUUAGUUCGGUGUCCUUUUCUGUUUUAAUAAAUGGCUCGGUUAGAAGCUUAAUUAAACCCCAAAGGGGCUUAAGGCAAGGUUGCCCCCUCUCUCCGUAUUUGUUUAUUACAUGUACAGAGGCUUUUUCUUCUUUGUUGCAGCAGGCUGAGCAACAACGGCUUAUCCACGGGCUGUCAUUUAAAAAAGAUUUGAAGAUUUCACACCUUUUAUUUGCUGAUGAUAGCCUUGUCUUCAGCAGAGCUUCCAUUGCUGAUUGUCGAAAUCUGAAGAUGAUCCUUGAGUGCUACUCUAUAGCUCCUGGACAAAUAUUUAAUUUCGAGAAAUCUUCUUUAUUUCUUAAUGGCAACGUCCAGCAAGAUCAAGCUGCUGCAAUUGGGAAUAUUUUUCAACUCAAUAUUGUGUCGAGACAUGAAAAAUACUUAGGCUUGCCGUCUAUGAUUGGGAGAAAGAGAAACAGCUUCUUCAAUGACAUUAAGCUGAAGAUCUUCAACAAAAUUUCAAGCUGGCAGCAUAAAUUCUUUUCUUAUAGAAGGAAAGAAGUCUUAAUCAAAGUAGUUGUGCAAGCCAUCCCAGCCUACACCAUGAGUGUCUUUUAAGAUUCUGGUAGGAGUUUGAAACGACAUUCAAAGACUAGUGACCAAGUUCUGGUGGGGUUCCAAGAGGGAGGGGAGAAAUAUUCAUUGGUCGAAGUGAGAGAAGAUGAGUCAGGCCAAGUGUAAUGGAGGGAUGGGAUUUCGUGAUUUUUCAAGCUUCAACCAGGCCCUUCUAGCAAAGCAAGGCUGGAUGAUUCAGCAAUGUCCAAACUCAUUGGUGGCAAGGGUCCUGCAAGCUAAGUACUUCCAAUCAAAAAAAAUUUUGGAUGCGAAGCUCGGCUCUAAUCCUUCUUAUAUUUGGAGAAGUAUUCUGUGGGGAAGGCAAAUUAUAUGCUCGGGCUCUAGGUGAAGGAUUGGUAAUGGUCAGAAAAUUCAGAUUCACAAGGCCAAUUGGAUUCCAAAGCCUUUAACUUUCAAGCCAGUGGUUAAGCCAACAUUGCCACCUGAUACUAUGGUUUUUGAGUUGAUCAAUGAUGAAAACCGCUGGGAUGAGAAGCUGAUUUACGAGCAUUUCGACAAGAUGGAUGCUGAUUUAAUAACUAAAAUUCCUCUGCCUAGAAAACCAAGGGAAGAUGAGCUUAUUUGGCAUCAUGGAAAGAAUGGCCAGUACUCGGUUAAAAGUGGGUACCAAACAGCUCUUCGAAUAAAGUUUCCAGCAAUGCCUUCAAGCUCAGUGGUUUCAAAAAUGAAUGGAAUAUUAUUUGGUCUCUUGCUUUGCCUCAAAAGAUCAAAUUUUUUGCCUGGAGGGCAGCCAAAAACCUCCUCCCCUCAGCUGAGAAUUUGUGGAAAAGGAAGAUAAUUCAGGAGCCUACUUGCCAAGUGUGUAAAAUGGGGAUGGAAAAUGUGUUUCAUGCUCUAGUGGCUUGUAAAUCGGCCAAGCUCACCUAUUUUGAUGAUGAUAUUAAUGCAGCUUUUAGUCAAGAUAUUUUGAGUCUGCUGCAUGACAUGAAAAGGAUGAGAAGCAAAGCUGACCUGGAGCUGCUAGUAACAAUUUUUUGGGUAAAAUGGAAUGCUAGGAAUCAAUUGCUAUUCAAAGGGAAAAUGGAGAACCCCCAGGUUAUGGUAGCUAAAGCUGAAGUUAUGAUUGCAGCUUAUAAGAGGCUGCAUUCUUCAACUGAGGUUUGCAAUGAAAAUCAGCAAAGGGUAUCUCUUCAGGCAUGGAAUCCCCCCCAAGAAGGCUUUGUAAAAGUCAACAUCGAUGCAACUAUCAACUCCGAAAAGAACCUUGCAGGUCUGGGAGCUGUGAUAAGAGAUUAUUCGAGGCAUGUUACAGCAGCUACAAUCAAGAUUUCCAAGUUCUAUGGUGAUGUUUCUUAUGCUGAGGCAGAAGCUAUGGAAUGGGGUAUGCAGGUGGCGAGAGAAGCUCAAGUGAAAGCUGUAAUCGUAGAAUCAGAUUCUCAAGGUGUGGUCAGCUUAGUUAACAACAAGUAGGGCAGCAUAUCCGAGAUCUUUUGGGUUGUUUCAGAAAUUUAGAAGUUAAGGGAAAACUUCGAGUGUGUUAGUAUCAAGUAUACGCCUAAAUCUUGUAAUGUUAUUGCCCACUCUUUAGCUAAGUUAGCUUUAGAGAAAUGCGAGAUUGUUGUGUGGAAUGGUUCAUACCCUUUACAAGUGAUGUAUCUUUUCUCCUCGUUGAAUUAAUUGAAAUCUCUCUUCAAAAAAAAAAAAAAAAAACAAAGGGCCAAAAAAAAGUCCAUCAACACUCAGUUUCCUUCUUGUUAAUUGUUACUAUUAACUCAUGUGAAUCUGGCUUUAUCAAUGUUAGAAUGCAGUCAAUUCUUUUGGUAUCUGGCUUUAUUCCUUUUUUCUUUUUUUUGUGGGUGAGCAAAAGAGGUUAAUCCAUGAGCAUGAGUUUCGAACUUGACCUUUGAUUAAAAUAAUAAUAAGCUUUGUUUUCAUUUUAUCUUUUCUCUCAUUGUCAUAAUAAUAACAUCGAAACAUUUCCACUAUAAUUAGAAUUUUUAGAAAUGUACUAUUUGGUUUUCAUAUAAAAAUUAAUAUAAAAUCUUUGAAAAGGACCUCCCUUACUAAAAAAAGAUAAGACUUACUGUCUUUAGAAUUUGAUGCUAGACCGGUGCUCAAUAGUUUAAGGGAUUGACUUUAUUACAUAAAUGGAUUCCUUACUUAAAUAAGCAGUUAUUGGUAGAUCGCAAUUAGCUCAAAACCUCGCGAAUUGGUCUUCAUAGUACUCCCUCUAUCAAUUAUAUCAUUUAUUCAUAGAAUAAACUAUCUAGGCAAAUCAGAUUUUUUCAUAACUUCUACGAAGUUCCAUUAAAUUAUUGACUUAGAAUUAUAGCUUUUUCUAUUUGUUAUUUUUAACCCAAAAAUUAUAUUAUGCUGAAAAUUGUGAAAAUUAUGAGGAGCAUAGGCAUAGCGAUUAGCAAAUUUUAAUUAAUGGACCGGCGAAGAGUUUGAAUCCUGCGAAAUAAAUGGUUGAAAUUUUGAUUUUGAUUCUUUUUACUUGCCGACCCCUAUUUUCAAAGAAAAGAAAAUUAACCAUCAUCUGUAUAACUAUUGUAAUCGACUAUACAGGCAAUCAAUAAUCCUUUUUAAAAAUAAUUACUAAUCCAUGAAGUAUUUAUUUUACAAUUUUAUUCUCUACAUUCUCUGUUUAUUUAUUUGUAUGACUAUUGUAAUUCCUUUUUUAAAAAAUAAUUACUAAUCCACGACGUAUUUCUUUUACCAUUGUAUUCUCUAGAUUCUCUAUUUAUUUAUUGAAAAUUAUUUUUGGGAGAAAAGAAAUCUUGCUAAUACAACAAAGUAUAAAUUUAUAUUUAAAACUGCUACAAGUACGAUUCUUGUCAAUUUUUGUUCUUAAAGUAUCACUUUUUUUUUUUACAAAUAAAACGAAAACGACUGUAUAUUGUUGUAUUAUUAUUAUUAUUAUUCUCAUACAUAAAAUCCAUCUAUUCUCUUUACUUAGGAAUUCUAUACAAUUACAUAAAAGAAAAACAAUAUUAAAAUUUCCAAAUUCUAACAAAUAGUUUCGUGAAAUUAAAUUAUGCUUUUUAAUUGAUUUAUUUCCAUGUCUUACAAGUUCAGUCAUUGAAACGGGUAACAAAUACAAAAUCAAAAGCAUGGUCUUUGCACAACAGCUGCAGCAGCACUAAAGCAUGAAGAGCAAAAGCAGCAACGUAAACGAUACUAAUCAUCUCAAUAAAGAAGAAAACAAGAAUCAGCCAAAGAGAGAGAUUAGUUCCCCCUCAACCAUCAAUUCAGUAUUCAAUCAAACCCUCAGAAAUGUCCAAGGGUACGCUAAUAGCUUUUCCCAUUCCUCAUUUCUCACAAAUUUUGUGUUUUGAAGCAAUUUACCAGUGUAUCAUCUACAUCUUAGUCCUUUCCUGGUAACAGCAGAGCAACAAUACUUAAGCCUAAAGGAAAGGAAAAAUGAGAGAAGAUGGAAAGGAUAGAAAAUAAUAAAAUUGGCUUUCAUUAUCCUGCCCAGACUCUUAUCAUUCAAAGCAAAAUAUUUAUAAAAGGAAAUAGAUAUAUUGAAAAUAUCAUCAACAAUACAUAAGAUAUUUCUAUAUUAUAUUAUUCAAAACACAAGGGUCCGACUAAUAUUCGAUAUUUUAAUGUGGUGGAAGGUGAAUAGAAGUAGGUAUCCGAUAUUGUUUGAGAUUGCCUUUGUAACUCAUUCGAAACCCCAUUUUCAUGUUUAUAUCUUUGUUCGGAGUUAAAAUUACGUAAAAGGACGAAAUAAAUUUAUUAAAAUCAAAUUUUAAUUUCUUUUUGUUACUAAUUCUUCAAACCCGAUCAAAUACUUUAUCGGGAUUUUUUUUUAUUUUGCCUUAGUUUCUUAUUAUAUUUUUUUGUAAAUAAAAUAAUUACCCACUUGGUGUAGAAAAGUUUAGUAGAUUUGAUAAAAUUUAUUAUUCUUGUUUAUUUAUCUAUAAAGAUUUGAUGAACUACUAACACGUUUUUCUCUUAAUUACUUCAAAAUUAUUUUGAAAUUAUAAAAAUAAAAAUAAAAAUGAAUCCACUAUAUAUUAGAUACUGAAAAUAAAGAGUUUACGAUGUGUGGGUGUGAAUUAUAUGAAAAAAAAAAUGUAUUUGGGUUUAAUUAAUUUUGUAUUUGUAGUUUUAUGUAAUUUUAUCUUUGUAAAAAUGUUGUUAAUGUUAAAAUGGAGUUUUAUAAGAAUCUUAAGUGUAACGCGGUGUCAAACUAAGAUCAAAACUCAAAAACUGCAUAAACGGGUACAUUCUUCUUAAAGAGGAGAGGCGAAGUAAACAGCGAGCUUCCAGCAGCUAAAGCCAGCAAAUCUCCGAGUAACAGUUACGCAAGUCUUCAGCAAGUCAACUCAACCAAGUUAUACUUAAGCAGCCAGCUCAACGAUUGUCCAUUACAAUAAAUAUAUAUUUUUGUAAUUAAAUUAUAAUCAUAAUCUGUUUUUGCCAUUGUUUCAAAAAAAUUCAAGUUAUAUAGGCACGGGGCUAAUCCAAUUUGAAGUAUCUAAGCCUGAAAUACGAUAAAACCUCCAUAAGUUAAAAUCUUAUUAAAUAAUAAUUUUUUUUCCUUAAAAUCCCCACUUGCGGUCAAUAAUGUUAAAUUAUACUUCGAUUAAUUAAUAUUGUCUUAGGUGGCGUUUGUUUUUUAACUUAAUGACUUAAAGUGACUUAACUUAAUUAAUUAAGUUAAUUAAAGAUGUUUAUUUUUAUAACUUAAUGUGAUUUUUUAGAUAAUUUUGACUUAAUAAAAUAAGUCAUUUUUUUUUGCUUUUUACUUAAUAGAGACAUCUGAAUUAAGUCAAUUACUUUCUAAUGUCAAAAAUAUCCAUGUUUUAUAAUUUAUUUUUCAUGUCUAUCCCAAAUAUAUUUUUCGAGAUUCAGACGAAAAAAUAAAUAUAUUAUUCAGAUUCAGACAUUCAGAUCUAUUCAGAAUUCAGAUUAAUUCAGGUCUAUUCAGAUUUCAGACAAAAAAACAAACGCCACCUUAGUUAAUGAACCGAACACUAUCAAUUUAUCGAGGUUUUACUAUUAACGUAGAACAUGAGUCUUAUUCCUAUUAAUUUCUUCAAUAUUUUAAACCCCCAAAACUCUUUUAAAACAUCAUGAAAUUGCUUUUUAAGUCCUGAAAACUAUUUUUUUUAAUUUUGUUAACUUCCUUUUCUUUUUCUUUUUUUUAUCACAACCCAAUUUUUUCUCACCAAUAUGCGUGGAGUUAAAACCUCAAAUCUCAUGUUUUCAACCUAAAAGAUCUUCAUAAAUAAACCAAUCAUUGCUGAUUGCUGUGUGCUGGCAUCCUGCCAUGAGUCACAACUGACCAGGAGGAUGCAGCUGAAGAUUAUCCAUUGAUUGAACAUGCCUUAAAUGAAAAUUAUCCAUGAUUGAACAUGCCUUAAAUGAAAAUCAUCCAUGAUUGAACAUGCCUUAAAUUUCAACAGUCAAUCCACCGAAAAACUUACCAUUAAUUAAUUAACUGAUGAAGUAAACAAAAAAAUUAAGAGUUUCAAAAUUUUUUCUCUCUUGCGACUGGAAUUGAUUCUUUUUAGUCAUUGUAAUCUUCCCUGUUUUGUUCCUGCAAUUUUUCUUUUGACCUGUUAUCCUUCGCCUGGCCUCUACAUGUUUUGCUUCUUAAAUCUGAUCUUCAAAGUUCAAAUGUUGCAUCUCUUACUCAACUUGGGCGGAUGGGUUAUCUGCUUCGUAUGUACCACAUGCAUCAAACUAGUCCGAAUGAUAUUUCUUAUAUUGACCGGUUCGAUUUCGCAGAAGCAAUAAUUAAGUGUAUUACAGAUUCUAAAUUAAAUCCAUCAGGCAAAGAAAUUUAAUCAAAGACCAUUUUGGUCGUGGACAUGUGAGCUACCACAAUCUUCCUUAAAUUGCUGCAUUUUUCUGUUCUUCACAAACAGUCAUGCUAUUGUUUCGUUUCCUAAGAAUAUAGUAUAUAGCUCUAAUUUGUUAACCCACAAUUUGUAAAGCAUCUUGUCUAUUUCUUCUUCUUCUUAAUUUUCCAUAAUAAUUAACAUGAAAGCGUGCAUAGUAAAACUACAGGACUCAAGAGUCGAGAGAUACAACAGAGGUAUAGUAUGGACAACCAAGCAUACCAUAUAAGCAAGCAAGACAAUUUUGUGCUGCAACAAUUAGUGCUUCAGCGAGAGAAGAACCUGGAUAAAUUUGAUAGAGAAGAAUUUUGAAGCAUAAAUGCAAUAGGGAAAAAAAUAAAAGGUUAAAUUAAUUUCCAUCUUCUGCAAUGACGGUUCCAAGAUGACAUGAAUUAGAGAAGUUGGAUGUUCGAUCGUCUAUCCAUCUUUUUAGAGCAUGCAAUACUUCUUGAAAGUAUGUAUUCAUGGUUGUAGAAUACUUAUGGUAAAUCAUUAUCUAGUGUCACCAACAGUUUCAUCUUUCAUCUACCCCAACAAAAUCUAAUGCUUAUAGUUAUAUAGACAACGAGAUUACAAUAUCUAACUAUAUAUUCAACUGAGAAGAUAGGAUUGAAAAAACAAAAAUGUGCUUAGGAAAGGAUAUUUAGGGAUCACAUUUAGCAAUUUCUGUCAUUUGUCAACUUUAACCGCCAAGGAGGAACAAACGGUUCCAAGAAAUUCAAUGCCGCUCAGGAGGGCUUGGUACAUUAAAAAUAACCAGAGUAAAGGAACACCUUUUCAAUUCUAUACUUUCAGAGGUAGAGUGAUAGUGAUAUAACAUGAUAUAUCAAAAUCAGGUUAUAUAUAGUUUCUUUCACAUCAAUAAAUUAUACUUUCUAUCACAGUAGAUUAUACUCCCAUGUCACCACCAAAUUCGAAAGGCGGUCAAGCAAAUAAUAUGAGACCAAAGGAUAUAAAUGAUUCAUACAGUUUUCCUAAUGUUUGUGCAAAUGUGCCUGGUUGGUUGAUAAGAAACUAGAGACUAUUGGAUAUAUAUUAGUUGAGAAGAGGCAACUUAAUUAAAACGCACCUUCUGGUUCCUAUAUGGCUCUCCUCUCACACAAGAGAUUAGCACGCCACCGCAGCUCAAGAAGUCCUGGCACUAUAUUCAUUUUCCAAGAGCCACAAGUAACAGCAAUCCAAAAACGUUGGCCAAAACUCCAAGUGCUAUCAGCAGUUUGGCAGCAGUGUUGUCUUGUCCUACAAUAUAAGCAAGCAAGCAAAAAAUGAAUCCCCCCCAACCGAGUAGCUUGGUGCCAAACAAGAGUGUUUUGUCAUUGGACGAUAAAGAGUUGCCUCCACUCAGAACGAUUUGUGGUGGAGCAAGGACUAAUGUUGCGCUGAUAGUGAGGAAUAUCUUGGCCAAACCAGUGACAUUGAAAUUGAACCAUCCAUCGAAAUUGAAAUUGAACCACCCUCUUGGAGGUGGGGGUGGGGGUGGGGGUGGUGCUGGUGUUGGUGUUCGAGGUUGAACUUGAGGUGUUGGUGUUGGUGGUUGAACUUGAGGUGUUGGUGUUGGUGGUUGAACUUGAGGUGUUGGUGUUGGUGGUUGAACUUGAGGUGUUGCUCUCGGUGUUUGUGGUGGUGGUGGUGUUGGCGGUGUUUGUGGUGUUGUUUUUGGUGGUGGUGAAGUCAUCUGAACUGAACUAUUAACAGUAGUGUCAGAGCUCCCCCAAUCAUCUUGGAUUGUAAGCUCCUCACCACUGCCGUCUCCGCCCUGUGCCCAGUUUCUAAAAGCAGUUGAUCCAACAUUAUGACCGUGUUUACCCGGAUGUGUUAUUCUUGACUUCUUAUAUGCCUUCAGUUCAGUCCCUCCGUUACCAAUAUGCGCCCAAAGUUUAGCCAAAAGUUUGUCCACAAUUUUAACCAGUUCUAACUUUUGAGGCGGCCUGCUUCUUGAAUAAUUAUUCCUUUCAACGGAACCCUUACACAAAACGCAGGAUGCUGAUGAUGACAAAGAAGAUAUUUCCUUCUCUGCGAAAACACCACCAGAUCCACGAUCAAUCCACAUUGCUUUCUUUGCGCGACAGAAGUCCCCUGCCAACAACUGCAAAGUCAAAGAUCCGAUUCGUAGCGCCCUGAUAUGCCAAUCAUGUUGCCUCAGAGCUCUUAGAUGACGUUUAAGUGCUCUUUUGAUUGCACAACAGCACGAAGCGAAGUUUGUUCUUCUUAAAAACCGGAUGAGGAAGAUCUGUAAAAUACAGAAAAGCGUGUACACGUUCAUUUGCCAGCCGUGUGACCAUAGAUCAUGUUGCCUCACAGCUCUUGGAUGACUUUUAGGUGCUCUUCUGAUUGGACAACAGAAACGUUCAUUUGCUUCAGCCGCUUCAGCAGUUGUUCCAAACAUGUCACCAUUAAUAUGCGCCAAAGGUUUAUCCACUGGAUGCAGCAUAUCAUGCCACCCAAACUUGAGUUUGUCCAACUCAAACUUCAGAGGUUUGUCCAACUCAAACUUAAUCAGAAGUUUGUCCAACUCAAAAAUCAGAAGUUUGUCCCUCACUCCGAUCAUUACUUCGAUCAUCACUCCGAUCAUUAAAAUAGAGGCGAGUGAUAACUCAGUGAGUGGAGUGAUGGUCAUUACUCCGAUCAUCACUCCGAUCAUCACUCCGAUUCUGAUCAUCACUCUGAUCAUUACUCCGAUCAUCACUCCGAUCAUCACUCCGAUCAUCACGGGGAUCAUUACUCCGAUCAUCACUCGGAUCCUCGCUCGGAUCAUCGCUCCGAUUAUUGUUUCCGUCUCCAUUAAAGAAGAGCGACAAGACCAAGAUCGUAAUCUCUCUGGCAAGAUACCUUCAAGCCCGUUUGCCAAUGGAUCAAAAAAAGAAAGCUAUGGUGUGUUUGGUAAAAUCUUUCUGAGGCAUACGAAGAAGACAGGGAUUUGUCCGUGGUAUACCCAAAAAUAGGGUAUUUAUCUAAAAGCACCCCAUACUCAAAAAUUUCCUGUAUAUACUUUUUCUAAUGUACAGUUACGAAAUUAGUCUAAUGAAAAACCUAAAUCAACUAAACUACCACAACCAAUCGUGUAACAAAAUCCACAAUUCUCUCAUGAGCAGCGUCUCCUUCAGCUCCUUAUUCUGGAUUUCUCCUCCUCUAUUUUACAAAUCCCUGUAAUUUUACAACAAUUCUUCUACACACUCUAGCCGAAACGCAGCAAAACAAGUAAAACGAUGCCGUUUUUGUACAAACCAGUAGCUGCAAUUCCCCCACUCCCCUUCAGCGUCUCAUCUUCCAUUUUACAAAUCUCUGUCAUUUUACAACAACUCUUCUAUACUCUCGUCGAAACGCGGCAAAACAAGUAAAACGAGAAAUUGAAGGUAAUUUAUCAAUUUAAUAUCUGUGGAAAUGUUAGGUGGGACUAGGAUUUUACUUUCCAUCCAUGAGGAGUAUAUGGCCCGGUUAAGCGAAUUGAGUUUCGAGUGAAUGCAGAUGGCAACCUGUACAUUUUGUUGUUUUGUUCGUCUCCAGAAUUUCAUUUUUAUUUAAGUGGACCACAUUUGCACACACGGCAACUUUCUCUCCUUGCAAGAUUCUUGAAUCUUUAAUUCUUUUUGGGCAAAUUAAACAUAUAAAAUGCACAUCAAUUUCGAUUUUGGUGUCACUUCUAUCGAGAAAUAAUCAACCCAACUUCAAUAUUUGCAGUUGAGAACUAAGAUUAGGAGUUGUCUUGAAAUUAGUUCAUGAAGCUGUGAUAAAGUCAUUGAACAAAUUAAUUGCAUUUUAUUUGAUUAAUAAUGUUAGAUUAGAAAAGAGAAAAAGAGGAAUAACUUGUGGUUUACAAAUUUAUCAGGAAAAAUGUGUUACUGCCAAAAUGUGUUUCUGUUAUCAGUAUUUUGAAACUGGGAAGUACUUCAAUGCUGAAAUCACAAUCUGAGAACUGAGAUGCCUUUGUGUAGUACCUGCAAAUACUUCAAUGCUGAAAUCACAUAAAAUAGCCAUAACUAAAGUUGAUUCAGGAGCUGAACAGUUCACUGUUGAUACAUCUCACCAAUUAAUUUGUUUAUAUUUUUUUUAUUGAUUUCGUUUAAUUAAUUGUAUUCUACUAUGUGUAGUCUAUGGUUGUGAUUUGCAGCUCAAUUUCCUUUUUUUAGUUAUUAUAAUCUAACCUCCAAUGCAGAUGUGUAAAGAAUUUCUUUACCUGACUUUUACCCUGGAGUCGUGUAAAUAAUUCUCUAAUGCAGUUGUGUAAAGCAUUUAUUUACCUGACUUUUACCCCGAAGUCGUGUAAAAAAUUCUUUACACAACUGCUGUCGUGUAAAGAAUUUCUUUACCUGUCGAGUAAAGAAUUUCAUACACAACUGCUGUCGAGUAAAGAAUUCUUUAUACGACUGUUGUUGUGUGAUGAAUACUUUACUCGACAGUAGUCGGGUAUGAACACUUUACUCCACUAUAUUCGCAUAAUUAGUUCUUUACUGGAUUGUAGUUUAUAAAGAAUUCUUCACUGGACAUGCGUCGGGUAUGAACAUUUUAUUUCCAAUGUUACAAAAAAUCUAUGGUUUAUAUAGUAGACUAUAGAUCAAUGCAUGUUUUACUUGACUGUAGUCGUGUAAUGAAUGAUUUACUCGAUUGGUAUGUCGUGUAAUUUUUAUGAUUGGUUUAAAAUAUAUUAUGCAACUUUUCAAUCAUUUUAUAUAUUGAUUGAUAAUUUUUUUUUGUAUUUAUGCAGAUGGAACCGAAGAUCAAGGAAUCUGAAUACUUCAAAGCAAAGAUUUCAAACCGAUCAUCACUAGAGGCAGUGAAGGACAUUAAGAUAGACUCUCUGAGGCGCAGAAAAAUAUUUUCAGGCAUUCUUGUUUCGGUCAUUUUUUGGAUGUGAAAGAGUUAAAGUUUUCCGCUCAGUUACUCCACAACAUAUUAUUGAGAGAAGUGAAAUCAUAUGAAAAUGCAAUGUGGUUUAGGAUUGGACGAAAAAAUAUUCGAUUUUCAUUGGAGGAGUUUGCCUUGGUGACAGGCUUAGAUUGCAGUCCAUCGUAUGAGCCCGAUACUGAAAAUAAUGAUGAUGAUUACAAAAUAGUUGAUGAGUUCCUAGAUGGAAAUUGUGCAAUCAUAACAAAAGAACUUCGUACAAAGUUCUUGCAGGCUAAGUCAAAUGAUGACAUGAAAAUGGUCAAGCUGGCCAUGUUGUAUUUUGUUGAGUCCGUGUUACUUGGAAAGGAGAAUAGAAAUUAUAUAAAUGAAACUAAUGUACUCCUUGUGGACAAUUUUACCGAGUUUAAUAAAUUUCCUUGGGGACGCAUUUCUUUCAAGAUGACCAUUGAUAGUUUGAGAAAAUGCAUUGCACUGCGUGUGGCGAAGCCUAAGAAGAAGUCAACUGCAGAUUCUAAAUAUAAGGGAGCAACGUAUAGUGUGCAUGGUUUCCCCCAUGCUUUUAUGGUAACAAAACUAAACUAAUUUAUUAAUCGCUUAUUGAAUUGUUGAAUAAGUGCUCUUUAUUUUACUUCAAUCAUUUUUUGCCUAAAAAUUUUCUUGUUCCCAAACUAAGAAUAUUUAAGUUAUUUUUCAUAUAUUGCUUCAAUAAGCUACUUCUUCCUUAAUUUCAAUCCAUGAUAGUAUUCAUAUUAUACCAGCGAUAGUUGUCAGCAUCAUCUUUCUAUUUAUAAUUUACCAAUUUUUUUUGUUGAAAAUAAAUUGUGUCAUUGAUUAUAUAGGUGUGGGCAUAUGAAGUUGUUUCUGUCAUUGGUGAUAAAUGUGCAAAACGUUAUGGUGAUUUAUUUCCAAGGAUUUUGAGAUGGAAAUCAACAAAGCCUAAAGAGUUUGAAGAGAUUCAAAUGAAGAUAUUGAAUAAAAAAGCCUCCAAGAUGGUUUUCAUAGAAAAAUUACAUGCUACCGGAGAUGUCGAGACAAAUAAGCAUUACAUGAGCUAUUUUAGUGAAGAUGAGUGGCUUCAAGAGAUCGGUGAAGAGAAUGAUAAUGCUAUUGAGUCAGAUAGUCAUCCAGAGGAAAAUCCUUCACAUGAAGAUAAUGAAUCACAUGAUAGUGAGUUAAAUAGUUUUGAUGGUUUUCCUGAUGAUAGUGAUUCAUAUGGUACACCCACCUCAGUGCUCCAAGAACAUUGCCUCCAGAACAUUUAAAUGAAUCAGCAUCAAUACCAGCUGAGGUCACAAAAAAAAAGGUAAGUCACUGUUCUAUUAAACUAUAAUGUAAAUUAUGCUAUAAAUUAUUUACUUAUUUAUGCAUAUCUGUUAUGAAGGGAGUAAGUAACAAAAUACUGCGAUACUAACUUAUUUAUUAUCCAAUAAGUUCAUUACUUAGUAAAAAAAAUACUAAGUUGCAGCCUAUUUAUGAGCAUCGACUUUGGAACUUUUGAUUUCAUUGCUUUGUUGUUGUAAUAUUUGUUUCAUUUUCUAUUGAGUGAUUUUAGUUUAUGGUUAUUUUUAUUUUUAUUUCUCAGUCCUCAAAAAUAUAUAUUUGCUUCAAUAUUUUUGCUACACUACUUCAUUUUAUACUGUACACGACCACAGUCAGGUAAUAAAUACUUCACUCGACUGUGGUAGUGUAAUGGAUACCUUACACGACUGUACACGACUACAUCAAGGCUAAAUAAUAUUUUAAAAUUGUUUAUACAUUUCAAGGUGGUCCAUCUCGACAUGCCUCCUGUGCGUUUGAUGGUUCUAUUCUCGAGGAGAAUGUUAAUCAUCUUGGUUGUCGCAUCCAAAAUAUUGAAGAAAAUAUUGCCAAGAUGGAAAAUACCAUGAAGAAUAUGGACACAAAGAUUGAUAACAUUGAGGGGAAAAUCGAUCAUAUUAAUGUGAUCGAUAAUAAAUUGAGUAGGCUUAUUCCGUUACUUGAGUAGUCUUCAACCUUAGAACCGCAGGGGGUUGAUUUUAAGGUUUGAUAUAUAAAAGUAUUAAUAUUUUUUCAUUUAGUAUAUAUGUUUAUUUAAUUCUCUAACAAUUUGGUUGUUAUGUCUACAGCCUAUGAACGAUCCCAUGGACGUCGCAUCGGGUCAGUCACCUAUGCAACAACCUUUGGAGACGCUUGUGAAUAUUUGUAAUAUAGAAAGGGCUACAGACAUGAUGACGCCAGAUGAUUCUCAUGGUACAAAGAGGGAUCCUAUUAUCAUCUCAACGCAAGAAAAAGAUUGUAGAUUGGUGUACAAUUUACGGAAGAGAAAGGAUAUGAAAACUUCCACUUAUUUACGGACACCGUACACUAAUCCUUUAAAGAAGCCGCGAGAGACGACGGAUGUUGAGGUGCACCCUCAAGAGACAAAGAGCUUCGAAGUGUGUCCCCUUAUACUCCAAGAGGAGUUAUUGGAGCUGCAGCGAUGGAUGGACAUAAAAAAUGAUAAAAAGGAGCCGUGAGUUAUCUUAUAUUAUGAUAUUAAUUGUUUUUGAACUCCAGAUAAUUAUACUGUAUGUUUAUUUAAUAGUUUUACUAAUUUUAUAAUUGAUUAUAUGCAGUAAAUAUAUCGAUUUGACUCUUAUGGAGGUUAAUCGUGAAUUUUUCUGUAAAUUAUACACACCGGACAUGUGGCUGUCUAAUCUCGUAAGUCAUAAAUUUUAUUGUGAUUAUUACGAUAAAUAUUUGUAAUUUUUUAUACUUAUUUCACCCUUUAUGUUCAGCACAUCGACAUUGGCUGCUACUACUUAAGGAAAGAAAUGUCCAAGGCUCCGACUCGGAAUGGACAAGCUUGUGCCAUUAUGGACAGUAAUUUUCUGGUAUAGUCAUUUUUCUGUAGCCUACUCCUUAACUUCUUAGAAUAAUAACAGCUAAUAUAUUAUUGUUAAAUUUUCUAGAAUAAUUUAAGAGACAGACACAAGGUGUAUCUGAGAGACCUAGAUAGGGUGUGGGAAAAGGAUUGUUAUUGCAUUGAUUAUGCUAAUGGUGCAAAGUUGGACUGUGCUACUCCUUAGAAAAAUGUUUCCACUAUAAGUUUCACAUUGUAUGCUUAGUUUUUUACAUCAUAUGCACUACAAGUAGAUAAAAAUAAUUACCGCAUUUCAUAGAUAUAUUUGCCGUUACUUGUUAAGAAUAUUGUCUGUAUUUCGUAGGUGUAUUUGCCAAUAUUCAUGAAUGAUCAUUGGGUUCUCGGUGUGGUCGAUAUACUUGAGGGCAAGAUUUCUAUUUAUGACUCUAUGAUAGAUUUAACAAGGAUUCAGUUUUGGUGAGACAAUUGCUGCAAUAAUUGCACCUACCUCGAUUUCUUUAAACUUAGCUCGUAAGUUUUGCUUUAAAUGGUGUGUACAAAUACCAUAUGCAGCAUUUGGGAAUGCGAUGUUAACAUUCUUUUGGAUACUUGGGUGCCUAUCAGAAAUGAAAACCAAAUUAGGAACUUCACCUAUUGCUACUUUUAACUUCAUUAGAAACCAUCCCUAUGAUGCAUCAUUCUCACUGUCACCAACACCAAAUGCAACAGGAUAAAGUUGAUUGUUACCAUCAAGUGCUGUCGCAAUGAACAAAGUUCCUUUAAAUUUUCCCUUCAAGAAUGUGCCAUCAAUUGCAAUGACUGACCUUAUUGAUGAAAUAAAUCCAUGUAUACAACUCCCAAUUGCCAUAAAAAAAUAUUUAAAGUUAUUUUCAUUGUCAACUUCAAGAAACGUGCAGGUGCCCGAAUUUUUCUUCUUUAACAUUUUCAUGUAUAAAGAGAGUAACUUGAAUGAAUCCUUAGGCGUGCCUCUAACUUUCUCCAUUGUAUAUUCUCUUGCUUUCGAUGCCUUGUGAUAACUUAUUUCAUACUCAAACUGUUUAUGAAAAUCUUCUUUGAUAUCACUAGGCCUAUAUAAGGAUAAAGCACCAUCAAACUUAUGACAACUUAUGACAAAUCUUAUGUCCGAUAAGUUUAAAUGAAGCAUGACGAUGAUCUUUCUUACGGACAUCAAGUGCACAACUAUGGACACUAUAGUACUUUGUGAUUUUAAACAUAUUCAAACUUCCAAACUUUUUAGCACGAAGUCGCCACUUACAAGUAUCGUCAACACACUUAACAACAAGAAUAUUUUUCCCUGACUUGAAAGUUUUAAACUCAAAAUUUUUCCUUAGAGCUUCCAUAAAAAGCACUUGUUGCAACUCUUCUUUCGAACUAAACUACCUUUUUCCUAUUAACCAAUCACUAUCACCAACAACUUCCAUAGAUGGCAAGUUAAUAGUAUCAGAAUGCGAGUUAUCAGUGUCGAAUGAACUGCUGCAUGCAAACAAAUUAACUCUAGGCAUAUAUCUAUUAUUAGAAUGUGCUACAUUCCCCAGUGUUGGAUCACUAACUGUUAUCCCAUCAACAUCAUCAUGAACAAUAACAUUCACAUUUUCCUCAUUUGACAUUCUUCUAUCAUUGGGUUGUGUUUCAAGAACAAAUUCGAAUAUUGACUGAUCUUCAGCAACAAAAUUGUUUGGGCUUAAACCUUCACUUUCGACAUAUGGCUCAACAGGUUCUUCUGGACAACUAUCUGGCCCCAAAUUAAGGUCCAACUUCAUUUCAAUGUCAAAUUCAGAAAUAUCAAUACAAAUAACCCGAGAUACUUUUUCUAUCAAUUGUGCAUACGUUGUAGAACGGGGCACCAUGAUCCCUCUUGCCUCCGUACCAUUAAAUCUAUAAUGGCCGUUUUGCUCAAUCCAUUCACCACAAAACAUAAUAGGCACACGUACUGAAGUCAUUUCCUGUAAUAAUACAACAAAUACAAAAAUAAAAUCAAAUAAGAUUUAUAACGAAGUGUGGAUCUGUCUGCAUAUUUACACGACUGACGUCGUGUAAUUGAUAGUUUACACGACAAUAGUUGUGUAACUUGCUAAAAUACACAACUAUAUUUCUAUAAACAGUCAGAUGAUAUAUUUAAUAAAAUAUAACUGUAACCUUUGUACUAACAGAAUACUAGGUGUCAUAACAACUACUAAAUCUUUUAAAUUUGCACGAUUGUUGUCGUGUAAAUUCAUACAUACAUGAUAGAAGUCGUGUAAGUUGCAAAAAUACAUGACUCAGUAAAUAAUCAGAGGACAUAUUUCUUCUUAAAAAAAUGUUGGGAUCUCAUAACAAUUGGAACAUUUUACAUAUAUACACAAUUAUAGUAUGUAAGUUUAUACAUACACGCUAGUAGUCGUGUAACUUAUUAACACACACGACUAUAGUCUAGUAAUAGUAAAAGGAUAUAUAUAGUGAAAAAUAUAUAUAUUUUGAACUAAUAGAAUGAUAAGGUGUCAUAAUAAUUGGAAUUGUUUGCACAUUUUGUGUAAAUACAUACAUACACGACUGCUGUCGUGUAUGUCGGGUGCAGAAAAAAAAUUUGACAACAACUUUAGGUUUUAACGAAUGUAGUUAUAAAAUCCAUCAAAUAACAGUCAUAUGAUGCAAAUGUAAUGAAAAUAUGAGUUGCUUUAGUGUUUAUGACAAACCAAACAAAACCCUAAAAAUAAUAUAAUGUCAACAAAUUGAAUAGAUAGCCCAAAAUAAAAUAAAAAAAGUUUCAAAUACCUUGUUCAUGGGAUGAAUAAUACACCCAGCUGUAAACAAAAAUCUCAGUGCAUUAGCUGUUUGUGAGUGAUUUUGAGUGUAGUGUGAGUUUUUGUAUAGGUGAUAAAUACGUGAGAAGUAAAGAGUGUUGUGAGUUGUUUGUGUAAUAUAUUUUUCUUUAGGGAUAUUUUAGACAAUGUACCACAUAAAAAAGGCAUAUUUAGAUAAUUUUCAAACAUGAGGUAUAUUUAACUAAAUACACUACUUUUAAGGCAUAUUUAAUUAAAAACCCUCGAAGAAGAUGAAGAAAGAGCUGCUGACAUGUAAUAUUUGUGUCAUUGUAUUUUUAUUGAAUUAUUUGUUUUUGUUCAAAGAAGAACGAAAUUGUGUAUAAAAAAGAAAAAAAUUACUCGGAAAUUACUUAUGGUGCGUUCAGAUUAGCACAUUUUAUAAGUGCGUUCAGAUUAGCUCAUUUUGGAUUGGAGUGAGAAUUCUGAGAUUAGGAGUGUGGAAUGGGAGUAGGUUGUUUACUUAUACUAGAAUGAGAGCAUAGAAUUGGGAGUAAAUGAUUUUUAAUUACAGUUUUAUCCUUAUUUAAAUAAUUAUAGUUUUUAAUUAUAAAAUUAAUAAAAAAAUAAAUUUGAAAAAUAAAAUAUUUAUUUCAUUAUAUUUGUAAAUUAAUAAUAAUUAAUAAUAUUCUUAAUUAUGUAAAUAAUUUUUUUAUUAAAUUUAAUUUUAAUUAUGUAAAUAAAAAUUAUUAUUAAGAGCAACACAAAUUAAGGGUGGCAAAACGAAUAAACGAAUCGAAUUUGAAUCGUAAACGAAUUGGGUUAAAAUUCUACUGAUUCGGAUUCGAUUCGUUUAUUAAACGAAUAUUCGAUUCGAUUCGUUUAAGAAAAUUAAUAAACAAAUCAAACCGAAUCUGAAUUCGUUUAUUAUUCAUUUAUCCUAUAACGAAUCCUUAACGAAUCUAGAUUCGUUUAUUAUUCAUUUAUAAAAAUAUAAUUAAUAAAUAAAAAUUAAACAAAAUAAAAUGUAAAAAUCCCACAUAAUUAACAUCUUACAAAACACAAAUUAAUCAAACCAUAUUCUGAGCCUAAAAAUACAUAAACAUCCAAACACCAAAUUUAAAAAUCUUAAUAAUACAAAUAAUAGUAAUUAGAAUCCAAAUUACAAAAGCCAAGUGCUUUCUUUAGUUCUCUUCAUUUUGUUCAAUAGGAAUCCUGCACAAAAAAAGUAAAUAAAAUUAAUACAAUGUCAAGUUGGUUUAUUCAUAUUAAUUAGUUGUAUGAAAAGGAAUGGCAGUGAUGGGAAAGGUCCUUAAACCUUCCCUUUUAAGUCAACAAAAUUGGCGAUCAACUAUUGUAAUAACAUAUUAACACGGCAAAUCGGUGCAAUAUACAUUUCAUACCAACAAAUUUGAUUGAGGAUAUUAUUAUAGUUACUAAUUUGGAACUGAUAAUUAAGUAUUGGAAUUUAUAAUCACCAACGACAAAAAAAGAAAACUCAAUAGCUUAAAAAUUUAAAAAGAAAAAAAAACGAGAUGAGAAGGGAAUAGGAGCUUACCGUGCGUUAGAUGAAAGUGAGAUGCUGGAGGCCAAAGCUUUGUUUCGUUAAUUAAACAAAACAAGAUGAGAAGGGAAGAACGGCUGAGAUGGUCCCUUGUUUUUGAGAGGACGCGAAGAUCGAUUGACGAAACGAAAUGGCUGUGGUCGGCUGUGAACGGUGGAGACGAACUGGCGAAGGGAAGAGACGACUGAGAGAAGGAAAAGAAGAGUGGAGUUGGAAAUUGGAAACCCUCAAGAACAAAAAUUAGGGCCGGCUAUGCCCUAAUUUUUGUUUCACUUUGUAUAUUUUGUAUUAUUAUUGUUUUAAAUUACUAUAUUAACUUUAAAAUUUGAAAAAAAAUAAAUAAGUUUGAGGAGAAAUAAGUAAUUUAAUUCAACGAAUAAUAAACGAAUGGAUUGUAUUCGAUUCGUUUAAUUAACGAAUCGAAUCGAAUUCACCCAUUUAUUAAACGAAUCAAUUUUUUCAAACUCAAACCCAUUUAAUUCGCACCGAAUCGAAUCGAAUAAACGAAUCCUGACCCAAAUUGCCACCCCUAUCACAAAUGAAACAUUAUUAUUAAUAAUAUAAUACAAAAUUAAUAUUUUCUUAGAAUAAAAUAUUGAUUAUUAUUAAUUACUACUAUUAAAUAAAUAUAAUACAAUUAUUUUUAAAUAAUAUUAUAUUUUCAAAUAAAAAGAGUAUAUAUUAAUAUUAUUAAUUCUCUAUGAGUAUAAUAAUAUUAUUUUUAAGUAAUUUUAACUUAGAAUCAAUAUAAAUUAUUAUUUUUAAUAAGUAUAAUUUAUAAAAUAAUAUAAUAAUAUUAUUUAAAUAAAUAUGAUAUUAUUUUAUUUGAUUAAAUAUAAGGAUAAAAAUGAAAGAGAGGGGAGUGGGAUUCCCACUUCCACCUCCCCCCAAUCCCACUCCCCCUUAAAAUUAGUAUGUAAACACUGGAGUGGGAGGAAUCUAGACUCCUCACUCCCACUCCAGCAAGUAAAUACUACCUUAGUAUCAAAUGACGACUAUGGCAUUGAAUGACGUAGGACGUGAUGCACGCUCCUUUGAAAACCAUACCAAACCAUAUACGAGAAAUUCAACUUAAUCCCUUCAUUUAAUUAUUAAUAAAUACACGCCAUAGGGCUCAUAUCAUGCCCAUGUAUUUCAGCCCAGUCCUCACGACAAGGGCUCAAGAAAAAAAAUUCGGGCCAGACCCAAGCCCACUAUUUUUUUAAAAAAGAAAUUUAUAAAUUAAAAUAAUAUAAUUAAAAUUGAAAAGUAACUUACAAAUAAAAAAAGAAAACUUAAAUUCUUAAUUUAUAAAUUAAUGAUGAUUCAAAAAAACUAAAAUUAUGAUACUAAACUUUCUUUUUUGUGUUAAUUAAUUAAGAUAACGUUUGAAUUAGAGAAUCCAAUAUUAAAGAAAAUUAAAUUUAUAAGCUUUUAUUUACUUUAUUUAUUAUUUUACUUUGAAAUAUUCAUUUUCUUUAAUUUAUCUAUGAUUAUAAUAACUUGUUGAUCAUUAAUUUAUUUUAAAUUUAUAAUAAUUUAAAAAAUUUAAAAAUAAACAAAGCCCAAGCUUGGCCCGGGCCUGGCCCAAGUCCUCAUGAUAAUGGACUUGGGCCUCGGCUUGAAAAAGCCUAGUCCAAGCCUGCUUUUUGCCAUUCUGAGGCUCAUUUGCACAAUCUGUGCACUCAAGGUCUUUGCAUCGUAACCAUUGAUAGGAUUCAAUUUCUCUCUCAAUAAAAUUAAGUAAAAAUAAAAUUAUCUCCCUCUAAUUUAGGAUAAAAUAUUUUUUUUAUAUUAUGUUAUGAUAAAAAAACUCUUCCUAUAAUUUAGAGAAGAUAGAAAACCCCAUGUAAACAUAGGCCCUUGGGAUUUUUUUUUUUUUUUCAUUUAGAGAGGGCAAGAGAAUGAUUUUAUAUCUAAUUUUUUAUUUUGAAAGGAGACGAGGACGAUUAUUGACCUAAUUUCAUAUUUAGAGAAAAGACGGGGAUGAGACGAAAUCUUUAUCCCCUCCUCAUUUUCCUCUUUUAAUUUUUAAUUUUAAUUUUAAUUUUCUAGAAUUAUUAGUGAAUAAAUAAUAUUUUAAAUUGUAAAAUAUUAAAUAUUGGUGUAAAUAACAAAUAUCCAAAUAUUUAAACAAAUAAUAUAAAUAUUAGUUAAUGUAAAAAGUUUAAUAUAAUUUAGAUAUAACUAUAGCCCAAAGCCCACAAGCCCACAAUUUAUAAAUCAAACUCUAAAUCACUUUCUCAAAGUCUUACUCAUCCUUUCAAAAUUAUUUGCACCGUAGCCAACUCCCAACUCGUCCUCAUCUCAUCAUAGCCCAGUAGCACAUCGCGUUGUCGAUAGCCGAACAGCCUAGCUCAUCGCAAUGCUAGCUAGCAACCCCACACACUACUUCGUUGCACCAUAGUUGGUGGGCAAAAGAUAUCAUUGCUGAUGGACAACAUUCACGUCAAUAUUGUAUAAAAAUCACAUUAUAUAAAUUUUAUUUUGAAAAUUAUUAUUUGAAUAUCAUUUAUACCAAAAGUUUGAUGAAGAUGAAUGAAAUAAAACUUAUUCAUGAUCAUUCUCAUUUGAAUUUAUAUAGUUUAGGUUAAUAUGACUAAAUUAAGUUCGAAAACUAAAAAGAUAUCAGUUAUUCGGGGAUGAGGGACUCUUAGGAAUCCCCUGUUAUUAUUUGAGGAGGGGACGAGAAUCCCCUCAAGCAAUUCUCUAAUAGGGAGGGGGAGCGAACAGAGAUAUAUGCAGAAUAUCGGGGAUAAGUAUGGGAAUGUCAGUCCUCUCCUUUCUCCUCCCCAUUGCCAUCCAUAUUAUAAUUCAAGGUAGAAUACAUAUCUCUCCAAUAUUAUAUGAGGGUAGAAAUUUGAAAUGUGUCGCAAUAGAAUUAUUAAGGAUAGUCUAUUAAAAAAACUUAAUAUUAUUAAAAAGUGGCGUAUACAUAAUUAGAAAUGAAUGUAGCAAACAAACAUUAAUUAAUUCAAGAAGCCCUAUAUGUUCAACAUGACUAUUAUAUAAUGUGGCUGGCAAUCCUUUAGUCAUGGGGUCUGCAAGCAUAAAUAUAUUUAGUAUUUAUAUAUUCAAUACUUACUUCACGCUUCUUAUAUGAUCUCUGACAACUAAGAACUUUAUAUCAAUAUAUUUCUUAUGACUCCCAUUUCUAUUAUUCUUUGAAAAGAAUAUUACAGCAAAAUUAUCAUAAUAGAUUUCCAUUAAAUUUUUAUAGAAUCAGCAAUUUUAAGGCUUGUAAUAAAAUUUUUCAACCAUAAUGCUUGUGUUGUAGGUUCAUAACAUAUAAUAAAUUCUGCUUUCAUGGUAGAUGAAGCAAUUAUAGUUUGCUUGCCACUUUUCCAAGAUAUAACCCUCUAGUAAGAGCGAAAAUAUAUCCUGGAGUGGACUUUCUAGUAUCUGCACAUCUAGCAAAAUCUGAAUCCGAAUAUCCAAUUACUUGAAGAUUAUUAGAAUACUUAUAUGUGAGUUUGUAGUCCUUAGUUCCUUGUCGAUACGACAUCACUUUUUUAGCAGCUUUUCAGUGUUCCAAUCCUAGAUUGCUUGGAUAUUUAUAGAGUAUGCUUACUAACUAGGCAAGAUCAGGCAUAGUACACACUCGUGCAUACAUUCGGCUAUCUAAGACAGAAGCACAAGGAGUAUUCUUCAUUUGUUCUUUUUCAAAUUGCUUUUGGACAUUAUUUCUGACUGAAUUUGUCCUCUUUAAAAAUAGGUGCAACAGUAGGAGCACAAUCUUUCAUUUUAAUUUUUUCCAAAACUUUUUUAAUAUAUGCCUUUUGAGACAAUUUUAAUGUCCUUUUAAUCAUAAUUCUAUGGAUUUCUAUACUUAGAAUAUAUUAGGCUUCACUUAUAUUGUUCCUGUUAGAGUUUUGACUAAGAAAAUGUGUAGUCUUAUGCAGCAAACCCAAGUCAUUUCAAGCAAGCAAAUUAUCAUCUAUAUAUAAGACUAAAAAGAUAAAUUUGUUCCUACUGACCUUAAAGUAUAUAAAUUGAUCAACAAUAUUUUCUAUGAAACCAUACAAAGUAACAACACUGUGAAACUUUAAGAUCACUGGCAAAAAGCUUGUUUUAGUCCAUAUAUAGAUUUAUUUAAUUUGCAAACCAAAUGACUGUAUUUGUUAGUCACAAAAACCUUCAGGUUGCUUCAUGGAUACUUCUUUUUCAAGAUUCCCAUUUAAGAAAGUGGUUUUCACAUCUAUUUGAUAUAGCUCUAAAUCAAAAUAAGCUACCAAAGCUAUGAUAAUUCUAAAGAAUCAUUUUUUGAAACUAGAUAAAAUGUCCUUUGAUAAUUUAUGCCUUUUUUUUUAGUGAAUUCCUUAACCACAAGUUUAGGUUUAUAUCGUUCUAUAUUACUAGAAGCAUUCCUUUUGAUUUUGUAAAUCCAUUUACAACCUAUAGUUGAAUGACCAAAAGAUAAUUGAAGAGAUCACAUACUUUAUUUUUAGCCAUAGAUUCCAUUUCUUCCAUCAUUGCAUCAUGUGAUAGUUUAGAAUUUUCUCCAUUCAUGGCUUGUAAAUGGAAUAGUUUAGAAUUCUCUCCAUUCAUGGCUUGUAAAUGGAAGUUGGAUCUUGACUGAGUUCAUAAUUAAACUUAGACUCUUGAAAGAAUACUUUAUAAUCACUAAAAAUUAUAGAUUUCUUAUUCUUGAAGACAUCCUUAAUCCUAUUAUUUUACUUUUAUUUUGUGAAUUUUGAGUGAUAACGUGAAGUGGUUGAAAUUCAAUUGGUUGUUUCUUAAUUAUUUCCCCAGGAAAUACACUAACAGAUUCUUUAAUUUCCUGAAAUUUAAUAAUACUAAGAAAUUCAUUUCCAUUAAGGUCAAUGUCUUCAAGAAAUUUUGUAUUUCUAGCUUCAACAAUCUUUAUAGCGUGUGAAGGACAAUGAAACCAAUAGCCCUUAGAGUUUGCUGGAUAGCCUGUAAAAUAAACUCUAACUGUACUUGGGUCCAAUUUCUUUAAUUGAGGAUUAUAAAUCCUUACCUCAACAGGACAACUCCAAAUGUAUACAUGUUUGAAAAUAGGUGUCCAUUUAUUCUAAAUUUCAAAAAGUGUUUUAGGAACAGCCUUGGAUGGAACUCUGUCUAAAAUAUACAUAGUAGUUUUUAAAGAUUCACUCUGUUGAGUAUUAGAAAAUGUAUAUUUAUAAAGGAAAAAAUGGUCAUUUUACAUUUCAACUCUUACUAACACCCUUACUUUUAUGUAUUCAAGCUUUUUGUGAUUUAAUUACGCGUGUUUUAUUUUAAUUAAGUAUUUGAUGUAUUUUAGGGGUAUCAUGGUCAUUUCACAAUGAACGAGAAAUCAAACGGCAAAACAGACAUCACUUUUAAACUCAGGACAGUCAAAAACCUUAGGAGGAGCAUAAAAGCUUUUUGUGAUUUAAUUACGUGUGUUUUAUUUUAAUUAAGUAUUUUAUGUAUUUUAGGGGCAUCAUGGUCAUUUCACAAUGAACGAGAAAUCAGACGGCAAAACAGACAUCACUUUUGAACUCAGGACAGUCGAAAACCUUAGAAGGAGUAUAAAAGGAAAAAUGUCAUUGUUCACAUGUAUGUUCACAUGUAUGGUAUUAUUCACAUGUACGAUAUUGUCUACGUUACUGUUUACGACACUGUUCACAUAGACGGAUCGAUGAUGUGGCAUUGACCGAUGAUGUGGCAUUGAUUGAUAAGGUGUCAUGAUUCCAUUGAAGAAAAUUCUUAUGCACUGUUGAUCGGUGAUGUGGCAGUAUGUUAGUGGAUAAAAAAUUACGCGGACGAUACAUGCAUAUACACAGGAUUAUUUUUCAACCAAACUGCAUCAUUGUUCAAGCCGGUUGACUGUUCAAACCGCGUGGUCAAACCGCGUACUGUUGACUGGUGACGUGGCGCAAUCUUGAGCGUCCAAACUGUUUUUGAUCCGAUGACUAUGAUUUACUCAAUGUAUCUAUAAAAAGGGGGCUUCCCCCCUAAUUUGGCAUCUCCAAAUCCAUUUUUGGGCUCUAUUUUCUGUAAUUCCUUCUCCAUCUUGUAUUUUCUACAUAUUUUAAUAAAUUCCCAUUUUGCCCCUAAUUCAAUUAUGAGUAUGUAAUUUUCUUUAAAGCUUGGGUUAAAAGUGGAGUCUCAACAUGUGUCAUGGGCUUUAUUUAGUAAAUUUAUUUUCUCUUCCCCUCUAGUUUUUGUGGAUGUUUUGACUUCUCGUCGACAAAUAAUGAUAAUCUUGUUUAGAUACCGCCUUGGUUUCACCGGCUCCUUAGUACAAAAUUAUAAUUAUUUGGCACGAUAAGCCCUUAACACCAUAUUGAUUAGAGUGUGGUUCAUGAGGUGUGAAUUUUCCCCUCAUGAUUUAAUUGGCACUAAUAAGGAAUAUUUAGCCCAUGGUACAUGUUGAUGUGGAUCUAGAUACUCAAGAGCUUCAAUUAUUAUAGUUUCCACUUUAAUUUAAUUCUGCCAUUUCAAUUAAAAUUUUAGGAUAUUUCAAAUCACUUCCACCACAAAUCCAACCACCCUCAUAGAAAAUUAAUUAUACAUAUAAUUAAAAUCCACCUCCUCGUGGGAUCAACACUCGUCACUAUUGAUCUAUACUACAAUAGAUUCGUGCGCUUACGAGUUCAAUAAAAUUUACACAACACACUCCAGAAUUUCAAGGGAAGACUUGAAUUGCUAAUCAUACUUCUUAUCAUGUCUAUAAUUGUUAUAUAUUUCCUUUUAGCAACACCAUUCUCCUAUGGUGUGCUAGGUAUUAUAUAUAUUAUGCAAUAAUGCCUUAUUCUUCGAGAAAUUUUACAAAUGGACUAGGCAUUUAUUGUUAGCCUAUAUGGCUAUAGAUAUUAAUUUUGAUUUCAAGUUAUGAACUAAAAUGAAAGAAUUCUACAAUCUUUGAUUUUAAUAAAUAUUGUUUUCCAUUUUGGAUUUGGACCUAUUUGAAAGUAUUUAAAUAAUUUUGAGUCAAUCUAUAAUUUCACAUGUUUUGGGUCAUAUCAUAAUUUCAAAAAGUUUUGGGAUUAAAAAAACAUUAUUUAAAAUUGGACUUAUUUAAAAACUUUCAUAACGUUUUGGGUCAUAAUAUAAUUUUAUAAAGUUUUAGGGUCAAACUAUAAUUUUAAAAAAUAGUUCACUGUAGUAAGCGGCUAUCCGAUCUUGAAAAAUGGUAGACCGGAUUUGGGCAGAAAGCUUCUGGAAGAUAUACGGCUAUCCGGAUUUCAUAAGCGGCAUAUCGGAUUUCAUAAGCGGCAUAUCGGAUUUUCAGAAAUUCAAAAUUUUGGCUGUAAUGGUAACAUUAAGCAGCUAACCAGAUGUCCAUAAACGGUAAGCCAGUUAUGACCAAAAUGUGCAUAACGGCUAGUUUUUGAGCUCAAACUAUAAAAACUCAAAUCCAAUUCAUUUUCAUCCUCUCCAACAAGAAGAAACAGCAAGCACACAACAUAUCUUGAGCUCUCAAUUCGCAAGUCAUUAUUCAUUGAAUCAUUGUUGUUUUUCAAUUUGUACAUCUACUCUUUAAGAUAGUUUUUGUUGUAACUUUCAUUUCUUUAUCUUAAUUGUGAGUAUUUGAGUGUGUAAGACACUUGAGUGAAGAGAUUUGAAGAUAAUCUCUUUGUUGUAAAGGUUCAUCGACGCCUUGAAGUCAAUUGUAAACGUUUAAAGCCUUGGAAGGCUUGGAUAGUGAAACCCUCAAGCUUAGAUCGCUUGGAGGCGUGGACGUAGGCGGAAAUUGCCGAACCACGUAAAAAUUCGUAUUUGUUUCUCUUCUCUCUUACUCAUUCGUUACUGUGCUUUUAUUGAACUUAUUGCUUUCGAAUUUAUUGAGGUGUUAGAUUGGAUUGUUGUGUGGCUUUGUUAGGAUAAUUUUUAAAAUAUCAAUUUACCCCCCCUCUUGGGUUGCACACUUGUAUUUCAUUUAUUUUUUGUAUAUCUUCCAAAAUAUUCUUUACCCCUAUCAGAUCUUACAAUUUUGAUUUUUCUUUCUUUUUGUCUCUCUGCUUCUACUUUAUAAAUCUUAAAAGCAUCAAAUGCUUCUUCUUUAUGAUUUAGAAAAUAGUGAUACAUGUAUCUUGAAUGGUCAUCUAUAAAUGAGAUAAAAUAUCUCUGACCAUUUAGACAAAUAGUGGAAAAGGGUGCACAACUAUUAGUAUAUAUAAUCUUAAGAAUUUCAAUGCUCCUCUUAGUACCUUCAAUAGUCUUGUUAGUUACUUUUCUCUUAAUGCAGUUUAUACAAGAAUUAAAAUCAGUAAAAUCAAGACUUUGUAAAACUCUAUCAUUUACUAAUCUUUUAAUUCUCUCUAUAGAGAUAUGUCCUAAUCUCAUAUGCCAAAGUUUGAAGGCAUUCUCAUUAGUAAUACAACAAUUAAUGCCAAUAUUUGCAUCAUGCAAAGUAAAAAGAUUAAACUCAGAUGUGGGAUCUAAAUUUAACUUAUAUAAACCAUUAAGUCAAAUACAAUAGCAAAUAAAAUUAUUAUUAUUAUUAUUAUUAUUAUUAUUAUUAUUAUUAUUAUUAUUAUUAUAUAUUAUAACCAAUUAGUUCAAAACAAAUUUAAAUCCUAAUGAAACUGGAUGAAUAACAAAAAUUAAAUUUCUAGAAAAUGUGGGUACAUAAAGUGUGUUUUCAAGGUCUAAAUAAAAACUAGAUUUUAAAACCAAUUUAAAAGUUCUCACAGCCUUAACACUUGAUUGCAUUAUGAUUCCCUUGCUCAUUUGCUCUUGGAAUCAACCCAUCAUGUAUUAUUAGGGACAUCAAUAAAAUGAGAUUCAUGACAUACAUAAGAGAUAGAUUUAUCUUUCUUUUCUAGCCAUUUUUAUAUUUUUGGCAAUUCUUCUUUAUGUGUCCUUUUUUCUUACAAAAGAAGCACUAAUCCUUCUCACUAAAUUUUUUUAUUGGCACUUGCUUCUCCUUAUCCUUGGGAACACUUUUACUCUUUUGGGUAUUUCCUUUCACAUGAGAAGUUAAAUAGGCACUUUUUAACUUCUCAUGCUUCAAUCUCUCUUCUUUUUUAACACACAUGGUCAAAAGUUCAUUAAGAGACCAUUUUUCUUUAUGUGUGUUAUAUGAUAUUUUGAAUGGAACAUAUUCGUUAGGAACGGAAUUAAGAAUGAAAUAAACCAAAAAUGACUCAGACAUCUCUAUCUCAAGUGACUUAAGUUGAGUAGCAAUAUCCCUCAUUUCCAUUAUAUGCUCACCUUUAGUAUUAUCAAGCUUUAUGCUUGAAAGUUUUUGCAUUAGAGUGCUUGCUAAUGCCUUAUCAUGACUUACAAAUUGUUCCUCAACAACUUUUAUAAAAUCCUUAGCUUUAGUACAUUGUGGGAUAAAACCUCUAAUGCUUUUGCUGACAUGAGAUUGCAUGAAUAUCAAACUUAAGCGAUUAGAUCGCUCCCACUUUUCAUAUGUAUCUUUCUCACUUUGCGUACUUGAUUCCAUAGGAAUAGGUGGUUCAUCCUCACGAAGCGGCAAGUCAAUAUCCAUGCACCCCCGAAGAGAACUCUCUCUUUCCAGACAGAAAAGUUAUCACUAUACAACAACAGAACACGAGUAGAAUCACUGAAAUAAUUAGGAACCAUUGUAUAGGAGAACAAAAAAAUACAUUAAUGCUAUGAAAAUUUUAAUCUCACUACGGAAUUUACCAAUGUAAAAAUUUAGUUCUAAAUUCAAACCUUCCUAUGGGCAGAGGUUAUACAUGAUGUGUUGAAUGUACAUUAAUCUUUAAUAACAAGAAUAAAAAAUGUAUACACCAAAAUAAAAAUUCCGUACCCGUGGGCAUAGGAAAUUCUAAUUUUGAUGCUCAAAUUACCAUCUUAUUCUAAUUAAAUCUGUAUAAUAAUUAUUUCCCUUUGGGGCCAAAUAAUUAUAAAUUAAUCAACAUGUUCGUUGCCUUUCAUGUCUAAAAUAAAAUCCUUUACGACAUAUGAACAUGUGCUAUACAAAUAAUUCAAAAGUUGUGGCUGUAAAAAAUGUGAUGAUGUUUCAAUAAAGGCAUUAGUAGAACAUGAUCUAAAAAUUCAAUAAAUUUAUGUAGAUUGUAUAAUUAUUCUUUGGUAUAUCUAUCAUAUUUUAAGUAUAAGGCUAAAUAACACAAAAUGUAUUGCAAUCAUGAUUACGAUGAUUUCCACAAUAAUAUAUAUUCAUUAUUAACACUUAUUCAUAUCUUAGUGAAUUCAAGCAUUAAAAUCUUAACCAUGUGACAUGGUUUAAUACAUGUAUUCAUCAUAGCAUAUAAAGUCACGACCAUAUAAGAUCAAAACCAUAAACCGAAUGCAAACAAUAUUAUAUAACUAAACAACAAGAUCUAAAGGGAGGCUCUGAUACUAGGUGUAGUCUUAAUAAUAAUAUAUUAUUGAUAUAAAUUUAAAUAAUUUACAUACUUUCACCUCCAGUCAUUAUUGUUCAAGUUAAGUUUGAAGAAUACUUAAAAUCUUCUGAUCUAUUCAUAGUCUUUAUUUGGAGGGUAAUUCACAGACAGUUUCUAUUGGCUAGGUUAGGAACUCUUAUUAUAUAUAAUGGACUUCAUUCACUUUCCUCCAUUAAGAAAGUGAGUAAUUAUCUUUAUCUUAAUUUUAGAAAUAUAGAAUAAUUAUUCUCAUCAUUAUUUAACCAUAAAUAUGAUUAGUUUUAGUUUAUCUUAAAGUUAUGAAUGUGAGCCACAUUAGGGUGCUCGCAUGUAACACAUUUUUUGAGAUUAAUGCAAGUAUUAAUUUAAUUAUAAUGCUUGUAAUAUAUUCACGAACAAUAUUCAGAAUAUGCAUCCAACACAUGGGACAAGAUUUCAAGUCAACUUGGCUGACGGCUUCUUGUGAGCACGUUAAGGUUCAUUUUUCAUCAAGCUUGACCACAGGGAGUACGGGGGGUGGUUCAGGACAUGCAUUACUUUAUUCGGAAGACUCUAAAGAUUAAUUAUUUAUUUAUUCUUAGUGCCCGUUUUUUUUUUUUUUGGGUUUAAUCGUCUGGAAGAAUAUUAAAUUGUGGAAACUUUAUAGAAAGUUAAUUGCAUUGUUAAUUUUACUCUUAUUUAUUUUUUUCAAAGGGGUAUCUUGCAUAGUUUUCUUCUUUUUCCCUAACUCACAUUAAUUAAUUUGUUUCCAUGAGUACCCUAAUUAUAAGCCACAUGCACGUUACAACAACUUAUGUAAAAAAAAAAAUCAAGUUUUUGGGUGAAAACUUCAUGCAUAAUAUUAUUUUUAUUAUUUUUUAUCAAAAUUACAAUUUAAAAAUUAUAUUAAAAAACAUUAUAACACAAUUUUUUUUUUCGCUUUACUAUCAAUCAAUGCCUAACCCCUCGAAACCAAAUUCAAUUUAAGUAUUACACCAAAAAAGAGGAAGAUUGUUAUUUAAAGUCGGAGAAAUUCUAAAAUACCUCUGAUGUUUUACAACCAAUUAAUGCAUGCAUGACAUGUGUGGUUAAAUUUAAUAAAACCAUCACUUACAUUAUGAUUUUUCAAAGUCGAAAAGGAAGAUGGCUAGCUAAAGUUGAGGUCAAACUUUUUACACAAUAACAUAGCGCAUAAGCACCAUUCAUCAAAGUCGUAAAAGUCAAGGGAGCUAUGUAAUCAUCUCUAAUUUAAGUAAUUUUUUUCACUUUUAAUUUUAUUAAAAAUCUAUUUAAAAAUUAAUAAAAGCCCAAACCGCCUAAAAUGCCCUACAAUUUGCCAAAUUUGCCAACCCUAAAUCUAAUUCAACCACUGUUGACUUUCCGCAUGGGGCAUGCAUCCAUUGAAGACUUUUGAGAAAGAAUACGCGAGAGGAAGGAAUAGCAUCACUUCAGAUUGGAUCCUGAGAAGAAAAAGAAGACGAUGAAGAUGGCGUCCAAAACCUAUGAAAAUAACCAAGAAUCACAUAUUCAAUAUUCACUCAUUAAUUUUUCAUUUUGUAUUCAACAUAUAAUUAGUUUAUUCCAAAUCACGUGAGCAGUCAUUGUGAAGGUCCCUUUUAUUCAUUUGAAUUGAAUUAGGAGAAAAAUAUAUCUUCUACCAUAUUCCAGUAUGUUUCUUAGAAAGAAUGUAAUCAAAUUCCUUUAAUUGUUUCUUACUGGAAAAAUCUUCUUUUUAUAUUCUAUUAAUAGUGCUAAUAGAAAAUUAAUUUUUAAUUAUACCGAAAGAAAAUAGAUAUCAAAUUUUUAAAAAUAAAAUUCUAAAUAAAUGAACAAAUAGAGUUUUUUUUUUUUUCAAUUCAAAACGUCCCGUGAUCGUCAAUCAAUUCGGUGCUUGAAUAUAUUAACUAGGGGUAAGGGCAACAACUUAUUUCCAAUACUCAGUAGCUUGAUUGAACCAAGUCUCCACAAUUUUAGAAUCUCUUUGUUUAAUGACUCGAUUCCUGUGGUCGAAAUAGGAGGCUGUUUUUUUUGUCUCAUAUAGCUUAGCAGUCAAUUCUUUUGGUAUCUGGGGUUUUUGAAUUUAGUAUAUCAAAUUGAAUGAGAUUUCUCGUAGCUUAGCAAAACGUUUGGCUGCAUUCCUUUUCUUCUUCCCAAUUAAUUUUAUAUUUUUAUCGAAAGCAUUUUAAAAAAAAAAAAAAAAAGAUAGAGGGGCGUGUAAAGCAUAAAAUUACUGUUUUAACUCCUCUACUUAAGAUUUGAAUUUGAAUUCAAAUAACCAAUUGAUUAAAAUUGUUUUGACAUCAACCUCUUUUGUCUUAGUUGAUUUGGCUUUGCUGCACCCUGAAUCGAUGCAAAAGCUUAUUCGUCAAUUCCUUUUGCUCAAUUGUAAUUAUAGAGAUAAAUUUUUUGAGUGAAUUUAAGAAAAAGAAAUUAAAAAAAAAAGAGUUUUGAAAGAGUGCACAAUAACUCACUGAUUGAGCGCUCUAGCGCGGAAGAUGGACGGAAUAAAGCGAUCUGCCGAAGCUGUGGGAUAUAAAGAUGCUAAAUCACUAAACAAAUACUAGCUAACGGACCGAACCCACCGCCAGUAACUAAAGAUUGCUCGGGGGUGGAUCCAGUCGGUGGGGCCUAGGGACAAGUAACUUAAACGGAACAUGUGCCUUGUCCUAAUUCAUGCAUGUUCGGAUCUUUCUAUACUGCUUUACCAGAUUCCAACAAAGGGCCGAAAAAAAGGCCAUCACCACACGGUUUCCUUCUUGUUAAUUGUUACUAUUAACUCAUGUGAAUCUGGGUUUAUCAAUGUUAGAAUGCAGUCAAUUCUUUUGGUAUCUGGCUUUAUUCCAUUUUUUUUUUUUUGGGUGAGCAAAAGAGGUUAAUCCAUGAGCAUGAGUUUCGAACUUGACCUUUGAUUAAAACAAUAAUCAGCUUUGUUUUCAUUUUAUCUUUUCUCUCAUUGUCAGAAUAAUAACAUCGAAACAUUUCCACUAUAAUUAGAAUUUUUAGAAAUGUAUCUAUUUGGUUUUCAUAUAAAAAUUAAUAUAAAAUCUUUUAAAAGGACCUUCCUUACUAAAAAAAGAUAAGAUUUACUGUCUUUGGAAUUUGAUGCUAGACCGGUGCUCAAUAGUUUAAGGGAUUGACUUUAUUACAUAAAUGGAUUCCUUACUUAAAUAAGCAGUUAUUGAUAGAUCACAAUUAGCUCAAAACCUCGCGAAUUGGUCAUUAUAGUACUCCCUCUAUCAAUUAUAUCUAGGGAUGGCAAUGGGGAGGGGAGGGGAGGGGACCAAUCUCCCCAUACCCAUCUCCGAUAUUUUGUUAUGUCCCCGUCCCCUCCCCGUCCCCGUCAGAAUUGCUUAAGUGAAUCCCCAUCCCCUCCCCGAAUAAUAACAGGGGAUCCCCGAGGGUCCCCGGUCCCCGAAUAAUUAAUAGUCUAAUACAUUUUUUUUUUAUUUUAAAUUAAUCAUAUUAAAAUAAAAAAAUUCAGAUAAAAAUAAAGUUCAAAAUAUAUCUUGCAUUAAUAUUGAUCCAUUUCAAAGUCACAUUCAAAAUAUAAAUUAUUAAAAUAAUUAUCUUUGUCAAUGACUCAAUCUUCAUAAUCCUACAAUAAAAAGAAAAAAAAUUAUUUUUAUAUCGGCAAUAAAAUAAAUGUAGAUAUUUAAUUAAUAUUUUUAAUAAAACUAUUUACCUCCUGCUCCUCCUGUUCUUCCUCGAGAAAUGUGGCAAAUUGAGAGCUAGCCUCAGAUUUUAAACCUAAAACAAUGAAAAUGAUAUAAGUAACGUAACUUAUAAGCGCAAAUAUUAAUAACUGUAUAAUAUAAUUACAAUGUAAAAUAAACUCAUAUUGCUAUUGUAAGCUCGUAACCAACUUUGACAGCACAUUAAGGCCUCCAAUGUACUUGGAUGAAGUUUGUUACGGUGUGCGCUCACAACUCUACCACCGGUGCUAAAAGCUGAUUCAGAAGCAACUGUUGUAAUUGGAAUUGCCAAAAUAUCUCUAGCAAUUCGAGCUAAUGUAGGAUACGAAUUAGGAUUAGAACUGUUGUAAAUUAUAAUUAGGCAGCUCUCUCCUGUAUCAUUGUGGUUUGGAUUAAAAAUUUAAGACUUUAAUUAGUUAAUUAAGUUUAAAAGUUUAAUAAUAUAACUAUUUUAAUAUUUAUUAUUUUUAACAAUAUUUAUAAUUUUGUUAUUUAUUUAUUAGUAAUUUUAAAAAUAAAAAUAAAAUUAAAAAUUAAAAUGGGGAAAUGGGUAGGGGAUGGGGAUUCCACCUCAUCCCCGUCCCCUCUCCGAAUAAAAAAUUGGGUAAAAAAUUUUCUCUGUCCCCUCCCCGAAUAAAAAAUUGGGUAUAAAAUUAUCCCCGUACCCUCCCCGAAUGGGGAAAAUCCCCGAAGGUAUCCGUCCCCGUGGGGAUUUUUGUCAUCCCUAAUUAUAUCAUUUAUUCAUAGAAUAAACUAUCUAGGCAUAUCAGAUUUUUUCAUAACUUCUAUGAAGUUCCAUUACAUUAUUGACUUAGAAUUAUAACUUUUUCUAUUUGUUAUUUUUAACCCAAAAAUUAUAUUAUGCUGAAAAUUGUGAAAAUUAGCAGGAGCAUAGGCAUAGCGAUUAGCAAAUUUUAAUUAAUGGACCGGCGAAGUGUUCGAAUCCUGCAAAAUAAAUGGUUGAAAAUUUGAUUUUGAUUCUUAUUACUUGCCGACCCCUAUUUUCAAAGAAAAGAAAAUUAACCAUCAUCUGUAUAACUAUUGUAAUCGACUAUACAGGCAAUCAAUAAUUCAUUUUUAAAAAUAAUUACUAAUCCACGACGUAUUUCUUUUACCAUUGUAUUCUCUAGAUUCUCUAUUUAUUUAUUGAAAAUUAUUUUUGGGAGAAAAGAAAUCUUGCUAAUACAACAAAGUAUAAAUUUAUAUUUAAAGUUGCUACAAGUACGAUUCUUGUCAAUUUCUGUUCUUAAAGUAUCACUUUUUUUUUUCUACAAAUAAAACGAAAACGACUGUAUAUUGUUGUAUUAUUAUUAUUAUUAGGGUCCACCUAAGUUACAUUUAACGUAACUUACGGCUUGGUUGUGAAAUUUCAUCCAGUCCCCCAUAUUUGAUGUUAUUUAUAUUAUAUUCAUGAAUAUUAUAACAAUUUCUGAUUUGAAAAAUUUCGUUUAAUCUCUUACACUUAAUUUUAUUUUAUUGAAACCCUAGAGUACGAAUUCGCCCCCUAUAAUUUUAAAUUCUCAAAAUAACCUCAUUUAAUUAAAAAUUUUAAUUAUUAUUAAUUUAAUUAUAAUUAUAAUUAUAAUUAUUAUUUUAUUAUAAUCAUAAAUAUAUUUAUAUUUUUUAAUAGAUUAUUGUUAUUAUUAAUUACAAGAAUAAAAAGUAUUACAAUUAAUUAAUCUAUUAACAAUAAUUAAUAAAUUUUUUCUUAAAUUGUUAAUAAUAAUAAUAAUUAUCUAUUAAUAAUUAAUUUUGAAUAAUAAUAACAAUAAUAAUAAUAAUUAAAAUACAAAAUAAUGAUUAUGAUAAAAAUUAAUUAAGGAUUUUAUAGCAAUUGGUUAUAAUGUAACUCAUUCUGAUUUUAAUUCUAAGACAAAAUAAACACAUAAAUUAUAAUAUAACUAAUUCUAAUUACGAUUUCUUCAGUUCAAAUAAAUAAAUUAAAAUAAUAAUUAUAAUUAUAAUUAAUUUAAUAAUAUAUUUUCUCAAAUAUUUAUUUUUAAUUUACUUUUUUUUUCUAACAACCAAUAUAUUUUCAUCGAGUUAAAUUUGAUGUACAUCUUAUUCUAUUGUAAGAUCUUACAAAACGUGAUUAUUUUCAAAAGUUAAAAAAAAUCCACACACACACACACACACUCUCUCUCUAGAAAAUGUUUCAGAGAAAAAUAAAUGAAAUAAACAAAAUAACAUUAUAAUUUAUUUACUUGAACUAAAGAAAUUGUAAUUAGAAUAAGCUGUAUUACCAUUUAUGUAUUUAUUUUAUUUUAGAAACAAAAUCAGAAUGAGUUAAAUUGUAAACCAAUUGCUAUAAAAUCUUUAAUUAAUUUUUAUUAUAAUUAUUAUUUUUUAUUUUCAUUAUUAUUAUUGUUAUUAUUAUUCAAAAAUUAAUUAUUAAUAAUAAUUAUCGUUAAUUAUUAUUAUUAUUAACAAUUUAAGAAAUUUUUAUUAAUUAUUGUUCAUAGAUUAAUUAAUUGUAAUAAUUUUUAUUCUUGUAAUUAAUAAUAACAAUAAUCUAUUAAAAAUAUAAAUAUAUUUAUGAUUAUAAUAAAAUAAUAAUAAUAAUAAUUUAAUUAAUAAUAAUUAAAUUUUUUAAUUAAAUGAGGUUAUUUUGAGAAUUUAAAAUUAUAGGGGGCGAAUUCGUACCUAGGGUUUCAAUAAAAUAAAAUUGAGUGUAAGGGAUUAAGCGAAAUUUUUUAAAUCAGAAAGUUUUAUAAUAUUCAUGAAUAUAAUAUAACUAACAUCGAAUAUGGAGGGCUGAAUGAAAUUUCACAGCCAAACCCUAAGUAACUUAGACGGACCCUUAUUAUUAUCAUACAUAAAAUCCAUAUAUUCUCUUUACUUAGGAAUUCUAUACAAUUACAUAAAAGAAAAACAAUAUUAAAAUUUCCAAAUUCUAACAAAUAGUUUCGUGAAAUUAAAUUAUGUUUUUUAAUUGAUUUAUUUCCAUGUCUUACAAGAUCAGUCAUUGAAACGGGUAACAAAUACAAAAUCAAAAGCAUGGUCUUUACACAACAGCUGCAGCAGCACUAAAGCAUGAAGAGCAAAAGCAGCAACGUAAACGAUACUAAUCAUCUCAAUAAAGAAGAAAACAAGAAUCAGCCAAAGAGAGAGAUUAGUUCGCCCUCAACCCUCGAUUCUAGAUUCAAUCAAAUCCUCAGAAAUGUCCAAGGGUACGCUAAUAGCUUUUCCCAUUCCUCAUUUCUCACAAAUUUUUGUUUUUCCCAUCAGAUUUGAUGACCCAUUUGAGAGUUAUGCAUAGAUCUUUGAAUUCUGUUUUCGGUAUAUAUUGUUUCAUUAGUUUCUUGCUGAUAAUUGUGGUCUUAGUUUAGAUUUAGGACACAUUUGGGUAAUUAUUUAGAGUUAGGCUUGGUGAUUGUAGAAUUUGGCUUUGAUCUUUGGGAUUUCACGAUAUGGUUGGAAAAUUUGACUUGGGUUUGGCUGAUUUUUGAAGAAAAUAAUUGAGUGAUUCAUGCAAGUUCGACCAAAUCCUUGCUUUCUGCGAAAAUAUAAGGAGAGAGAACAAAUGAAGGUUAAUUUGGGUCUAGAAUAUUAGUGAAAUGGAGGGCAAUUUACAGUGGGAAUUAUUCCUGGCUCCUGUGUUAGAUUUAAUGAUAUGAUUCCUGCUUUGAUGUUUAUUGAAGGAUGCUGAUGUGUUUUAAAUUUGAUGACUCGUAGUAACAUGCGUACUAUGAUGACUCCUGCUUUGAUGUUUAUUGAAGGAUGCUGAUGUGUUUUAAAUUUGAUGACUCGUAGUAACAUGCGUACAAAUGAAGGUUAAUUUGGGUCUAGAAUAUUAGUGAAAUGGAGGGCAAUUUACAGUGGGAAUUAUUCCUGGCUUCUGUGUUAGAUUUAAUGAUAUGAUUCCUGCUUUGAUGUUUAUUGAAGGAUGCUGAUGUGUUUUAAAUUUGAUGACUCGUAGUAACAUGCGUACCAUUGUUAGAAAGUUCACACAUUUCUCUGUGCUUCAUUGUAUUUAACUUAAUUUAUGGUGUGAGAUUUUGUUUAUAUCAAUGUCACCAUAAUAAAUUGCAUACGUUAUCAUUUUGUUUCCAAAAAUUGCUUAAUCUAUUUGCUUUGAUAGUGGUCAGACACACUCUGCAUGAGAUCAUUUCUGGCUUCUGAUAUUUGUAUUGGUUGCUUCUGUGUCUAAUACAAAGUUUUUUGAAUUUCUAGCAUCUUUUAUUAAAACCAACUGAUAAGAAGAGGAUGACGCUGGUAUUGUUUCUGUUGAAUGAUUUUAUUUGUAAUUGAAACCUGACUGAAAAAUCUCGAUAUUGCCUGGUGGAUUUUUCCUCAGAGUGUACCCUCUUCUAACUGUUCUUUGGGGGCAUUGAACCCCAUCUUAGCUGCUGACUGGUGUCCUCCCCUUCCUAAUACCUAAUACAUGGUUCCAUCUGUGGAGCCUAAAAUUAAAGCAUGGCAUGGCAGUAAGCUAUAUGAUGGCCUAGUCUCCUGCUCAGCCUUCGCCUUCUUCUAUGUCUUACUCUCUGUUUGUCUAUGCAAUACAUAUUGUAUGUUAUUGACUCAAGAAUGGCCUUCCAACUACCAUCACACUGUAGAGCCGGAGUUCACUGACAGCGCAUUUACUCUAUAACAGAAAGAGGAGGAAUUGCCAUAGUUCAGUUUGUAUGGAUUUUUCAGCGUUAGCUAUUAGACUAGACACCAAUGAGAUAGCUUAUCUUCACUACACAAAUUAGAGUCCUAGAUUUUGUUAGUUCAGCUAGUGAUGCAUCUUGCGGCAGUAUUUAUUCUUUUUUGUUUCUAAUUUUUUGAAUAUACAUGCACAUUCUUUGAACAUACAUACAUUUCAUUUAUUUUUUUUGAGUAUUUUAUAAGUUUGUUUUUGUACCGUUGCUUUUGAGUAUUUUAUACAUGCACCCCAGAACGCUCCCCUACUUUUGGAAGGAGUUUUUCAGAGAAUGACACUGGCACAAGUGACCAUGUGCAGAAUCCUAUGGAGGUAAUAUUCGAUGAUAUUUUCAUUUUAUUGAUAAUACUGAGAUUUAAGUACCCUGUGGUAUUCUUUUAUUAAGGAUUUAAUUGGUUGUUUCAUUUAUAAUGCAGGUAGAAGACCCGAGUAGAGGCAAGUCAAAUAAUGGAAAUGUUAAUAAGUUAAAGUCAUCACCAUCAAAUAUUGAGAAUACAUCAAAAGGAGCUCAUAAGUCUCCCAUCGGUACUAGAGCUACAGAUUCUGCAAGGGUUACAAAAUUCACGAAGGAGCUCUCUGCACCAACAGUGAUAUUAGGUUCCAUGCUAUUUAAUGUCUCAUUUAUGACAUUGUAUAUAUUAACUCGUUAUGAUAACUAGUAAAUUUUCUGAUGUUGUGUGUCAAAUUUUAGAUGCUAAGGAAUAAGGUAGAAAAAUAUACCAGAAACUGUUUAAAUAUUCAUCUGUAACUUCUCUCUAUCGCAUAUGUAGACAAACAUACACAAAUCUAGAGUCAAUGUUGCUAUUAUUUGUAUUUCUGGAUAAUGCUUAAUGCCUUUUUGGCUGUAAGAUUUUUUAAAAGCAUUCUUUGUUCCUCAAGAAAUAUGCUACAGAACAAGCAAUAUGGUAAAAACCUGUGGAAACUAUUUCUUUUCCUCUAACUAUCAUAGGCAUAUUGAUGAUAAUCUUUUUUAAAUUAAGGUGUAAGGAAAAGGUAUCUAGUGAAAAUUUACACUGAUAAAAAUGAAUUUUUAGUUUGGUUAUUUUUAUAUUUAACUCAUUUUAAAGGAGACCAUAAAUCUGUUCAUGCAUUUGGAACUGUUUCGGUAUGUAAAUUGUUCUAUUUAAGGUGAUAUUUUGGGAUCCCUAUGUUGCUUGUUGUUUAUUCCUUAACAUUUGUCCCUUUUAGUUUAUUUGCUUUAUUUGUCAAAAAAGUGAGAAAAAAUGAUAUAUGGUCCUGCUAUGAAGUUUUCAUUUCUACAUUUUGCAACUAGUGGCAUCGUAAUUAAUUUGAUAUCAUCAUUUUAUUCUUUUUUUCAGUAUAGCACUUUGAUUUAAACAAAUUGUAUCUGAAAAAACUUUACCUGCAACUCAUUUGGUUUUGAUUGAUUUUGGGAAUACUAUUUUUUGUCAAUUAGCUUAUCACAUUUAAUAUAAUUCCUUUCUUUACCCGGUCAUGCAGAGAGAUUACGCGAGUUAGCUUGGAGUGGUGUACCACCGUACAUGCGCCCUACUGUAUGGAGGCUUCUUUUGGUGAGCUUGAUGCUCUAAGACUUGGGAUCAGUUUUAAGUAACAAUGUGAUGAAAAAUUUGAGUUGGAUAAUAUUAUUGGUCAAUUAUGCUUGAGACUAGCUUGUCUUAUGAGAAAUUGUGGGAUGGGUUUUCUGUUGUUGAUCUGUUCAAGACUUUCUGCAUUUUUUAGAUGUCAAAUGCUAAUCUUAGCUUUCUAAAACUUUACCCUCUUCAAAAUGGUGCUAAUAUGGUAUAAGCAAUCUUGCCCUUGUGGUAAUUUAUGUUUUUCUAUACGAUGACAAACAGACACUUACGGUAUAGCUCCUUGCAAACUUUGUUAUCAGUUGAUCUGUGCUAACUUUGGUGUGAGGGAGGAAUGGAAUGAUGAGAAAGCUUGCUUGCACCCUUUUUAGUGUAACAGAAUUAUUUUCAGCAGCUAUUGCCUUUGACUUAUGGUGAAGAUUGGGCUUUGAAAGUUGGCUAUGAAUAUUCGUUCUAUUUGAAACAAUCCAUGAAAUUUCAGUUUCUCUUCUGAUUUUAAGUUGUCUAUUGCAACGGUUAAAAAUACAGUGGUCUGUCACCAUCCAAAUGCUGGGAUUUACCUAAUUCCGGCAUCAUUUUACUGACAGUUAUCUUUAUUGAAUAUAGUUUCAUUACUGUUUGAAAUUUAAAUAUGAACUGACAACAGGGAUAUGCACCACCUAAUUCAGAUAGAAGGGAGGGAGUCCUAAGAAGGAAGCGUCUUGAGUAUUUUGAUUGUGUUGCUCAGUUUUAUGACAUCCCAGAUACUGAACGUUCAGAUGAUGAAAUCAACAUGCUUCGCCAGGUAUUUUCAGCAAAACUGAUUAUCCAUCUUGAUCUUUAUUGAUCUUUUCAAAUGAUCACUAUCAAAUACUUGAUAGUGAUCUUUCUUGUCUUUGUUAGAUUGCUGUCGAUUGUCCAAGAACUGUGCCUGAUGUUACUUUCUUUCAGCAAGUGCAAGUUCAGAAAUCCUUGGAGCGCAUUCUGUAUACAUGGUUAGAUGCUUUGUUAUCCUUUUACACUUAGUUACACCAAUGCUUUUAUGACACUCUGUGCUAGUAGCACAAAAUUUUUAUGAGUGCGUUAGCUCAAAGUAAAUAGAAGGAUAAGAUUUUCAGUUGAUAGUGAAUAUUUUAGCAGUCAAUUAGAUCUUCAAUUUGGUAAACGAAUUCAUGCUUUUGGUUAAGUCUUACUUCUCAACUACACGUUGAAAUAUACAUAUACUAGUCUCAUCCAUCUAGUGGCCGUAACAUGCUUGGGUUCUUCUGCCGUCAAAGAUCCUGAUCUUGAUUCAAAUUGAUGGGUGAUGACCAUGAUAUGGUCACAAGAUAUGUUUGUUUGAAUUUUAAUAUGCAUUUGUUAUGAUCGAAUCAAGCUCAAAAUACUGUCAGCUCCUUUUGAUCCACAAGUUGUAUUAACUUUGUCUGUAUCUUCUUGAUCCUCAAUAGUAAAGAAAGUUUCCAAUCUCAUUCUGUUUAGUUAAAAGAUUGGGGUUGCCUUUAUGUGGAUGCAUUCUAUGCUCCAAACUAAAAAAUACCACGAUUUCCUUAUUGUGUGUGUAGUUUACGUAUUAAGACUUUCAGACGUUUUGAAAACUCUGUACAUUAUUUCUCACUUGUUCUGCUUUCUUUCCUAUUUUGCACUAAAAAAGCUUUUGAACUUACAUGUUGAGUUAUUGAUCUGGAUUAUGUCUUGUUCUUCAGAAAUGAUCCAUUAGUUGUGAAUCAUAGGUCCUGAAAGUUGAUGUGGAUGUUGCGACUAAGUUCUGUCAAUGUUUAAUGUUGAAGGCUUUAUUUUUCUUUUUUGUUUACUUAAUGGACAGCUGGUCCACUUCACCUUACUGAAUCUUCAUCUUUAAUGUUAAAUACAAGUUUCAUUUUUUUAUUAAAAAAUAAAAAAGAUUUAUAGCCCACUUUUUUAGCACAUACCAGUUGAUGGUUUUCUACCUAACAUUAAGGAGAAUCGAAUUCUGAGUUAUUCCUCAAUUUUGGAUCUAUAAUAUAGCACUAACAUGUGCUAGAUGAAUUAGCUUUCCGUGCAUUGGUUCAUUGUGCAAAUCUGUAUCAUGCUGUCUAAUUUUUCCAAUGAUAUUUUUGCUUAAUUUCUCCUUCUGCACAUUCUUUGGUGGUGAAUAGUCCCUGUAGCAUAGUAACUUAAUAGCCUCCUGAAACCUGGUAACUCUCUGCUCUCAAUGUUUUAGCGAGAAAAAAGAUGCUGGAUGAUACGGUUAAUAUGGACUUAAAAUUUCCUCAGUGGGGUAUAUUCCAUCAUUAUUGUAGUGACACUGGCAAUUGUUAUUUUAUUGUUGCGAUAUGUUUACCAUUUUUUUUUUUUUGGGUCAGGGCCAUUUGACAUCCUGCAAGUGGAUACGUUCAGGGGAUAAAUGAUCUUGUUACACCCUUUCUCGUUGUUUUCCUUUCAGAAUAUUGAGAAGGGAGUGUGGAUGAUUGGUCAAUAUCUGAUAUUACACCGGAGAAAAUAUCUGACAUAGAGGCUGAUUGCUAUUGGUGUCUAUCAAAAUUGCUUGAUGGUAUGCAAGAUCAUUACACAUUUGCUCAACCAGGAAUCCAGAGGCUUGUGUUUAAGCUAAAGGAAUUGGUUCGCCGGAUUGAUGGUAAACCCUUAUUACGGCCUUUAGUUCCUCCUAUUAAUAUUUCCCACAUAUGAAUUAAGUUGCAUUUACUUUUGAGUAAAUUAAGUCUGCUAAUUAGUUCUCAGGUUUUCUAAUAUGAUGGUGAUUUGCUUGGUGGUUAAAUUCAUGAUGGAUCCUUUGGUCACUCCUUUGAAAGCUCACCUCUAGAGCCCUUCAAACCAUAUCCCUUAUUGUUGCAGAUGAUAAUUUACUUGAGUGUUAUAUUGUUUGCAGUAACAAUAUCAGAAGUACUUACUUUUGGAUUUUAAUUUGCUUGAUAAGCUUAUGAUAGUAUUAUGCAUAUCUAAUUAAAGGGCUUCAAAUCGAAAGUUAUUUUUCCCCUUUACUGCCAUUAAAAUUUGGUGUUUUCCCUUGAGGGUUCAGCCUCAUUUCUCUUAAAAAAUUUAUAUACCCAGCCGCACUUGCUUUUACCUCAUGCAUGUGUAUGUUUACGAUAUUUGGGUUUGCUUCAAAUAGUAUUCCUGCCCUAUUAAGUAUUAACUAUUCUGUUCUUGAAACAGAACCUGUUUCAAAACACAUUGAAGAGCAGGGGCUUGAAUUUCUUCAAUUUGCUUUCUGUUGGUUUAACUGUGUUCUAAUACGCGAGGUAUGAUUUCAGCUUGCAUUACCAUUGUUUUCUUUUGCUAUAAUUUACUUCUAGUUCGCUUUUCUGUUUUAGUAAGAUAGUGGUCUUCCCCACUAAUCUCUAUUGGUCUCUUUAAGUUGUGACUGAGGGGGAUCAAUAUAUAAGAGUCAUCUUUUGCAUUAUUCGAAUUGAGCCGUGAGGAAAAUGGUUUUGUUUUAUCAGAUCCCAUUUCAUCUUGUUACACGAUUGUGGGACACAUAUCUUGCUGAAGGAGAUGCAUUGCCAGAUUUUCUUGUGUACAUAUUUGCCAGUUUUCUUUUAACGGUAAGAAUCUCUCUCUCUUCACCGGUAUAAUUUGCUUCUUUUUGCUUGUUCGAAUCUAAUAUUGGUUUAGAUGACAAGAAAAUCGGAAACAAGCACAUUUCAUAUUUGGUACAGCUUUUAAGCAAUUAAUCAAAAAUGGGAUUCCCAUUCUUUAUUUUCAAAUUGUGUUUGACCCACAUAAUUUAUUCCCAUUCUCAAAUAUAAUUUUGUCAAGUAAACAUAAUUUUGAUUCUCAUUCCUCCAUUCCCAUUCUCAUUCCUUAUUCCAAGAAGUAAACACACCAUUAAAUUUUUCUAUCAUAAAAAAUACUACAGUCCUUUUAAGUUGUACCAUUUACCUACUCUAAAUUUAUAAUAUAUAUCAUUCAUCCACCUAAUCGUGAGCUUCCAUUAGAAAUUUAGCAGAAUUACAGUAAAUUAAUCAUUUUGCUCUUGAAAUUUAAUUUAAUGCAAAAAUAGGUAGAAAAAUUAUCAGCCAUACAUAUACCUUAAGUUUAUCCAGUUAUAAAAAAUACAACAAAAGUUUGAAUUUAUUUGAUUUUCCACUCUAAGUUUGUAAUUUAUAUCAACCGUCCAUUAAAAUGUUAACACUAUUAGAAUAUUUAACAGAAUUUAAGUGAAAUGGUCAUUUUACCCUUGAAUUCAAGGACUUUUUAAAAUUUUCACAAUGAAUAAUAAAUAAAAAUUAAUUUUUUUAAUUAUGAGAUCGAAUUUAUGUAUUGGAUUGAUUGGGUGUUCAUGAAUUAGGGUUUAGGAUAAUUUGUGGAUUUAGUUUGAUUAUGUAAAUUUGUAAAGAGAAAUUGAGAAAACAAAUUAGAAUUUUUUGAUUAAUUAAAAAAUAGAGUUUUAAUUGUAUUUAAUUGAAUAUUGGUUAUAAAAAAUAGUUUUUUUCUUAUACGUUAAAUUAUUACUUAUUUUAUUUUGUAUUCAGCAUGUCAAAUGUCUAAAUUACCCUUGCAACAUCAUUAAUUAUAAACAAUAGUAAACAUUUUGGUGAACGGUUGAAACAAAUUACAAACAUGUGGUAAAAAAUUGAACAAAUUUAGAUUUUUAUAGUAAUUUUGAUAACAUGAUAAAGUUAAAGUGGAAGGCUAAUAAUUUUUCUUUUAUUUUUUGUUAAGGAUGUUAAAUUCUAAACUAUCCUUAUGAUGUCAUCACUUUCUAACGAAAGCUAUUGAUUUGGUGGAUAAAUGAUACAAAUUGUAAAUUUAGGGUGGAUGAAUAAUACAAAUUCAAAAUAUUAUAGUAUUUUUUAUAACAUGACAAUUGAAGAAUAUAUGACUGAUAAUUUCUCUCAUUUAUAUCAACUGAUCAUGAAGAACGGUAUUGUUUUCAAAAUGGAUUGACUGUCAAACUUUAGAUGCUAAGGAAUAAGGCGGAAGAUUAUCCCUUUUAACGGUUUCUAAUAUGCUUCUCUCUUACACAGAUGAACAUACACAAGGGUAGAGUCUAUAGGCUAUCCUUUGUAUUUCUAGACAAUGUUUAGUGCCUUUUUGGCUGGAUUUUUUUUUUUUUUUCUUUCAAAGCAUUCAAUACUUCGAGGAAUAUGCUACAGAACAAAGAAACAGAGUUGCCAGGCCUCUGUAAUGCAGACUCAACAUCGGGCAUAGAUGUCAGGAGAUUAGUCAAUGGAAAUCGUGACUUGUUGAGAGGAAAUACCAAAUGAUGGUGCUUGAGAAAACUAAGAGUUGUAGCUAGAUCAAAUACUGAAUCUGAAUAUGAAGCUUUAGCUCAAAGAGCUUCUGAGUUGACAUGCUCAUCCAUUGUGCCAUGAAAGCAAAUGAAAUCAUAUUGUAAUUGGCGUGCAAUUUAUAAUUGAGUGAGAAAGUAGCAAAUAAAAAGACUGACACUAGACAUUUUCCAAGCCAAGAGAAGUGGGCAUGUUGGUGAUACAUCUACUAAAUUAUUGGCAGGAGGGAGGUCCAACCAUCUUGAAAGCAGGCUCAAUGUUGCCAACAGAUAAAUAUUGCUUGAUGUGUAAUUUUUAGAUUAAAGACGCAAAAUACGACAUGAAGUGACGCUAGUAACAAUCAAUAAUGGAUGAUAAAAUUGGUGAAAAAGUUUAAUAUUAUCCAACCAAACUUAUGAAAUAAGAACCUUAAAUAUUAAAAUACACAUAUAAAAAAUUAAUUAAAUAAAAAAUAAUUUAUUUUAUUGUAAGAAGAGUAGAAAUAUACAGCUAGAUUGAGAACAAUAAAACCAGUCGUUGCCGGGAAACAAAGGCUUGGCAAAUUAUAAUGAUGUUGCCGCUGCCUAUUGAUAACUGAAUCACGUUAAGGGUGUUUUCGAGAUUGAGGUUAAAUGACUGUAAUUUAAAAAUUACAACAUUAAAGUGUUUGGAAAAAUAAGGUGUUUUCGAGAUUGAGGUUAAAUAACUGUAACUUAAAAAUUACAACACUAACGUGUUUGGAAAAACAAUAACUACUGUAGUUUGGAAGUUAUAUUAAUAUGGUUUUUCACUUGUAUCAUGAAAAAUUUAUUAUAUUUUUAAUAAUCUUGUCAAAAUUAUUAUUUAAAAUGUGUAUUUACUAUAAAUUAUUAAUUUUUAUUUUAUAAUUAUAAUAUUUUUUUUUUCACAAUUGUAACUCCUCAAUCCCAAACAGGGCCUACGAAUUAGAUUUAAUUUUUGCUUGCAAUGCUUUUGCACAUGAUUGACAAUAUGGGCCAAAAUAAUAACUAUUUUUGUUGCUGAUUGCGGUUCACAUGAACGAUCCAAGCCUAUUACACAAGUUGAAUAAUUCUGCCUCAUUUUGCUCGCUUUAAGCACAUUUAUUUCUCAAUCUUCAACUUAUUAUCAUGUUCAAUAAAAAUAAAUCAUUCAACUAAAAUAUAAAAAAAAAAACAAAAAUAGAGUUAGAGAGAAAAAUAUAUCAGCAAACCGUAGCCGUCGUGCAACUUCUCUAUGCUUCUGCUUUUUGUUGUUAUAAGUGCCAGGGAUAGCAAGAGAGGGGGAAGGUGGGGUGGGAGUCUGGGAGAGUUGAGCAAAAUGAAGCGCCUACUGCUCAUCAACUCUUUCUUAGUAAAACCGCCCCUUACGUUUGUAUUUUGAAUGCAGAUGCAAAAGCGAUAAUUAUCCCUUGGGUAGUUACCUAAAAUAGGUUGGGUCAGCUCAUCAUGGGCAACCGACUCCAUGUCUGACAACUGUAAAUGACAAUAAAAGUGACGGGUGCGCCUAAGUUACAGUUAAUGUCACUUACCGUUAGCCUGUAAAAAUUCGUCCUGUUCCCAUACUCUAUAUUAUUUAUAAUUUAUUCGUAAGUAUUAUAAAAUUUUUUGAAUUGUAAAAUUUUAUUUAGCCCCUUACACUCAAUUUUAUUUUAUCAUAAAAUUAAAAAAGUAUGAAUAAAGAACCAAAAAGUGGUGGAAAAAAGAGUUGAAAAGUUUAAUCUAAAAUUUGAAAAAACUUAUCAAGAAUCUGAUAAAGUCGAACAAUAAGUAGGAAUUUAAAAAAUAAUCUUGAAACAUCCAUGCAAAAUGUUGAAAUUCAAUUAAAAGAGUAGGAAUAUAGAACCAAUAAAUGGUAGGAAAAAGAGUGGAAGCGCUUAACCUAGAAGUUGAAAUGACUUGAUAAAAAAUUGAUAAAUUCUAAUGAAGAGUAGAAAACCAAAAAAUAAAGUUGAGACAUUCACCCAAAUAUUGGAAUUCAAUAAAAAGAGAAAGAAUAUAAAACCAAAAAGUGAUGGGAACAACAAUUGAAGAGUUUAACCCAAAAAUUGUAAGUACAUACCGAUAAUUUGAUAAAUUUCAAUAAUAAAUAGGAUCUAAAUAAUGAACUUGAAAUAUCAACGUAAAAUGUUAGAAUUCAAUGAAAAGAGUAGGAACAUAAAACCAAAAAGUGGUGGAAAAAAAAGUUGAAGAACUUAACCUAAAAUUCGGAAAGAGUUGUCAAGAAUAUGAUAAAUCCAAUAAUAAUUGGGAUCAAAAAAUAAGCUUGAAACAUUUAUGAAAAAUAUUGGAACUAAAUAAAAAGAGUAGAAAUAUAUAACCAAAAAAUAGUGGAAACAUGAGUUGAAUAACAUAACCUAAAAAUUUGAAGGACUUAACAAGAAUAUGAUAAAGUUUAACAAUAAGUCGAGAUAUAAAAAAUGAACCUGAAAUAUCCAAGCAAAAUGUUAGAAUUUAAUGAAAAGAGUUGGAAUACAGAACCAAAAAGUGACGAGAACAAGAGUAGAAGAAGUUAACCCAUAAAUUGAAAUAACUUACCAAGAAUUUGAUAAAUUUAAACGCGAAGUAGGGAUUUAAAAAGUAAAUUUAAUAUAUUUACUCAAAAUAUUGGAAUGCAAUAAUAAGAGCAGGAAUAUUGAACAAAAAAGUGGUGGAAGAAUAAGUUGGAACAACUUAGUAAUAACUAGAUAAAGUCUAACAUAAUAUAGAGAUAUAAAAAAUAAAAUUGAAAUAUCAACCUAGAAAUUUGGAAUUUAAUGAAAAAAGUGGAAAUAUAAAACCAAUAACUGGUGGAAAAAUGAGUUGAAAAAACUUAGCAAAAAUUUGAUAAAUUCUAACGGAAAGUAGGGAUUUAGAAAUUGAACUCAAAAUAUCCAAAUAAAAUAUUGAAAUUCAAUAAAAAGAGUAGGAAUAUAGAACUAAAAAGUGGUGAGAACAAGAGUUGAAGAAAUUAACUCGAAAGUUGAAAUAAUUUACCAAUAAUUUAAUAAAUUCAAAUGGGAAGUAGGGAUCUAAAAACUAGACUUGAUAUAUUUACCCAAAAUGUCGGAAUUCAAUAAAAAAUAGUAGAGAUAUAGAACUAAAAAGUGGUGAAAAAAUAAAUCGGAAUAAUUUACCAAAAACUAGAUAAAGUAUAACAGAUUGUAGAGAUACAAAAAUAAACUUGAAAUAUCCACCUAAAAAGCUGGAAGUUAUUGAAAUGAAUAGAAAUAUAGAACCAAAAACUAGUGGGAAAAUGAAUUAAAACAAAAUACCAAAAUUUAGAUAAAUCAUCAAGAAAAAUAGAAAUUUGACAAGUAAACUUGAAACACGUAUUAUAAAUAUUGGAAUGUGACAAAAUAAGUAGGAAUAUAACUAUUUUAUGAUAUAUUUAUAGUUUUUUUUAUAUUUUUUUGUACUGUUUGUAAAUUUAAAAUUAUCACAAGUUUUUUCCUCAUUUAAUUACAAUUUUAUCUUUUUUUAUAAUUUUUUUACAUUAAAAACAAAUAAAAAUGUAAUUUUUAUUAUAUUAACCGGUUAAAAAACGGUUGUACCGGUUGCAUGCCAACGCUGUAUGAAAUACAGCGCUGCAUGGAAGGUUGACUCCUGAUAAUAAAUUUAUGGAUACUGUUACAACUUAUUGAGCACUCGUGUUUUUUCUUUUUUGGUAAAAAAUAAUUGGGUAACUCUUUUAAAGUUAACAAAAAUCUCCAUAUUAGUCUCGGGUUAUUACCUCUUCCGAUUUGACACGUUUAUUGUUGUCUGCACAGGUUUCGUCGUCGUCAUAAUUGGAAAUUGGCAGAUGGAGUCAAAAACCCGUGUUAAUUGUUAUCGCGAAACUACCUCAAGCCAAGAAUCCCAAACUCUGUCUUUAUUUUUCAUUUUGUAUUCCUCGCUCGCAAUCGCUUUACUUAUCUUGCUUGUUCCUCAUCAAUACGCCGAUGGAAAUUUUGUUCCGGGUUCCAUAUUUGCUGCGCAGCCAUUUUUGUUUCACGCCUUUCUGUUCUCGGUCCUGCUCUCAUUCGCCGGCGCAUCUAGCUCUUUGUUGAUUGGAAUCAAUUGCCCGCGUACGGCAAUUGGUAGAUGUUAUUACAGAAUUUCAAUGGUUUCCAUGGCAUCAGCUUUAUUGAUACUGGCUUUAGCCUUGUUUCUUGAAAUUUUGAAGCUUCUGGGUUCUCCAGAUCUUGAGUGGUGGCAGCUUCUAUUUCAGGUAUUUGGAAGGAUCAGUCCUUCUGAAGAAGAAGAAAACAGAGAGUUAUAGAGUCCGCUGUUGGGUUUUGAUUUCUACUCAUAUAAUAAUUGUUUUUUAAAAAAUUGGCAGUCUUAUUUUCUUUUUCAAUUAAGAAGAUAUAAUGUAGAUUUCAAGUGUUCUUGUAUGAAGAUUAUUAGUAUUCAUUAGCUGUUUGCUGAUGAGUUGAGGUUUCAGAUUCAUGUAUGAAAUUUCAUUGAAGAAAAUAAAUUAGAUACGAAGAUUCAAGUGUUGAAUUACAUAAGCACUAAACAUUGGAAACUUGUUUUAAUCAAACUCAAAUCCUUUUUGGCUGGUUGCAAGACCUUGGUGGGAAGGCCACUCUGAAGGGUUUUGGUUUUUAGAGGUGAGAACUUUUGAUCAAUUUAGCAGCUGCCCAAUACCGACUUCACAGGUUCACGAAGGAGAGAAAUGACAAAAAUUUCAAAUUGCCUGGUACAUUAGAGGGAGAUCACAAGUUUUCACUAAUAUGGUGAGCAAAUGUGGAAUAUGAAAUAACUCUCAAUCUCACUUCCCAAAGAACUAAUACAUCAUUCCUCUCAAAUAUACACUCAAAGAGGAGAACCCUCGAAUGUAUUCAAGCAUCUCACCCAAACAAAAGCUUAAAUACGACAAACUAAAAUUGCUCAGAAAGAGUAUUAUAAACUAGAGAACUCCUUGAACCCCAAUGUUUUUUUCUUUUUUUUUUUUAAACUUCUUCUUCAAUACUUCAAACCAUGCAAAUGCAUGGCUAUUUAUAGCCAUACUACCUUAAUGGUUUUCUUUGGUAUUACUCAAGUUCGCAAAUUGCUCAACAAAUUGCUCUACAAUUUGCUUCACAUGCUUCCCACCAAAUCCAUUUAGUGAAUAAAUAGAGCCAUAUGUCUCUAACAAUCUCCACCUUGGCUCCAACUUUUCCAUCUCCAAGACAAGAUGAGAAAUGAUGUUUCCAAAUGCACCUAAUAAUGAAGUGGCAUGUAACAAUACAUAGCAUAAGGACCAAGGAAUCAUAGAAGUACCAAACAAAUAAAAUAAAUAAAAAACAAUGAAAAGCUUUUACUCUGUUACAUAAUUUCUAGCAUAUUACUCCAUUAUAGCUAUUUAAUCAAAACGUUCAAGAAUCUAUAAUGGGGAUGCAGGCAUCCAAUUUGACAAGUGAGAGGUAUCAACUUGGUCUCAAAGAACACUUGUAUUGAGUUCAACAUCUAACAGACAUACAAACAAGGUAUGACCUCUCAAACAAGGUAUCAACUUGGUCUCAAAGAACACUUGUAUGGAAUUCAACAUCUAACAGACAUACAAACAAGGUAUGACCUCUCAAAAAAAAAAAAAAGGGGACAAAAGCAUGGAGAGAUGCACCAAUAUCUAAAUAAAUUGGUAAAAUAUUUUAAAAUAAAGUUCCUGAACACUCCACUACCCCCUUCCCGUUUAACAAUGUGGUUCUUAAAAUAUGGCUAUAGGACGAGCCACCAUUGAGUACCUUCGGAUCACCAUGGUCAAAAUCGUUUACAAAAAGAUUGCUUUUCUCCAUAGCCGUCCAUUUAUAAACUCAACAUGUUCCACCAAAUUAUCUUCAUCAGUUUGUAUUAAUUCACCUUUUUAACAUCUGCAUUUUCAUCUGACUCAGAACCAUCCAUUUCCUCAGCCAAAUGUUUAUCUCGAAGCCCAUCGGCAAUUUCUUCCCCAGUUUGAUAAUGCUUACCUUGAAUAUACUCUGCAUCACCAUCUGUAUCUUUUGGAUUCUCUGUAUCAUCUAUUUAGACAUUAGGAUUCCAACUGGAAAGGGAAACAACGCUCCUCUAACUUCUAAUAAAUCAAAUAUUUUGUGUUUUGAAGCAAUUUACCAGUGUAUCAUCUACAUCUUAGUCCUUUCCUGGUAACAGCAGAGCAACAAUACUUAAGCCUAAAGGAAAGGAAAAAUGAGAGAAGAUGGAAAGGAUAGAAAAUAAUAAAAUUGGCUUUCAUUAUCCUGCCCAGACUCUUAUCAUUCAAAGCAAAAUAUUUAUAAAAGGAAAUAGAUAUAUUGAAAAUAUCAUCAACAAUACAUAAGAUAUUUCUAUAUUAUAUUAUUCAAAACACAAAACAAGAAGUAAAUAAAAGGUUCUAUUUAUCAACAAAACAACCAAAUAAAUACAUAAAUAAAAAGAAGAGAGAAGGAAACAAAUAGUAAACCUUUGCGGGCGUUUUUGGUUUUCAUAAUCCACUUUAGAAAAACUGAACAACAUGGUCAUUUAUGCUCAUGUAGACAGCAUCUUUCACAUAAACGAGAUCCCCGAGGCCGGAUAAUUAUGGGUGCACAAAAUGUUUUUCCUUGUCAUGCCCUUCUGUCUUUUCGGUAGCAGAAGGUAAAGGACAAGGAUCAGCUACAAGGCAAUGAGCACCUGAUUCAAAAACAGAACAUUAGAUCAUAAAUUGAUAAUACAUUGGAUAAGAGAAAGAUAAAUGAACAUUUAAUUGAAGGAGAGUGCCAAAUACAAGUAGACUAAUAAUACAUAUUCUUCAGUGUAAAGUCAGGAAAAGAAAUUUUCUUUUUCCCUGAAGGUAACCCAAUAAGCCUCAACAGAGCUAUCAUACUAACUAACAUACCAUGUAAACACAAAUCUGUUAGAGCAGAAAAUUGUCUCAUUAGUCAGCUUUCUUCCUACUGUUUUUUUAAGUUGCACUUUCAAUGUAUUCCCAUAUCAGCCACCACCAUGCCGAAUGAACGAAGCUCCUCGUUGCUUAAGCCUAACCAAGCUGAUAAAGAAAUUUUACAAACAGGUAAAUUCAUCUCUCUCCAAAACUGAAUUUUACACUUUACAUAAAUGAACCCUGCAUUCAUGACCCCAAUCAGGUUGAGCUUUGACUUAAUAAAAAAGAAGACCUCUCCAUGUUAUGCUCAAUCAAGCUUGUUUUUCAUCACAGCCUGCUUCCAAUUGUUGACAAAAUGAUACAGACGUCCAUGCUUAGGCCAUAACUCUGUUAGAGAAAAAAAAAAUUGUCUCAUGAGUCAGCUUUCAUCCUAAUCUUUCUCAUGUUCCACUUUCAGUGAAUGCCCAUGUCAGCCACCAGCAAGCUGAAUGAAUGAAGCUCUAUGUUACUUGAGCCUAACCACCUCCCUUUCCAAAGCCGAAUCUUAUGUUUUAUUUACAUAAAUCAACCCAGCAUUCAUGUUGAGCUUUGCUUUUCCGAAAGAAGAACUCUCUAAGUUAUGCUUAACCAAGCUUGUUUUCCAUCACAACUCCCAUCCAACCGUUGACAGAAUAAUAAAAAUGUCCUUGCUUAGGCCAUACAGAUGAAUAUUAGGUGCCUCUCAACCCACCUAUACCUAAAGUAAUAUGUGUCCAACAAGCAUUGAUUUUUCAAUAACAUCAUUUGCAACACUACCCUUAUGUUGAGAAACAAACCCGCUCCUCACCUUCAUUUUUUUUUCAAAUUAAAAAAAAAAAAAAACUUGAGCAUAUUCUCAAAAAGAAAAAAUUCCAAUCCGAACAGUGAUGUUAAGUGGGUUACAAUGCAUACCUUAGUUCCUUUCUUCAGAUUGCAUCCUCACAGAUAACCAAAAAUUCUAGCGUUUCCAUGACAUUUUCAAAAUGAUCAACUAAGACAUAAGGAUGAGAAGGACACAUAAGGAUACUUCAUAAAAGAGAUAAACCGUGCAAGAUUGUGAAUGUCAUGUUUGAGUACCCAAUGAAUAAGGUGAAGAAAUAGAAACAAUUAACCUAAACCAAAAAAAAAAAAGUUACAAAUAGCAGAACAUAAUCUUCUACUGUAAUUCAACAAAAGAACUAAUUUAGAUUUUAAAUUUCUAACCAAAGAAGAAGAAGAUGAUUAACUGUUAUCAAACACUGCUGAGAACACUUACUCUCUCACGAUUCAAGCUUGUACAGGGGACCUGACAUGCCAGGGUGGUCCAGCAUAUAAAUGAUUUAUGUAACCGUUCUAUAUAAGGACCAUCAGGCCUCGAAUCCUCAGAACUUUCUUCUUUAGUUUGUCUUGCUGCCCUUCUUCUCUCCGGCACUUCCUAUUUAACUUUAGCUCUCUCUGCCUCCAUGCCUUUUUUUCAUUUUUUUUUUGGGCACUUUCUUAAACUGUUGCUUCUUCAUCUGCAUAACCCCAAUAUAGAAACUCUUAGUGCUAUACAGAACAGCACAUGAAGUGCAGAAAUAAACAAAUAGAAUAGCGAAACAAGAUCGAUACUACAUGUGAAGUUCGAUUCUGCUCUACAGAUUUACUACUCAUUCUAAGAUAGCCGUCAGAGGAUUAAAAUAUGUCAACUAUAUGUUAAAAGACAUUGGUCUCGACAAGCAUACCUUCUUGUUUCUAAUCAACUGAAGAUGUUGAACAAGAGCAUGGACUUUUCUUUCCUGAGGCUCCAUAACUACAGCUCUUCUAUUUUCGGGAAAUGGUAGUUUCCUGAUAGGAAUAUCCUUGGGCUUGGAUUCAAAUGGAAGAGCAGCCUGUAAAAUAUUAGGAAUCAACAAUGGGUGAACUUCCUCGGUUUCCUCUCAAACUAUAUAAACAGUUUAAGUUAUUACAAAUGGCCAUGAGAAGUUACACCGACCAGCAUUUUGGGUAGAAGAAGAAACUAUGCUGAAAGAGAAGAAUAAUAAUAAUAAAAUCACGUGCUUCACAUCACAAACUACCAUGUACAGUGAAUACUUGUUAAUAGGGAUAUAGAAAGAUUAUAUGUUCUUUCCGCAACUCGGCUACAGUUUGAUUGCUUGCCAGGUCUUAUCACAAGGCUGCAAGGCUGUGCUCAGCGGGCUAUAAAAGUGAGGCACUUCAACAUCAGCCCAUCCACGCAUGAAAACAAUGUUGCUCAUCAGAAUUCUGUCUCAAAGGUGCACCUGGCAAUCCCUUUCCUAAGAUUAAUUACAGAAUGUAAAAUUAACAACCCUCCCAGGGUCCCACAGCCCUUAAAAAAAAAAGGAUGGAUAAAGAAGAAGAAAAUAUGUGAGGUGAAAUAUGUUCUUAAAAUGAAAACUACAGAAAUUUGCCUUUCUAGAUCAAGAAAUUUUUUUUUCCCACAAGUUAAUAGCAACAGGAAGAGAAUCUAACCUGAUUGUUGGAUAAAUUCUGAACAGCAACCACCCAAACCCAACGAGGGGCGAGACAACCCCAGAAAGUGGCAAGGCAAUGCAUGUGUUGUGGAGUGUACUGCAACAUGCAGUACCACACAUUACAGUCCUCUUAUGGCAUAAACAGGCAUAGUUUGGAAACACCUCCAUCCAAUAGAAACAAUAGUGGCAUCUCUAGUCUUGAGAAUGUCGUGCCAUCUGCACCACUUUAACCUAAACUGGAAGAAACAAUGAAAUUGAAACAUCUUAUGGCCUAGAGAUAUUGUUAAGAGUAAUGAUACAGCCACAAACUCUUGUACAAACUUAUUUUGUACAAACUGAUGUGGCAUGAUAAGAUUGGUUGAAUUAAAUAUCACUUGGCCCAUAUGAUUUAUUUUUAUUAAUUUAUAUUUUCAUUCAACCAAUAAAUUAAUGCCACGUCAGUUUGUACAAAAUAAGUUUGUACAAGAGUUUGUGGCUGUAUCAUUACUCUAUUGUUAAACUAGAUAAUAACAUUAACUAUCAAAAUUAGAAUGAAACAGUAAAUCUGGUUAUUCUACCUAAGUUUAACCAAUAUAUUUAUCUGUGAACUUGUAAGCCAUCAUUUUUAAUACGAUAAAAGGAUAAAAUCUUAUUAACAAGAGAAGAACCAUGAAAAGUUCUGUAGUGCAGCAGUCCACUCAUUACAUCAUACUGAAAUAAAAAACAAAACUAUAAGACCAUACAAAUGAAACUAUAACAACUUCAAAUCUCCAAGAAUGAAGAAUGAAGAAUGAAGAUAUAUACUGACAUUGUUUAAUGAAAGAAACCCACAAAGAUGCCAAAAACAAACUUUGACCCAUCAUCCGGAUAUGGUUUCAGGCAUCGGCGAAACUAAACUAAAUAACAAGAAAAAGCAAUUAUUUAAUAAUUCAAGAGGCAGUUUUCUUUUCCAGGAUGACUGAGUCUAUAUCUAAGGUUGACCAUCACUCAUGCUCAAACAGAUCGCUUAAAUGCAAAAGGUAUGGCGGAAAUAGGCAACACACAAAGAGCACCAAUAAGCCAUAUCAUGAGAUUUUCAGGAAAUAGCAUCCCCAGGAUUGACAAGAAUCCACAAAAGCUGGCAGCACAUCCCAUUGCAGUCAUCAUUCGAGAAGCUCUGCGGCUGCGCUGGACAAUACACGCUCCAAGGCACAAAAGAAAUCCAGCAAAACCUAAAAUCUUGGCCACAAAUAAGAGAGUUUUGGCAGCCUCUGAUAAAGAUGUGCCAGCCUUAUACCGAAUCAGUGGCGCAGCUACACAGACUUCAGCACCAAGAAAGAGGCAUAUCAUGUCCAAACUAGGGAAACAGAGCUGUCCUUCAGACUGAGAGGAUGCCACCCCAUACGGUGGUGAUCUAUUCGGCGGUGGCUGUUUGUCACCGUCUCCAUCUUUAGAUGAUGCACAGCUGGAUGAUCUUGAGGCCAGAGGGACUGAAUUAGGAGAAAUAACAGAGUAGUCAUGGCUCUGGUGGUCACCUGGGAGUAUAUGUUUCUCACCACCAUUGUCUCCCCAGUGCGGCUGACUUCUAAAAGCAGUUGUUCCAAACAUGUUAUAUGGCUUCAGAUCAGGCCAACCAUUAACAUGUACCAAGAGUUUAUCCACUUGAGGCAGCGUAUCAGGCCACUUUCUUGAAUUCUUGCGUUCGACGGCCUGAGGUUUGUCCAACCGGAACUCCAGAAGUUCAGUAUAGACAUUUACCCUGUCCAUCCUCCACAGAAGAGGGAAAUUUUCAUAUGAAGAUUCCUUAACAUUAGCUUCGUGUAAAGACCCGUUUAUUGAAGACCCGUUUCUUGAAGUAUUGAAAUCUCCAAUAUAAUAAUUGAACGUCACUAUGAUCAUCGCUAUGAUCAUCAGUCUGAUCAUCUCUCCGAAAUUUUCAUAUGAAGAUUCCUUAACAUUAGCUUUCUGUGAAGACCCGUUUCUUGAAGUCUUCAAAUCUUCAUUACAACAAGCGACUGCGAUCGCCACUCUGAGCAUCUCUUCCCCCAUCGCUUCGAUUAUUAUUUCCAUCUCCAGCAAGAAGAACGAUAAGACCAAGAUCGUAAUCUCUCUGGCAAGAUAAGCCCGUUUGCCAAUGGAUCAAAAAAACCCUAUGGUGUGUUUGGUAAACCACAGCCGUUGAAUUCCUCUAAAUAGAUCCGACGAAUGGAUGUGACGAAUAAAACAUGGGUUAUUUUUACAUACCUCCCCUGAGGUUUCACCUAAUAUCAGUUUAAUAGAAAGUAUCUCUGUAUUUUUAUAUCCCUCCCCCGCAGUUAGUAUAAAAUUAUGUAUAGCAUCAGUACACAAGGCUAAAAUCGUAAAAGCUCAUUUAAAAUUCAAAAAACUUAAAAAGUUCACUGUACUAGUAUGGGUAAUCGCAAAAAUGAGAGUAACAUCACUUCAUUAUCCGGUCCAAAUCAUUAACCAAAAAAUAAUGCCUUCACAAAAGUGCAAAAGAUUUACACUUGCACAAUUUACACAUGCCGCACCAUGUCUCACCGUUGCAGCCCACGAUUUCGUUCCCCUAAUUCCCAAUUUCACAAAACAAAACAACCCUUAAAAGCUACAUCCUUUCUCAUCUAGCCAUUCCUCUCGAUUCGGCAGUUCCUCCACGCCUCUCCACCUCUGCACAGCUCGAUGUCGUUGCAAAUGACUUCAGCUCCUGACUUUGUCUCUGUGUGUGUGUCAAAUCCUCGUCGCUUGGUGGGUAAUCCUCUACUAGUGCUGGUGGGUGGGCUGGUACAGAUUCAACUACCUCUUAUAUAGUAUCUUCUUCUUCAGUGAGCUAUAGAUUGAGGAUGUUGAUUGCUCAGGUGUGCUCGCUGGAAUCUAAUGAAUCUAAUGGUUGGUUGGAUUGACGACAAAGAUGGCUAGCUUAGCGGCGACGAACGAGUGGUAGAGCUUCUGAUUUGGAGGCUGGGUGCGACGUUGCCGUGGUGAAUCAAGAGCAGAGGAAGGUUGGGUUUUGGCUAGCAAUUGUUGGCAAGUUAGACGCUGGAAUGGACGAGGGAGUGGUGAUAGUGGGAGAUGGCAUUGGUAAUGGCAUGGGGCUUUUUUAAAAAAAUAAAUGGUUUCUUUCCAAGUUAAACGGCAAAAGCUCUUCCUAUGUUUUUCUUUUCUUUUUUUUUUCAAUUUAUUUGUUAUUUUUAGUUAAUGCUUUAAUUUGAGAGCUACGGUUUGAGUCCAUUGAUUUGAGUUGUUUUUUAGAACUAAUUGGGAUAGCAAAUUAGAUUUUGAGAGGAAUAUUUUAUUCUUUAAAAUGGCUUUUUGAUUUGUGAUUGGAUUUGCAAGAAAUUUGUAGAUUUUGAGUCGAUAGAUAGAACAAAUUAAAGAGAUUGAUAAAAUACUAUCUUGGGAUAAAAUUGUUUUUGUUCGUGUCUGUACAAAAUCUACCUUGAGCAAUAGGACAAUAUGCAAUUAAAGUGAUCCCAAGUUCAUCACAGGCAGCCUUCACACCAUUCUCUUCUGGUUUUCUGUAUAUGAGGCUAUAGUUCACUUGGUUUGAAGCUAAUGGAAUUCCUGUCUUUUUAAGCUUUUCGUAAGCAUUGCGAAGUCGUUUCUCUGAAUCAAAGUACCAUAUCAAAUUAUAAAUUUAUCAUAUUUCUUUGCGUUAAGGGAGGAAAAGAAAUUCUAGUUGCAUGAACCAAAAUAUUAGAGAUUAUUAUAACCCAUAGCACAGCGAAGAAAACAAGAAUGAACUCAGUGGCAUAUGUUUAUUCAACUAAGAUUGAAUCAGUUACAGCAGAAGAAAAUUAGUAAAAGUACCACUGUAAUUUGAAACACCAACAACCUUCACAAGGAGAAAAAAGAAUGCUAGGCUGAGAGAUUGAGUGCAUGCUAGGCCCAUUUAUUAUUAUUUUUUGACCUUUUUCUUUUUUCACACUAUUGAUUAGCAGGGAGAAGAAAAUUUUUUUGACUCCAAAUCUCUAACUUCUAAGCACUGAGAAAUUUAUGUUUGAUUUCAGUAUUUUCGGCUUUUGAAUAUGCUUGCACUGCCAAUUUUGCUGGGAAAUUGUACCUGUCAGCCUUGAAAGGGUAUUUUCGUCCUCUUGUUAGUCCACUAACGGUCAACUGACGGAAAUACUAACUGCAGGGGAGGGAUGUAAAAAUAUAGAGAUACUUUCUAUUAAACUGAUAUUAGUUGAAACCUCAGGGGAGGUAUGUAAAAAUACCCAAUAAAACAUUGAAUGACGUAGGACGCGACGAACGCUGUCGCUCCUUUGAAAAACCAUAGCAAACCGUAUGCCAGAAAGGGUAAUUAUCAUAAACCUCUCCUGAGGUUUGGCGUAUUCUCACCGUGAUAGAUUGUAUUCACGUAUUCUUAACUACAUCCCCUGACGUUAGUACUCCGUUUAGUAUAAGUUCGGUUAGUGAGGAUAAUAUAGUAAUAGAACUUGUUAAUAAUAAAAAAAUCAAACAAACUUAAAAUUAUCACGUUGGGUUCUGAAAUUGAUCUGGAUUUUAUAAAUAUCCGAUGGAUGAAAAAUAGAAGCAUACUUUUAACCAACAGAUAUUAUCUCAAAAAAAAUAAAAAAGAAAUAAAAAUGGGCAUCUUCUUACUCCAGUUCAAACCGAAGCUACAAGAACAACACCCUUUUCAUUUUCUCUCUCUCUACUAUGCUUUAAUAGAGAAAGGGUGCCGCGAUCAGGUGACCAUCGCAACGAACUCGAAGACGCCGACACCAGGGACGACUAAAUCACGACGGCCGCGUGGAAGAAUGCCAAUCGGUGAGUUUUGCUGUCGACCCACGGACAACCUCAAUUUGUACGAGCCGCGAAUGAGGUAUGAAAAUGGCUUAUAACUGUGCAUGUCAGUUUUAUUGGAUGGAAUUAAUGAAUUUGGUAAAAUAUGAGUAAUGGGUCUCGAUAAUCUUUUUGAGAGUCUCUGUUGCUUCCAUUCUGUUUUUCCAGCGAUUGGGUUAGUUGUAGGUUAAUGAUUGUUGUAAAUGCAUGUUCACCUGAUUUUGCUUGAAGAUGACUUCAGCUACAUUAUGCUGCCUGGUGAAUGAUUGAAAAUGGGUAUGAAAAAUUUUUAAUUGUUCAAGCUAUUGCCGCUGAUUGUUGAACAGGGAUUCAUGCUAGUUUUUGUUAAAUUACAGAUGUAAUUGAGUGUUGGAGUGGGGGUGGGGGGCGAAGUUCGUCCGCCGGACUCCGAAUGGGGCGAGACUUUGCGAGGGGCCUCCGUGUGACAAAAAUAGGUCGCGGUCACAGCCGCGGCCAAAAAGCAGCCCCCGAAGGCCUGCGUCCCAAAACCCCCCAGCGGAAAAAUGGCCAAAAAAAAGGGGGCGCUAUAGCCUUGGUGGGAGGCGGCUGGCCAAGUUCGUCCGCCGGACUCCGAAUGGGGCGAGACUUUGCGAGGGGCCUCCGUGUGCCAAAAAUAGGCCGCGGGCACAGCCGCGCACAAUAAGCACCCCCUGAAGGCCUCCGUCCCAAAACCCCCCAGCGGAAAAAUGGCCAAAAAAAAGGGGGGGCUAUAGCCUUGGUGGGGGGCGGGGGCGAAGUUCGUCCGCCGGACUCCGAAUGAGGCGAGACUUUGCGAGGGGCCUCCGUGUGACAAAAAUAGGCUGCGGGCACAGCCGCGCCAAAAAAUGGCCACCUGAAGGUCAGGUUCCCAAGUUCGUCCACCGGAAAAAGGCCAAAAAAAGGGGUGGGCUAUAGCCUAGGGGGUGGGGCUUGCCAAGUUCGUCCGCUGGACUCCGAAUGGGGUGAGACUUUGCGAGGGGCCUCCGUGUGCCAAAAAUAGGCCGUACGCACAGCCGCGACCAAAAAUAAGCCGCCGAAGGCCUGCGUCCCAAAACCCCCCAACGGAAAAAUGGCCAAAAAACGGGUGGGCUAUAGCCUUGGUGGGGGGUGGAGGCGAAGUUCAUCCGCCGGACUCCGAAUGGGGCGAGACUUUGUGAGGGGCCUCCGUGUGCCAAAUAUAGGCCACGGGCACAGCCGCGCCCAAAAAUCAGCCCCCGAAGGCCUGCGUCCCAAAACCCCCCAGCGGAAAAAUGGCCAAAAAACAAGUGGGCUAUAGCCUUGGGGGGUGGUGCUGACCAAGUUCAUCCGCCGGACUCGUAAUGAGGCGAGACUUUGCGAGGGGCCUCCGUUUGACAAAAAUAGGCCGCGGGCACAGCCGCGCCCAAAAAUGGCCACCUGAAGGUCAUGUUCGCCACAAUAUUAAUAUUUGAGGAUCUUUGAUUUUGUUUUUUGUUUUUUUUAUCGUGAUAUGUACAUGUCUUGGUUGAAAAAAUGUUAUGGUUUGCUGCAUUCUCUCGCACUGGAGCAGUGAGUUUAGUGGUUUUAAUUCUUUUCUUCUUUUGACCACCGGCUCUUUCUCUCUCUACACUUUUCUAGGGUUCCUUUCUUUGUUCACAUUUUGACCACCGGCUCUUUCUCUCUCUACACUCAGUCAUCGUCUUCACUUAAAGUCUCUUCACAUUCUCUCACUUUCUCAAUUUCAAAUGGCCAAUUUCAUAGCUUCAUCCUCCCCCAGGUUACUAGCUGCAAGCAUGAAUAUCAUCUUCAAUGUAUUCUUGAAUGUUAAGCUCUUGUAAUUAUUUUUUGGUUGUGUUUCGUGAUACGUUAUAAUAUUAUAAAUUGAAUAACCCUUUGUUGAGAUAGAGUUUUUAUUAUAUUCCUAACGUGUGAGGUGGGAUAUUUCAGGAUGGUACUUACUUUGAUUAUGAUAAUAUGGAAGCACAUGUUAUGCAGCGUUUAGCUACUGCUCGUUAUUUUCACGAAAGAGAGAUGCAGAGAUAUCCUGGACUUAAUGCUUCCCAAGUGAUUGAUUCUAGUUCUGCUGCAAAUGCUUCUUUAACGCUGCCAACAUAUACGAAUUUACCAAAUUUCUGUCAUGGGUCAUCGCAUAGUGAUUUGCUAAUUUCUGUCAUUCGAUCAAUUGACAUGCUCAACCUCCCUCAUCUGAUCCUGAUAUUAACAGAGAUAGCCCUUUUAAAUCCACGUAUUUGUUCAAAACUCAAAAGUCCAAUUAUUUUUCAUAUUUCAGUUGUUUUCAACUAGCAUUUGGCUGGCAAAGCCCAAGAGGUUAUUUGAAAGGAUAAAAAAAGUUAAAAUUGGCUUGGAAUGCUGAAUUAUUCCUGUAAAAGUCUUUUCAAUGAUGCAAUGAAAUAAGAGUCAGCUUGGGUGGGAGUACAAAUGAUUUAUGCCCACUCUUAUAAGUUGAUCUGCAUUCUUUUUCCUCCAUUUGUUUUUAUGUAAAUGUACUUUCAAAAAGUUUGAUUGUUUUUUUCUUCUUUUCACAAAUGGAUUUAUCUUACAUUUUUUUUUUUUUGCCUUAGAAAGCUCUUGCUUCCAUUGCACAAGUUUUUGUAAUUAUACACAAUUUCUUAGAUUUCCAUUAUUUACAUAUAUGUUUCAGAUUAUUCAAUAGAUCAUUUUUUUUUUCAGAGUUUUCUUCAGACAGUUACCACCUGAUAAUCUAAGGAGGCCAAGCCCUUCUGAGAUAUUCUCCUUCUCAGAGUUUGUAAAAUCGAAAUGGUCUGCUGCUUCAGCUAGGUAGAUUUUCUGCAACUUGGUUUCAUUUGGAAUUGGUAUUUUAUAUGCUUCAACAUGUCAAUCUGACUUGCGUUUGUUUCUUAACAAAUACAAGGAACUUAAAGGAGAGGCUGCUUUCUCAGAAUACCUCAGUUAAGGAACUAAGCAAAGAUGUUGAGUGUGAGAUGAGUGCAGGAAUUGCUGGCGUUGCAAAAAUGAAUGAACGCCUAGAUCUUGCCUCAAAGUGUAGAAUUUCUGCCCCAUCUUCUGUUAACGUAAGGGGACAAUCCAAUGUUUUAUUUGGUAUUUUCACUGUAAUUACAUCUCUUGGCACCAAAAUGGAUAUGCUCUUUGUAGCCAACAAUUCUUUAAUUUGUGCGAACAAGGGUUUUUUUCAACUCAAUGGUAUUUUGGUCAUUCUAUCAAACAAUAGACGGUCAACUAAACGGUAAACUAACAUUGGGGGAGGGGACUGAGAUUACGUGAAUACAAUCUAUUAAGGUGAGAAUACGCUAAACCUCAGGGGAGGUUUCUGAUAAUUACUCAUGCAAGAAAUUCCGCCUAAUCCCUUCAUUUAAUUAUUAAUAAAUACACGCCAAAGGGCUCAUAUCAGGCAUGCGGACUUCGGCCCGGCCCUCACGACAAUGGCUUAAGAAAAAAGUCCGGGCUUAAGAAAAAAGUCCGGGUUAAACUCACGCCCAUUAUUUUUUUAAAAAAUAAAUUUAUAAAUUAGAAUAAUAUAAUUAAAAUUAAAAAGUAAUUUAAACAUAAAAAAAAAUUUAAAUUCUUAAUUUACAAAUCGAUGAUUUAAAAAAGUUAAAAUUAUGAUACUAAAUUUUUUUGUAUUAAUUAAUUAAAAGAGCGUUUGAAUUAGAGAAUACAGUAUUAAAGUAAAUUAUAUUUAUAAGCUUUUAUUUACUUUAUUUAUUAUUUUAUUUUAAAAUAUUUAUUUUUCUUAAUUUAUCUAUGAUUAUAAUAACUUGUUGAUAAUUAAUUUAUUUUAAAUUUACAAUAAUUUAAAAAACUUUUAAAAAAUAAAUAAAGCCCAAGCUUGGCCCGAGCCCGGCCUAGGCCAUCAUGCUUAACUUAUAAUAGGCUUGGGCCUCGACUUAAAAAAGCCCGGCCCAAGGCUCAUUUGCACAAUCGGUGCACUCAAGGUCUUCGUGUCAUAACCAUUGAUAGGAUUCAAUUUCUCUCUCAAUAAAAUUAAGUAAAAAUAAAAUUAUCUCCCUCUAAUUUAUGAUAAAAUAAAUAUUUUUUUAAUAUUAUGUUAUGAUAAAAAAUUCUUCCUAUAAUUUAGAGAAGAUAGAAAACCCCGCAUAAACGGAGGCCCUUGGGAUUUUUUUUUUCAUUUAGAAAGGGUAAGAGAAUGAUUUUAUAUCUAAUUUUUUAUUUUGAAAGGAGAUGAGGACGAUUAUUGACCUAAUUUCUUAUUUAGAGAAAAGAUGGGGAUGAGGCAAAAUCUUUAUCCCCUCCCCAUUUUCCUCUUUUAAUUUUUAAUUUAUUUUUCUAGAAUUAUUAGUAAAUAAAUAAUAUUUUAAAUUAUAAAAUAUUAAAUAUUGAUGUAAAUAACAAAUAUCCAAAUAUUUAUACAAAUAAUAUAAAUAUUAGUUAAUAUAAAAAGUUUAAUAUAAUUUAGAUAUAACUAUAGCCCAAAGCCCACAACUUAUAAAUCAAACUCUAAAUCACUUUCUGAUAGUCUUACUCAUCCUUUCAAAAUUAUUCGCGUCGUAGCCAACUCCCAACUCGUCCUCAUCUCAUCAUAGCCUAGUAGCACAUCGCGUUGUCGUCUUGUCGAUGACCGAACAACCUAACUCAUCGCAAUGCCAACUAGCAACCCCACACAGUAGUUCGUUGCACCAUAGUAGGUGGGCAAAAGUUAUCAUUGUUGAUGGACAACAUUCAUGUCAAUAUUGUAUAAAAAUCACAUUAUGUAAAUUUUAUUUUGAAUAUUAUAUAUACCAAAAGUUUGAUGAAAAUGAAUGAAAUAAGACUUAUUCAUGAUCAUUCUCAUUUGAUUUUAUAUAUUUUAGGUUAAUACGACUAAAUUAAGUUUGAAAACUAAAAAGAUAUCAGUUAUUCGGAGAUGAGGGAUUCUCGGGAAUCCCCUGUUAUUAUUUGGGGAGGGGACGAGAAUCCCUUCAAGUAAUUCUCUAAUGGGGGGGAGCAAACGGGGAUAUAUGCAAAAUAUCGGGGAUAAGUAUGGGGAUGUCAGCCCUCUCCUCUCUCCUCCCAAUUGCCAUCUAUAUUAUAAUUCAUGGUAGAAGAAGUAUCUCUCCAAUAUUAUAUGAGGGUAGAAAUUUGAAAUGUGUCGUAAUAGAAUUAUUAAGGAUAGUCUAUUAGAAAAAAGAAAAUUACAAUGAGUGAACAAUUAAAAAGCAGCAAAUAAAUGUGAAGCAAAAAGAACAUAAUUAAAACAGCAGCAAAUGUAAAUAAAGUAACAACUGGAAAUUGCAGAAACAAUCAACAAAUAAAAUGAAGAAGAUAGAAACAGAAAGCACAAAAUAAAAGAAGGAAAAUCCCGAGGCAUGUUUAGCAACAAUAUCCUUAAAACAGAUUUACCACCUACAGUGCUGCUUUAGGCUUGCUGGUAACUGUUUCCCAAGAUACAACGAGUACGAAUUAUCUAUCAAGCACACACAAAUAAUUCCGAUGAACCACAACAGUCAACAGUGGAGAAACUCGAUCAGAAAUCAAGACGUCAGAAGGAGAGAAAAAGAUUUUGUUAAGUGCUCUGUGUGUUUUGAUUGUUAUGUUCAAAACAUAAGAGGAAGCUGCCUCUAUAUACAUAUAUGGGUAUGUAACAGUAGCAUAAUAUUGAAUUUCCAAAUUCAAUAUGUGAUUUAAUUUUGUAAUAGCCCAUUGAAUUAAUGAAUUAAAACAAUUCAAUUCUGUAACAACAUAUUGAAUUUCAAAAAUUCAAAUGCAUAAUAGCUCAAAAUUAAAUUAAUUUACAAAAUCAAAACUGCUUUUGAUUUUAAUUGUGAAACUGUUACAAAAUUUAAAAGGAAAUUAAAAACAUGGCCAUGCGAGCCUUGGUGAUUUUGGGUUGAUAUUCGCAUACGGACACGAGUUCAACCAAAUUGGUCUUGGAUUCGCACCCUCCUUGCGCACGCGCGUGUGGAGAAAGCCGCUAUCCUUAAAAUUAUUACUCAUAUAUAUAUAAGUAUCUAUAUAUAAACACAAAUCCCUUCACUUAUUUUUUCUUUGUGGGAUAAGUCUCAUUUUCUUUCAAAAUUCCAACUUCAAAGGUGCACUUUGAGAGUCAAAUUUCCAUUCACCAAGCAUCAUUUUAAGUGAAUGAAUAUAUUAUUUUAAAGUGUUCACGAAGUAAAAUUUGAACCUUUCGAGAUUUUUCACUUUCUGUAAGUAGAUUCCACUCAAAAUGUGCCCUCAAAAUAACAUAUUAGUAUGCUAUUUUUUCAUCAAUCCCCACAGAUUUUUUAUUAUAAAUACUAAUAGAUUAUAUAUAUACACAGAAAACCAAGUGCAGUCACUUGUCAGGCCAUUGUUAACUUUCCGCGUGGGCCAGCAAUUGAAAACUUCUGAGAAAAGAAUACUCGAGGCGAAGAAUUAGCAUCACUUAAAAUUGGAUCCUCAUAAGAAGACGAUGACGACGAAGAUGGCGUUCAAAACCCAUGAAGAUAGCCAAGAAUCUCAUACUCAGUCAUUGAUUUUUAUUUUGUAUUCUCAAUCGCUUGAAUUAUCUUACUUGUUCCAAAUCAUUACCUGACGGCUUUCAUCAUUUUUGCAACACACCCAUUUAUGUUUCAUGCUCUCCUUCGCCGCAGCGUCUAGCGCCUUGUUGAUCCGAAACAAUUCCCCGGAUGCACUCAUUUGGAGAUGUUAUUAGCCUAUUACUAAAUUUCAAGUGUUUCCCUGGCAUCAGCUUUAUCACCAAUACUUGCCUGUGCCUUCUUUCUAGAAAUUUUCAGACUGCUUCUGCCAUCUCCAGGUUUCAAGUUGUGGUAGCUGAAUGAGGGGAAGCUGGCUUCCGCUUCCGAUUAACAAUAGACAAAAAUUAAUCUUCAAAAACAAUCAUGAUUGAAAGUGCAAGAAAAAAUGGUGGGAAUGGUGGUGAUGGAGGUGGGAAUAAUUAUUUAUUACAGAUGGUCAUUAAAGAAAUCCAUGUCAUUUGCCUCUUUAAUUUUAUUUUGGAAAAUUUUAGAAUCCAUACGAGGUAUUAGGCGUAUGUUUGAAAGCGUUCCGCGAACUGUCAUAGAAUGUUUUCGCGUUUUCAAUUGACUUCACUAUCGGGAAGAUUUUUACACUUCUUCGAAUCACACAACCAAUAAUAAUACACUCCACAUCUUUGUCAAAAAGCAGUUGAGUCCUUCGAACUAAUGCCACAUUCAAUUCAUCUUGAGAAGGUCAGUUGAGAGUGUUGCUGCCAAUCAUGUAAUAAAUAAAUAAUAUAGUGAUUGCUUAAGAACUAGGGAUGGCAAUGGGCAUGGGGUGGGGUGGGGUGGGGGAGGCCUACCCCAUUCCCCACCCUGUUAGAAAUUUUUGCCUCAAUUCUCUAUCACAUUUCCCAACAAAAUUUAGAGGAUUUAGGGAAUCCCAUGUUAUGAAUGAUUUCUCCAUCCCCACCCCGUUUUUCAUUUAUCUAUUUUAUAUUAAAUAUAAAUACAUGAUUUCAGUUAGUUAAAAAUUAGAGACUUAAAAUAAAAUCAUUACCAUAUUAUAAAGUAUUUAAAUUCUUUUAAAAAAAAUCUAAAAGUUUGAAACAAUAUCUUAAAAUGAUAUUAAAAGUGAAAAAUAUUUAAAGAGCGUAGCACUUUAAAAGAGAAAAGAAAAUAUAACAAUGUUUCAGAGUUGAAAAAUAUUGUCGGGUUUUCUUUCAUUUAUAUCCUGUUUAUAUUGCAUAAAAAUUAAAAAAAAUUAUUAAUUGACAUUAUAGUUGAUAAAAUAAAAAUUUUUAAAUAAAAAUUAAAAACAUAUUUAUAUAUAAUGGGAAUUAGAGUGGGAGUGAGGUGGGAAGUGCAAAACCAAACCCCACCCCAUUAAGAAUUUAGGAAUUAUUUUUUCCUCACUCCCCACCCCAUUCCCCAAAAAUUAUUCAAAAUUUUUCCCAUUUAGAGUGAGGCUCCAUGGGACCCCAAACUUGUGGAGGAUUUUGACAUCCCUAUUAGGGACAUUUAGCGUACGAUCUGGGCUGUUUCUCUCUCGACUUUGGAUCUUAGCACCCCAAAAGUCUGUCUAUAUAUAAGUGAUUAUAUCAAAUUUAAUUACACAUUCCAUACAUACAUAUAUACAUUAAUUAUAUAUAUUCUAAAAUUCUACUUGCAAUUUGCGUGCUAAUUGAUGGGCGAGUUAAAGAAAUAUGUUAGAAUUAAGCAAUCAGUUUUAACAAAAAUAAAUCAAUAAAUGAAAUUCCCCUUUUUUAUUUGUAGCUCUUCUCUCGAUGAAACUUAGAAAGAAAAAACAUUUCACUUUUUAAAAAAUCAAUACAUAUUAAUUGAAUUUAACAACCAUCUAAAAGAAAUUAAUUAAAUUAUAAAUGCAUGGGCCAAAAUAAACAUGGGUCAGAUUAUAAAAUGCAGCUAAAUGCAGCGAACAAGCCCAAUAUAACUAGCCCAAAAUCCAGAUAAUUAGCAUGUACAAAAUCCAUGUCUCAUGUAAAUGUAGACCAUGCAGUGACACCAAAAGUGUAACGUGUCAAGAAACAAAAUAGAAUUCGUUCACGAAGCAAUGAUACAUGAAGAUAUCAGACGCACCAAGAGGAAUAGCAGUUUACCAUGAAGCUACCGCUAUUCAGUUUAUUCAAGAAAAAUUGCCUACAACAAACAAGCUUCAACAACUUCAACGGAUAAUGAUGAUCCAGCUUUUAUUGAGAUACCAAGAGCAUAAAGUGGAUCUGUCAAGUUGCUGUGAUGGAUCAUAAAAGCUUUGUCCUCCAUCAACUCUAUUAUAAGUUUAGAACAGAGGAUUCAAGCAAGGAGUUACACCAUCGGCAUCUACCACCAGGUACAUAAGCAACCAAGACAACUUUUAAGAAGAAAUAAAGCUCGACACUUUGAAGGCAAAGAAGAUAAAGUGUUAAAAGGAUUGUCAUUAUCAAAAGAGACCAAGAUUUCAAAUGAAAAAGUACUUCAAGACUUCUUGUUGUUGAAAACCAUUGCGUGCGUAAAUCAAGCAAAGAUAGAAGCAACCACAGCAACCACAAGAGAGAAAGGAAGAAAUAAUAAGAGAAUAAUGAAGAGGAACACAUAAAGCUAGCUGAAGAUACAUCUUAUCAUCUAAUCAGAGCUUGCCACGUGGCAUAAUCUUAAGCGUCCAAAUUAUUUUCAUCUGAUAGCCAUGAUAGAAUCGUUAUAUCUAUAAAUAAGGGACUUCUCCCUUAAUUCGACAACUCUGAAUCCAAAUUGGAGCUCUAUUUUAUCUAAAUCUUAUUGUAUCUUGUAUUUAUCUAUAUAUUUUUAUAAAAAUACUUUUUACCCUAGUUUAAAAUGAGUAGCUAACUUAAUUUCAAGCUUAAUUUAAAGGUGAAGCAUCUAUAUGAUCCAUGUCCUUAAUUUGGUAAGUCUACUUUAUCCCUCUCUAAUUUAUUUGGGUUAUUUUGACUUAUUUUUCUCAGACAAUAAUAAUCUUGUCUAGAUUUACCGGCUUUCUAGUGCAAGAUCAUUACUGUUUGACACGAUGAGUACUUUACACUAUAUUUAUUAGCAAGAAACUCCCUCUAGUAUUUGUGGUUUAUCUCAACUCAGUAUUAACAUAGAAUUUAUUUAAGUUAUUUAGUUGACAAUCUUACCACAUUGUCGAUAAUAGGAUUAUUAUCAUCUGACACAAUGUGUAUUUGAUACCAUAUUUAACAGAUGAUUAUUUCCUUUUUAGUACAAUGAGUGUUUGAUACCAUAUUUACCAGAAUGAGGACUAUGAGGAGUAGAAAUAUUCCUUUAUAAAUUAAUUGAAAUUAAAAAAAGGAAUAUUAAACCCAUGAUGAAGUAUUGAGUGUGAAUCCAGAGAUUCAAAAACUUUAUUUUACAUUGUCUCAUCCUUAAUUCAUUCCUGUCAUUUGGAAAAUUAACUUUACAUAUUAUUAGAUCUACCUCCUCAUAUUUUAACACUAUGAGGGGCUCUCAUACCAUACAAUAAGGAGCACCAAACAUACCCUAAGUGCAAGUUAUCUUCCAUCACUAUUGACAAUGUUGCUCCUAAUCAUCGUAUGAAAAAAACAUCCUCAUAACUUCCAACAAACUCAAAGUUAUGAGGCUACGACUUUUUAUAGCCAGAGGCAAUAGGCUUUCAACUUCAGAAAUAUGUUUACACAAGAAACAACUCGAGGAAAAACAAAGUACUUUAAAUAAAAUUCUUAUCUGAGGAGACAAUAAAGAUAAAAACUUGAAAAAUUGAUAUUCAUGGGAAAGGACAGAGAAGGUGCAAAAACAGUCGAAGAGUUUACAAGUGAUCUUCGGAAAAAGAAUAUAAAUACAAGCUAAAAAGUCGCUCUAAGUUAUGAGACGAUUGAAGUUUAUCUGCAUACAAGUUUGAAGAAUUGUUAUUAAAAAAAAAAAAAAAAGACACAGAUCAGCAUUUAUUUAGCCAGAUGGUGACUCUUAAACUACUACAAACAAGAAAAUCAAGCUCUCAGUCAAGGUCCUACUAGAAGCAAAUACUCCAUUCAACAUAGAAAAAGGGGCAAGGAAACUAUACAGUCAAUAUUGCAGGUUGUCAAAAGGCUUUCGGUAAUAUGCUCAUGUUCCGAAUAAUCAAUCUUCAUUCGGAGGAAGCAAAGACAUUGCAUCACCAAAUCAUUAUGCAACUCUGAAUUUAAAAUGCAAUGGGAAAAAAUCAAAGACCAACAUAUGCUAGAUAAAAAUAAUAUUCCAUCAAUAGUUUAUUCAAACGAGCAGAGUAUAACUGAAGACUAGGCCAGAAUUCAAUUCUUACUGUGACUUGAAUAGCAGCAUAGGCAGUGGGUUCAUAUAAAAAAGACAAGAUAUCAACUACGAAGCGUCAUCAGCAAAAGUAACUUCCAUCUUCGACAAAUAACAGAACUUUGAUGAGCGAAUUUCAACCUGAAGCAAAUUGGCCACAGAGAAUUUUCAAAUUCAAAAAUAGCGUUAUGCAUAACAUGAAUUGGAAGCAUUUCAAAGCAAUUACAGACCAAAAUCCUUUCAAAUUUUUGCUUCUAUGGAAACAGGAGCAUAGAAAAAAAAAAUCAUCAGCAAUAAAACUAAGUAAAAACACAUCAAGUCGACAUGAUCAUAGCUGAAGAUACAGUGGAAGCAGAACUAUUUUGCACUUUUAACAAACUAGGAUGAAAAUAAUCCUUCCAAGCUAAAAGUUGUUGGGUAUGAGAAGAAUAACGAGAGGAACAGCAUCCAGGGAAUAUCAAUUCGGACAUACAUAUCUAAUGAGAGACUACCGCCUAAUGCUUUCCCCCUCAAUUCAGAAUUUUUACAAACGAUUUUUUCAGGUGUGGAACGGCAAAUACUAUUCAACAGUUAACACGCUAUUGACAGGUUAUCACUACUUACACAAGCAAGAAGGAGCCUUGCUAAAUAAUUUCAGCUUCUAGUAUGCAAGUUACAGCUUGGAAUUAAAUUCCAAUUAACCAUAAUACAAACUAAACAGUUUCAGAAAUGGGGAUAAUUUUUAGCACAAUAGUCAGUUCAUCCAAAAAAGCAACACGACUACAAGUUAUCAUAUCUAUCCCAACAUCAAAGGUAACAAUCUGCAGCAAUAUAACAAAAGUGUGGGCGAAUCAAGUUUGCAGGACAAGUGUUUAAGAAAACAAAGAGAAGAAAAAAGCUUCGUAUAAUGCUUUAAAGAAAAUUUGGAGAAUAACAUCAGCUGCUACAAAGUUUUGCAGAUAUCUCUAAAGUGUGAAUCCACUGCUAUGAAGUCACAGCUAGCAUGAAACAAAGAAUCAACACUUGCCAUUCUAUUUGUGCACAAAAAGAAAUCAGGUAAGUAAAUCUAUCAUAUGAAGAUUGUUAAUACAUUUCUUCCCAGACCAAAAUAUUUCAUUUUGCCAUACAUUUACGCAUCACAAAAGAAUUGCAGCUUAUCUUGAAAGAACAUAACUAUUCAGUCAAUCAAUGAAAAAUCUUCUGUGCCCGAUAUCCUAUACUAGGAGACACAUGAAAAAAAUGAUAUCAAUUUGAUUCAACAAUUGUAGUUUGAAUCAACUUAUAAAGCUCCAGCUCAACUCAAUUAAACAACAUUGAUCUAUGAUCAACUUGUGGCGUAGGCCCCGAAAUGCUAACAAUCUGGUUUCAAAUCAUAUUUUGAAUCAAAUUUCAUGGCUCCGAUCUCAAAUAAAAUUAAAGAUUGAUCUGCGACGAAUUCCUAAAAAUUGUGCCUAUUAUUAUUGGGCAAAAGGCUAUUAUAACCUGUUAUUGUUAGACAAAAAAUAUUUGCUUCCCGAAAUAGGAACGAAAGCUCUAUACGAGCAAAUCAAAUGAAUUCGCUCUCUAAAAGUUUCAAAUAAAAAUGAUGAAUGAAAUAAAAGUUGGGAAAGCUUCUUGAGCUACUAAAAUUCAUCGAUCAAUGCUCAAAAUUUUGGAACAAAGAUUGAUCAAUGAAUCAAAAUACAAAAUCAAAUUAGUUAUCCUCGUUAGAGGAUAGACUUUGAUAAUCUGAGUCUGCUUUAUAUUACAUUCUAAUGUUCUAUAUCUUAUCAGGCUCAGCUAAAGUAUUGCAUCAAAGAUCCAAUAACGGUAGCAUGGUCGCUCAUCAUACCUUAGUCCAAAAGCCAGGAAAAAGAAUAACGGAGAACAAGGCAUUGCUCGCUGUCGCACAGGCAGCACAGCCAUAUAGGCGGCAUGCAGAAUACCCAUGUUCGUAUUCAGUAACAACGGAGUAAGCUGCAAACAACAAUUGAGAGUCGCGACAAAAAAUGCCUACAUCAGAUUGAAAGAGGAAAGCAAAACCUAGAAGCCAAAAAAUAUCAUUUUCUUCCACAGAAGACCGAAAAAUCAGAGAACAGCGGCAUUAUUCUUUUUAGGAUAAAAGUCAUAAAACUAUGUUACAAAUUACAACAGUCGCCACAACAAAGCACUACUUUUGUCUUGCAACUGUUGCAACUUGCAACUGUUGCAACCUGCAACGUAGCUGGAUCCUUCUCUUUAUAUUCGGAAACAAAAUGUAAAAUAAUAAGGGGGGG
rnacentral:lncRNA from 1 species